UUUUUUUGUUUUUUUUUUCUUCCAAUUUCAGGUUUUUUAAAAAAAAAUUAAAAAAUUAUUUUUAUUUGCCACGUGGCAGACAUUUGGCAGCCACGUGUCAUAUAUGUGGCAGCCACGUCAGCAUUUAACAGAUCCAUGGAUGGAAAAUCUAACGGUUGUAUGAAAUUGAAAUAAAAUAGUACUUGAGGUAUGAAAGUGAAAUGUUUUAAAGAUGUUGUAUGAGAUUGCAAUAGAGCUCAAACCUGAGGGGCUACUAUGUAAUUUACCCUAAAUGUUAUGACAAUGUGAUUCUAGAAUAGUAUAAGAAGUAUUCAGUAGAACUUAUAUGCUUAUGUGACAUAUUAGUUGGUGGCUAUGAGAAGUUGAUGGUGUAGGUGACUACGUUGUAACUCAUAGGGGUUGAGGUAUAGGUAAGUUGUGUGUUGAAUUUACUACACCAUGUAGCAGUGGUACAUGGAUGGUCCUGCUUGGUAUAUCCGCGAUGGGGGACCAUACGUAUUUUGAGGGUGAUCAUGCUUGGUAUAUCUGCAAUAGGUGAUCAUCACCUACACGAUUAGACUAUGCAUAUGGUUCUGCUUGGUAUAUCCGCAAUGAGGGACUAUACACAUUCUAUGAGUGAUCAUGCUUGGUAUAUCCGCAAUGGGUGAUCACUACGUAGAGCUAUAGGAUGCAGUCCUGCUUGGUAUAUCCGCGAUGGAGGACUGUUAGGGGUGAUCAUGCUUGGUAUAUCCGUAAUGGGUGAUCACUGCCUACAUUAUUAGACUAUGCUUAUGGUUCUGCUUGGUAUAUCCAUGAUGGGGGACCAUACGCAUUCUAAGAAUGAUCAUGCUUGGUAUAUCUACGAUGAGUGAUCACUACCUAGAGUUAGGAUAUGGUCCUGCUUGGUAUAUCCGUAAUGGGGGACCAUAUGUAUUCAGGGGUGUUCAUGCUUGGUAUAUUCGCGAUGGGUGAUCACUGCUUGCACGAUGAGAUUAUGCCCAUGGUUCUGCUUGGUAUAUCCGCGAUGGGGGAACCAUAUGCAUUCUAAGGGUGAUGAGGAUUAAUUGUACUUGGUAUAUUUCGAUAGGCGAUCAUAUUUUGGUUCGAUAUCACUUGAUUAUAUAAUGUGAAUCUAUUGAAAUGUGAUUAGUCAUUGAUCUAUGUUUAUUAGUCGCGAUUUGACUUAUGUAUUGAUGAUAUCUAUGAAAUGUGAUUUGAAGUGCUUGAUGAAUUGUUCGAUGGAAAGUAAUUUGAUGUGCAUAUUUGAAAUGAGAUUUAAUUUGCAUGAUUGGCAUGAUGUGAUGAAAUGUGAGGGCUAGUAGUGGACCGUUAACCCAUUGUCAUGGGGAUUGUUGCUUCGUUGAGCCGUUCUAAUUGGGUAGCUUGUGCUUUGUUCCAUUUCUUGUUUCGUUGAGCUUUUGUAUUUGAGUAUUUGUUUCAUGUCUUGUUUUUCGAGUGUUGCUAUAUUUCUUGGACUUUGGCUAGGUUCCAUUGAGUGAUCCAGAACUAGGUUUCCGCUGGGGUUCUGUUGAGUGGUCCAGUUCCCUGCUCUAUCUGGAUUCCGUUGAGUGGUCUAAAAUCCCUCAUGCUCCGUGAUUCCGUUGAGUGGUCCAGAAUCAUAUCCAGCUUGGAUUUCAUUGAGUGGUUCGAUAUGCAUUGUACUCUGCGAUUCCGUUGAGUGGUCCAGAAUCGUAUCUUGGUUUAGAUUCCGUUGAGUGGUCCGGAAUCCCCUUUGGUGUCUUGGUUCCGUUGAGCGGUCUGAAACCCAAUGUUGAUGGAUUUCGUUAAGUGGUCUGAAAUCUCAUCAUCUGACUUGUUGGUUCCUUGGAUUUAAUUUCAGUUUCAGAGAUGUACAUUUUGACCGAACUGUGUCGCUAUAGCCCUGCAUUUCUGUGUAUGGUAUGUGUUAUUGAUAGAUGUGAUUGUUGUCAUCAUGAUUAGACUCGUUGACCAAUAUGGCUAGAGAUUUAUGUUGCACUUCAUCGAAUGUUCCUCGAGAUGUUGCAUGCCUGUUUUGUGGUAUUCUGUUGAGAGACAUAGUGAUUUAUGUGAUGAUUGUUCGAGUGUAGUGAAGGACGAACUACGAAUGGCUUUAUCCCUGUUUAGAGUGCGUAGGCAGUCUAGCGAGAAUGUUAGAUGCAGCCAUAAAGUAUACGAAAAAUUAAUACGCAAUUCUAAUCUUGAGUUGUGCUUUGUCCAUAUCCCGGAGGCAGGGUAUGUGAGAUAUACGGGUAUUUGGUGACGUCACGUGUCGAUUCCGGAAGUAUGUCGGGAUUGGGGCGUGACAACUCGAGUUAGAAAUUUUCCAAAACUCCAUAAUUUCAUCACUUAUUUGCAUAGAGUAAAUCACAUGUCCUACAUAAAAAAUAAAGUAUCCAAAUCUCACAAAAUAAUCACCAAAACACAGUAAGAAUAGGGUAAAAUAUAUAAUAUAAAAUCGACUUAUCAAUGUUCAAGCUUUUACUCAAGAAAUAUUAAUAAUAUGAUAUUUACCACAGUGGUGGAAAUGUGCUGAGCCCUUACAUGACGUCGUGAGUUCGCGGUGGCUAAUCUAACAAAAUCUAUCGUUUAAUAAAAAUAAAAAAUGAUUUUUACUAAGUUCAGCUCAUUUGUGGUGAGCUCAAGCUUUUGACUUGGCUCGGUUCCUUUCAUAGGGUUUAGGGUUCAACAUUUCACAAUGCAUUAUUUCGAGAUAGUAAAAUACCUUUUAGUCUUCAAAUGUGUAUCAAAUCCCUAAUUUUGUUCUAAUUUGGAGUUUUUCAUUCUAAUUGAUUUACUUGCUCUAUGGUUGUGUUUCAUUUUCUUGCUUGUGCAUAUUAUUUAUUGGAUUUUAACAUGGUUUUGAUUUAUCAAUGUUGGUUGUUUUUUAUAAAGAAAGGUGAUUUCCAUAGAUGGUACAACAUUAUGACUUAACAUAUAAGUGUUUCGUUUAGUAUAUUGCGUUGUCCAUUUGAGUUGAAGUUUAAACUGAAUUGAAGCUGGGCAUUAAUUUUGAUCUAAUUUUUAGUUAUGUCCUCUGACAUUUGAUUUUGAUCUAAUUUUGCCCCCUGAAACUCAAAUUUCGUCACUUAACCUACUGAAACUCGAUUUUUGUUCAAUUUUGCCUAAAUUAUGUGUACUCCCUUAAGUAUGCAUCAAAUUGAUGACGUGGUAGAAAGAAAAGGAUAUUUUGGUAAAAUAAACAUUUAUUUACUUGUUAUUUAAAAAAAAAAAAAAAAAAAGAAGGUAAAAGUAAAAGGCCAAAAUCUCAUCCCCGUGCCUUCUCUCUGCUUCCCCAUCUCCCAUCACCACCUCGCACGUCAAAAUUUUCUAGGGUUCUUUUUGUCGAGGAUUUUUCUUGUAUCUAAAGGCAAACUGGAGUAAAAAUCAAGUUUUAAGAGGUUAAGUGACGAAAUUUGAAUUUCAGAUGGCAAAAUAAGUGAAGUCAAAGUCGAAUUAUAGGGCAUAGCUAAUAAUAAGCCUAAUUAUAACAACAUCUGCUUUCAAGUAUAAAUUGUAGCCACAAUCUUCGAUAUUUUAUUCAGGGUCACAACAUAUUCGAAUCAAAAGCUAGCUUCGAACUUCAAUAUCUAUUACUUAAUCAUUAAACAAUUGUUAUGGACAGAUUCUCCGAUGCCUUUCUAAAACCAUGCACUUGAUCAGCUACACUGCGAAAAAAUUCUGGGCCACGGUUGCUUUCUUCACUUGAGGUGAUCACAGUAAGUUUCUCCAGCACACGAGCAUGGUUGACAAGAUAGAACAUCACAUAGACUUCAUUUGGCGUCCCCUUGAAGCCCUUGAUCUCAACUUUCCUCAAAGUUUGAGUUAUGCACUUGAAAAUUAUUGCACUCCGAGUCCACAAACACUCGAACUUAUCCCCCAAUGGAGGUUCAUAUUCCUGAAGGGAUUGAUGCAACAAACAUAAGAAUUGCACAGUAUUAAUUAGUGUUAUGCAGUUAAUUAAAAGGACUAGUUACUAAUUAAUCAAUGAGUACUCACAUCACAUAUUCCGCGUGAGCGGUCUAUGUCGAUUGUAAGAGUCUCCAAACGAGGACAACUAUUAAAGAAAAACCGGAUGCCAUAUUGUUCAUAAUUAUGCAUGGCAGUCCUUAAGGUCAAAUGUGUAACAUUCAACCUAGGUACCAUACCAAGUGGUUCCUCUCCCAUAGGAAUAACCUGCAAAAUCGACAAAUUAACCAUGAAACCAACCUUUAGUUAAUUAGGAGAGAAACAUACUCAAUUAGUUAGGGAAGAAUUUCAGGGGUUGAAAAAAUGAUUUUAUACUUAUAACUCAUAAUCUUAUUGCGGGACACUCUUUUCUCCUUUGCAAAUCCCGCCAAAAAAAAAAUUCGAAGCCCACAUAAAUGCAAAGAUAAUUUGUUUAAUGUGACAGGUAGAUAAUGAACACUAUAUAGUUUUUUCCUAUUUAAGGUUUAGGGUUAUAUCACCCACAUAUUAUACAGAUGUGAAAUUAAAAAGUUGAAGAGGGGAAUUAAGUACCUGAAGCAUGUAGGUGCAAACGGUCAAAGCCGUAGUAGGGCAAAUUUGAUUGAGUGAUUGAUAGAGAGAAUCUCCCAGUGACUCAUCACAUUCAGACUCAAGCCCAAAAUCAAGGUCUGCCUCCUCCAAUCCAGUUCCGUUCACAAAAAAUACACCAACAGUGCCAGAAUACUUCAAAUAUUUGAGAUUUGGAGCCUCGAUUUCAAAGUACGGAUUCAGAAAAUGGCAUUUUUCAACAACCAAAGUUGACAACUUCAAGUCCUUCCCACAAACAUCAAGGCCGUCCAUGUUCCAGCAACUCUUCACGCUCAAACUCUCGAGACACCCACAGUUGGCCAGCAAAGCCUUGAGAGUAGAAACUUUGAGUUCGAUCCAACGCAGCGAAAUACUUUUCAGCAACCCAAAAUUCUUGAAUCUUAAAACGUCGAAUUUGCAAGAAAAGAGCGUCAUGGAUUCAAGAACUUGAUGGUUGUAAAAAGACAGAGGCAAAUCAAACAUUGGAUGUGCCGGGCCAUCGAGGUCGUUUUCAUCCCAUGUGGGGUCGGAGAAAUCAAGCUUCAGGUGUUUUACGUUGCGCUCGAAAGAAAAUGUGAUGCAUUUUUCCACCAAUUCUUGGGAGUCUCCAGGCGAAGAAAAUGUGAGGGAAAGUUUGUCCAUGAUGGGACUUUUGUUGUUUGCAAUAAAUUGUUGGACGAAAUCGGUGAAGAUUUGUGGUUGGAGUUUGACAUCUCCGUUAGAAUCACGAUUGGCGAAGUAAAGGUGGUUGAAGUCGAGGUUUCGGGUUGAUUUCCAUUGGUUGCGCCAUUGCUUCGACAAGGAGGAGGUUUUUGCCGCUUCUUUGAAGGGCAAGGAGGAGAGUAUGUGCGAGAGGAGGGGAUGAGGGAGGUUUGAGAGGCGGUCCAUGGUUGUGUUUUUGUUUAUUAGGGUGGCGGGAUUGAACUGAAAGAAGUUGAAGGGACCGGGAUGACUUAAUAGGAGAUGAUAUGAUUGUUUGAGGCACCGUUUCGGGGUUUGGCGAAAAGUUGUGUGCCUCUUUGAUGUUGAGAGACGACCGGGAGAUGGGGUGUAAUAGAGAGACACUACGUUUUAUGGAGUUGGGUUCAAAAGGGUAUUUGUUGUGUGGGUGAAUUGUAUGUUGAACAAGAACAAGGUAAUAUGGAUCAAAAAUAGGAAAAGUGAAACGAUAAAAGAAACUAAUCCGAGUUUAUAUGACAAGUUUUUUUUUGUUUAUUUAUUCCCAGUUACGAUUGUUAUAAAAAUAAUGCUGUGUAGUUACUUGAAUCUGAAAAGUUAACGAAUUUAACAGUCUUUCACGCUAAAAUAAUAAGCUAAGUACGUGAAACUCAUCACACAUAAGUCUUUCUCAAGUAUGCUUAUUUUUUUAUUAGACUAAACUGUCUUGCGCCAAAAUAAUAAGAUAAACACGUGAAAUUUAUCAUGCAUAAGCCUAUAUAUCACAUGCUUGCAUCAAUGAAAUAGGGUUUGUGAUUUUUUAUUAAUUUUAAUUCUAGCAAUAAUAGGAGAGGGAUAUUCAAAUUUGGGACAUCUGUUGCAAGAGAAUGUUUUUAUCCAAUUGUGCUACAAAGUUCUUAUGAUUGUGCAUUUUAGCAGCCUUGUAGCCUUACUUUCCUCCCACAAUGCAAGUGAAAAGAACAAGACCCAUAGUUUGGUCGUGGAAUUACCUAAAUAGAGUACUUCUUUCCCGCUCAGAGCAAUUAGAAAGAACCAACCUCUCUAAUAAACUAUUCCCCUCCCUUGAAACUAUAAAGUAGUUAAUCUAAAUAUUACAAUUCUUCAACAAAACAUCUAAAAUUAAUCAUGAGGUUCUUCAUAACCAAAUGUAAAUAUCAUCUGAAUAAAGUGCAAGGCAAGCCAGACGAUGAGCCACUUUAUUGGCAACAUUUUUUAGUGUAGCAAGAAGGCAAUUUCCUUGUAGUGGUAAAAUGAACCUCAAUGAUCUAAGCUAACAUCAACUUGGCAUCCACUAAUGCUGGCUCAGUCAUAAAUUGGUCCAAUUAGAUUAUGAAGAGCUGAAAUGAUUUGAAGUAAAUCGCUUUCAAAAAGAAGAUUAUUUAUUUAUUUUUAAUAUAAGUACGAUAUUCAUUGAAGAUUGAGAACACGUACAAACUGAGGAUAGGAUGCUUACAUUAGGCCUUAACAAAAACCUUGUCAGGGCUUUCAACCCGAUCGAAGGAAAAAAGUGUGUUUUGCACCAAAUUAACUACUAGAACUAUCCUUUAAUAAUAAAUCAUAAAUUACAUCAGGAGGUUUUUCAAACUAAGAAACUGGGUGAUCAACAGUUAGACUAAACCUUGCAAGGCGAUGAGCCACCUUAUUCGUCUCUCUUCGACCACAUGUGAUUUUCCAUUGCUUGAAAUCUUCCAGGAGCCGCCUUUCAUCGAACAUAUGUCUGUAGUGACCACUGUACGCUGCACCUGCAUUUUGAACUAUAGAAACCACCAGUAAUGCAUUCCCUUCCACCUGGACCUACUCCGUGACCCAUCUGCCCAAUUGCGGCAGCUGCCUCUGCAUGUAAUGCUGAUUUGAUAUCAUCCUCCCUGCUCACCUAUGGCACCAGAAAACCUCCCUUCGAGUCCCUCACGACCAACCCAAAACCUCCAAUUGACUUCUUCUCAUCCCAAGCUGCAUCAAAAGUGCAUUUUAUCCAUCCAGAAGCCGAAAGCUGCCAUUUAUAUGUUCUUGUCGAUGAGUUUGGCGGUUCCAUAGCAUUCCAUUUUUUAAAUUCCGCUAGCCACGUUUGUGCUUUGAUUUGGGUAUCCGAAAGAGACACAUCAACACCAUUCCAAAGAAACUCAUUACGUACCUUCCAAAUACUCCAAACAAGGACAAGUAGCAGCUCAAAACUAUCCUUAGACAUAUUUUGCGCCAUAUUCUCCAACCAACUUCGAAAGCCCUCCUCAAUUCGAUGAAACAAACGGAUUCCUAAAGGACUUCCAAACCACACCCCAGCCGCUCUAGGACACAUUAGUAAAACAUGCACACAUUAGUAAAGCAUGCUCCAUUGUCUCAGCAUCUUUAUCACAAAAACCACAAGUAACCUCCGUAAGUACUCGUCGAUUCUUCAAAUUCACUUUGGAAGGCAAAUAUACCCACGCCAUACACAUAUCUUCACUUUCCCCGAAAUUUUAGCUCACCACAAUGCUUUCCAAAAGAACUUAGUGUUGGCAUUAAGCACCUAACGCGUAGGCUCAUCACCACCCAUUCCUUGGCAUGAUCUUGCUACAAAGUACGCACUCUUAGUUGUAAAUAAACCUUUAGGUUCUUUUGCCCAAAUCAUAGAAUCUACUGGGCAAAACAAACUCAAGGGAAUGAUCAAAAUCAAAUCCGCUUCCUCCUUCAAGAACCAAUUGCAAACCAAAUUGGAAUUCGAAUGAAUCCCAUCAUCCUCCACCAUUAAUGAUCUAAUCGUAAGCUCUGGAUGCACCCCCAACAGUCUUGGGCUAAGAACUUUAUAAAAAUGCUCUCGUGGCAGCCAACUAUCCCCCCAAAUAUGAAUUCGUAAACAGUCCCCCACCCUCCAUUUCGCACCUCGGCAAAUAAUUGCCCGAGAUGCCACCACACUACGCCAACAAUACGAGGAAUUAGGCUUAACUAAAGCCUGUAAGAACUCAGUGGUAGGAUGGUAACGAGCUUUGAACAUUCUUGCAACAAGAGAAUUAAGUUGUUGUAGUAAUCUCCACCCUUGCUUUGUAAGCAAAGCAAGAUUGAACGCAUAUAAAUCCUUAAACCCCAAGCCACUUUCACUUUUUGGUUUACACAAUCGUUGCCAUUUUACCCAAUGUAUUCUCCGUCUUCCUGCUUCUUUUCCCCAUCAAAAUUGCGCCACCAUUCAGUUUAGCUCAUUAUGAAAGGAUUUUGGCAACAAGAACGUCUACAUUGUAUACAGUGGCACAACCUGGGCAACCGCUUUUAUCAAAAUCUCUUUCCCCGUACUACUCAACAAGGAUCCACGCCAACCAUUGAACUUUUUCCACAAACGGUCUUUAAUAAAAGUAAAUGUAUCUUUCUUAGACCGACCAAUGAACACCGAUAAGCCAAGAUACCAAUCGUGGUACUCCACCCGCUCCAUCCCUAAACAAUCAGCCAACAAUUGAGCAUCAAUCUCCGUAAGAUUCUAACUAAACGCAACACAACUCUUGGAAAGAUUGACCGCUUAUUCGGAAGCCCAUUCAUAAGUACGUAAUAAUUCCUUUACCUGCAAACACUCUUGCAGAGAACUCCUGGAAAAAAUAAAGCUAUCAUCCGCAAAAAGUAAAUGAUGGACACUUGGUGCCCCAUUACAAACCUGCACCCCCUGAAUCCGGCCUUAGGCUUCCCAUGAAUCAAAUAAGGCUGAUAAUCCCUCCACACAUAAGACAAAUAAGAAUGGUGACAGCGGGUCGCCUUGACGAAUUCCCUGUUUCGAAUAAACAAGUCCCACCAGUUCCUCGUUCAGUUUGAAUGAAUAAGAAACUGUAGACACACACAUCAUUAUCCAGUGUAUCCAUUCCUCCGCAAAAUCCAACCUUUUCAUGAUUUACUCCAAGAAACUCCAUUCAAUACGAUCAUAAGCCUUACUGAUGUCUAACUUCAAUGCCAUCACCCCAUUCCACCCAUUAUUCUUCCUAUGCAUAUAAUGUACAAUUUCCGAGGCAACCAAACAAUUAUCAGAAAUUAGCCUUUCGGUAUAAAUGCACCUUGCGAAGGUGAAAUAAUUUCCGAAAGAAAAACCUUCAGUCGGUUAGUAAGAACUUUGGAGCAAAUCUUAUAAAUCACAUUACAAAGACUAAUCGGCCUAAGCUAAGUCAUUGUGGUUGGAUCAAUUUUCUUUGGAAUCAAGGGGACAUGGGUAUAAUUGAUUUUCCUAAGCAUAUGAUCUAAUGACAGAAUAUGCCUUAUCCCAUCACACACAUCUUGGCCAAUAGUCUCCCAAUGCUUCUGAUAAAAACCCGAUGACAUACCAUCAGGUCCUGACGCUUUAGUCGAAUGCAUUUGAAACAACGCCUCUAUAAUUUCAUCAUUUGAAACCGGCCGAAUAAGCUCUUGGUUCAUCUCUGCUAAGACCUUAGGGGUCACCACCCGCAUGAUUUCCGCCACAUCCAUCUCGCCCUGGGAGUCAAACAAUUUGGAGAAAAAAAGAAGAUUAUUAUACUCCUUGAUUUUAUUUUAUUUGAAAUUCCUUCUUUUGUUAUCACUAUAAUUAUUUUUUUUCUGAAGAAAAAAAAGUUUAAAAAUAUAGAAAUUCUUUUGUCACAUGGGACCAAAAAAAGUUUAGGGCUUGGGCUUGCACAGUCUCAUACUCUCCCAGUCACUUCCGAUCCGCCACCGCCUUCUGGUUUAAACUUAAUCGUAUUCAUAUUCCUUCCACACUUUACAAUCCAGAGCUUUAUGCUACCAAUUUGCAGCGACAACCACAUCGUCGACGAAGCUUCAACCUCGCCAUUGCCGCUCUACUCUCUCUCAGGUUAGUAGAUUUUUUCCCUUUUCUUUUUUUUCAGUAAAACCUCUGAUACCAAAACCCUACCGUUUCUUCUGUUUCAACGUCGGGAAAUUCCAAAGCUUCGUUGCCCCAAAUCGUAUCUUUCCAUUUCUGUAUUCUGCAUAUUUGAACUUCUAUCGUAAGCUAUUGCCGCUGCAUCAUAACAUGCUCCAACGUGCACACCGACUGUUUGAUGAAUGUCUCUACUAAAAAUUUCCAGUCUUGAUUUUUGUGUUUUUAUAAACGUUUUGCUUUUGCGAACUCUCUGUGUGUUAUGCCUGCUGGGAAGUUCUUUUCUUAUGUUGCCGUUACAGAUGAUUUCUGGGGUGGGCUUGUUAUUUGAAUUUUUCACCAUUUGAAAAUUGUGUGUAGAAUAUAAUUAAUGGUUGAUUGUGUAUUUAUUUAUUUAGCAUUUCCAUUAACAAAUAUUGGGUGAUGAGGAUAUUGAUGCAUAUUAGACCAGUACAUGACCUCGAGCUUUUACAAUUUUUUUGUUGUUGCUUUAUCUGAAUUUUUACUUUGUGUGUCAAUUUUUCUUGGAUAGGUGAAGAGGCUCAUGCAUUUGUGAAUUGAUUAAUGGGGCGUAACGUUUCAAAUCGUUCAGUAUCUCCGGUUGGGUCUCCUCGUAGGAGGAGCCCAUAUAGGAAGAGUCCAUCUCGAACAGAAAGAUCACCUGCCCGACAUAGGAGAUCCAACAGGGGUAGUUCUCCACCAAGGGAGAAACAUUCGAGUCACCAUAAGUCUCCGAAGCAUGCAAGGUCCCCUUCUCCUCUUGCUCACUCUCCUUCUCCCCGGACAAAACGGUUAAGAAGAGCUCAAGCUGGAAGAGAGGCUGAAAGAGUAUCUGAAAGGAACAAUGGGAAAGGACCUGAUAAGGAUUUACAGAAGGAAGGGGGUUCAGUGAGAGAUGUUGGGAGCGAUAGAAAGGAGAGACGAUCGGGAAGAGAUGAUACUGAUGGUAAAUCUUUAACAUCAAGACAUGGUACUUCUCCAUCAGAUCGACAGCGCAGGAGUAGGCAUAGAUCCUCCUCACCUCAACCUGCUGGUGAUACUAGAGGUGUGGAGAAAGUAAUUGAUAAAGACCAUGCAGGGAAUCAUGGCAGAGGGAGUGAUAGAAGUAUGCAAAGGGAAAAAGGUUCAGAUAGGGAAACUGAGAGUGGCAAAGUGGAGAGAAAGUCAGGAAAAGACAGUGCUGAUCACAGGUCUUCAAGAUCAAGACAUGGGCGGUCUACUUCUCCAUUAGAUCGGCACCACCAGAACAGACAUAGUUCUCAUUCACCUCAACAUGCUGCCAAUACCAGAAUUCGUGAUGAGGUGUCUGGUGAUAUCCACACCUUCAACUUCUCAAGCCCCCCUCCCCCAUAAUUUUAUUCCGUCUUGAAGAUUUUUACUUCUUAAAUUUCAUUUUUUUAGUUUACUUCUUAAAUUUCACUGAUGACUUUGGAAAGCAUUUUUACAUCAUUAUAGAUUGGCAGAGGUUAUUUUGCAUAGGUUUACUUUUCAGUAACUUACAUUUCAAUUUAAAACAGUUAUGUUAUUCUCUUUUUUUCACCCACCUAUUCACUCGUGCCAGUAUGUUUUAAGACUUUUUUUAAAUGAAGCAGAGCACAGAAAAUUAGUCAGUAAUCAUUAAUUAUUUUAGUUUCACAAAAUAAUCAUUAAUUAUUUUAGCAUUCAUUGUGCAAUGAUAUCCUGUGAUGCUUAUAAGUGACUUCUCUUUCGGUUUGCAUUGAUUCUUAUCUAAAGUAUCUAACCAAAGGUAAUUUCUUCAGGUGCCAAAUUCAAGAGGAGCUGAGCAAGGGUGAGUUGAUCUGUUAAAACUUUUUGUUUUCUGUUUAUUGUACUUUGGUAUUUUUAAUCAUUCUAUUUAUUAGUUUUGGUGAAUGAGAGGAGAUAAAGGUGAAUGAAGCAAUAUAUUCUUAAUUAACAAGAGUAAACCUUCAUGAUGUAGUAAAAGUAAGAAAACAUGUUAAUUUUUUAAUAAUAAAUAAGAUAUAGGUGUCAAUGGAAGAAAUAUGAAGCCAAUUUUUGUUAAUUUAACAGAAUAAACCUUCAUGUAUGUUAACUUUUUAGGCUAGAUUCACUUGAACAGAGGUUCUACACUUUUGGACUAAGUUGAUUCAAUUUUUUUCAAAGUCUGAGUGCUCACGUUUUAAUGUCAAUAACCCUGGGUGUAGAUUUUGAUGACUGUUGGUUGCUUUCUUGGGCAGGGAUGAUGAGAAUGAUGCAGUAGCGAUGAUGAAGGCUGCAGAGGAGGCCUUGGAAGCAAAGCAAAAGGUAAGUAAUGCAUAGAUAACAUUCUUUCUUGAUUCAUAACUAUCAUCUACUUUUUGUUAUUCAUGCUGAUAUUUUCAGCUACCGGGUGCAAGCUGUGAUAGAUAACCUUGCUUCAUUUAUUUCCAAGUAUCAUUUUAGUGCAUAUUAUUCUUUUUGCAGUUGUACUUACCUUUCAUUCCUUUUACUAUAUACAGCAAAAACCUUCUUUUGAGCUGUCUGGGAAGCUUGCUGCAGAAACCAAUAGAGUCAAUGGUGAGAUCUCCAUUUCUGAGUACAAGCGGAUCACAAUAGGAAACUAAAUAACAACCAAUCACUUAAAUGGGGAAGCCAUAUGUCACAGUGAGAAACUGAAUGGCUAUCUCUUACAUAACUAGGAUGUUAAAUAUUCUUAUUACUUAUAUCCUAAAUUACAAAUAUUUGUCUUCUCUAAAAAAAUUCGCAUAGAAAUUGUAGAGAUUUUGCAUUUCUAUUUGUUUGUUAUUAUAACAAAUAAAACGAAAAUGAUCUUUUUCAUGUGGUUAUUACUUUGUCAGGUGUAACACUAUUAUUCACCGAGCCUCCAGAAGCACGAAAACCUAACGUGAGAUGGAGACUUUAUGUUUUCAAGGGUGGUGAAGUUUUGAAAGGUAAAUUAUCUACUUGUUCUUGUGCCUUUUUUGCGACCUUCAUGCGCUUCGUUAACAGUGACACUUAGAGGUUGAAUGACUAGUGAUAAUGAGGGAGCUGUUAAGUACUGACGGGUUUCUUCUGUAUAAAUGUAAAAUGCUUCUAAAGACCUCGUGUCAUGUGUGAUUAAAGUGCCUUUUUUUGUGUGGAGGCAAAAUACCUUAUUUGAAUUCAAGUUUCAAAAAUAGUUAAACACCAAAGGUUGAAGAGCUACUGGCUGAAGAUUCUCUGAUUUUCUUAAGACCCGGGCUGCAAACCCACAAUGAGGCAUCAAUCUUCAUUUUUUAUUUAAGUGACCAUAGGCUUGUAGGGAGAACUAGUUCUAUGUGAAGAAGGAUAAGUGCUUGUGCUGAAGAGGAGGUAGGCCUUUUGUGUUCUUAAGAUCCAUGUAGUAACUUCUAUCACACACUUAACCUCUCCAGAUAACAUUGUUUAUUCAGACUAGCAGACUGUAGUAAUUCUUUUCCUUUUCUCGUAAUGGAAACAUCUCCUUAAAAGUUCCAAUCAGUGAUUGGCUUGGGUGCAAUGGUGUGAGUAAUAAAUAUUGGACAGUUUAAGAAAUAUUUGAUUGUUUAAGACUUUUCGUUCAAAUAUAAUAUAUUGCAAGUUUUGCACACAAAUAAAUGGUUGUUGUACAUUGUGGUGUUUACUACUACUGGAAAUUUAUUUUAGAUUUUGAGGCAUUUGCUCUAGUUUUCUUCCCAAAAGAGAAAAAUAUAAAACUAUGUAAUAUAGUAAUAUACUGAUAACUGUUUUUGUUGUUGCUUUAGGUUCUUAUUGCACUUAGUUUAAUUUUGUGUUUAAACUUUAUUGACUUUGUAUUACUGAGUAGACCAGUUAAGUUCCAUUGCUUAGGUGAGCAUAUUGUUGUGUAGUGAUUACCAUUCCCAAGCUGGGCUUUUCCAUUUUCUUUUCGUGAUGACUUAGUUUUGGUGAUUUUCCAUAUAUAUGAUUUCCAGACCCCCUUUACAUACAUCGUCAAAGCUGUUACCUAUUUGGGAGGGAAAGAAGGGUAGCAGACGUCCCUACAGAUCACCCAUCCUGCAGCAAGCAACAUGCUGUUAUACAAUACCGGUAGAUCUAGAAUUUUGUAGUUCUAUUUUUGCUAUAUAGAUUCUUGGUUAGCAACUAGUAUCUUAUUCUAUUUUACUUGUCAUACCAGGCAAGUAGAAAAGGAGCAACCUGAUGGUAUGUUAUCAAAGGAAGUAAGGUAAGACAAAGUUACCUUGCGGUUAAUUCCAUUAAUUUGAGAGUGAAUUUUUCAAAUCUCAUAUCUAACUUCUUGCGUGCACAACUGUAGGCCGUACUUGAUGGACCUCGGAAGCACAAAUAAAACUUUUCUUAAUGUAAGUGGCUCAUUAGAUUUAUUGGUUUUUGCAUUUGUGUUGUGUAGAGUAAAGCUUGGUUUUACUGUAUUUGCAGGAACUUGGUUUUAACAUUUACUUUGUUGUUGCAGGAAAAUGCAAUCGAACCUCAACGAUAUUAUGAACUUAUGGAAAAGGAUACAAUCAGAUUUGGUAAUAGUAGGUACGUCACUAAUCAAUUAUCUAACUUGAGCUUUGUGAUGCUUAGAUUGUUGUCCCCCUGAAAAUACUCAUCUUUUUUAUAAUGCUUUCUUCCUUACCGAUUACUGUAGUGAUCUUGCAGGUGAAUACCUGAAUUGAAUUUGUUUGAUUUAGAAGGUUACUAUAUUUGGAUUACGUUGAAACAAUAGUUCUCAUGUUCAUGUAGUUUCUAGGACUAGAAGUGUAAGUAAUUGGAAUCAAUUGAAGAAUGACAUGCAUGGAAACAAACUAGAGCUUUAGAAAGCCUGGAACAUAUGAACAAUCAAAUAUCACCCCUACGUGUUUGUAACUGCAAUCAGCUCCAAGUGAUUCAUAUUUCCUGGUCGACUUUAUUUUCAAGUUUGAAAGAUGAUUUCCUUGGUUAGGUUGGUUGAUUGGGAAAACUUCUGUAUAUCUCUUCAAAUUUGUUCAUCCGUUCUGAUGAUUUGCAGUCAAUUCUGUACUGUUGCUAAUAUUUAUGUCGCAUAUUUUGACACCGUCCUCAUAAUUUGGUUUUUUGCAGCCGGGAGUAUGUUCUGCUGCACGAAAACUCAAUGGAUUGAUGGGUACAAUUUGGCGGCGCACCUACCUUUCUAGCAUGUGGAAUGUGUAAUGUACGGACCUCUUUUAGUUUUGGCAAAUCAGAAUGUAUGGAAGUGAGUCGAUUUUACGAAUACCAUCAAAGUUUUCUGAAUGUUAUUUAAGGAUGUUACUAGAUAGAAUGCGUGGUAUGUUGCCUCAGUCUUAGAGUAUAAUAAGGGAUGGUUUGGGAGUGAGGUGCUUAAAAAAAAAAGCACCCAUGAAAAAAAGCUGGGAGGGUUUUAGGUGUUUAGUAAACUGAAAAAAAUGGCUUAUUUUGGAAGCUGUUGUGAGAAUAAGCUGAAAUCAAAGAAAAAAGCUGAAGCUGUUAUUUGCAGCUUUGGAAAACUGGCUUUUUUUCAAAGCACACGGAGCUACAGUGCUCCUUUAAUGAAAAGAUUCACUAUCAGACUGCCUUUUUUUUUUUUCCAAAAGCACUUUUACAAAAAAAGUUUACCAAACACUCUGUUGAUUUAUUUCACAGCCGCUUAUUCUUACAGCACAACCGUUUAUUCUCACAGCAGCUUUUUUUUCAAAGCACAGCAAUACCAAAUCAGCCCUAAAAGGGGACCGAAGUACAGAUUGUUUUUUUCAUUUUUCGAUUACGAUAGAAGUGCAAAGUGGAAAUUUGUUUGAAGACCGUAACCAUUGUGGCCGGAAAUCGAGGGAAGCGCGAAAAUCACUUUAUCUUUUGUAGUAAUGCCGAUAUGAGAGGCAUAUGCAUUUCUAAUUUUCUAUGGUUGGUACUUGGUAGUAUGUGGAUAAGACCAAAUGGAUGCUCCCCUCUUAUUAUUUUUGGUUAAAUUUCCCAAUAUAUACUUGAAACUAAUCCAAAGUAACCUUUUUUAUUGUUUAUCAAGACAUAAAUUUCAUUCUUUGUAUUUGGUCUCAAUAAGCUAAUAAAUCUCACAGCCUAAAGGCAUAUUUGUCGGUUUGCCCUUCGAACUUGGUAGCACUCACCUACUAACCACAACUGCCGUUUCGACCGUUCGCCUAUAAAAGGCACUAAAGGCCAAAGCAAACUGGAAAAAAAAUGAAACGCAGAAAAAGCAGCAGAGAACCAACAAAAAGGAAGAGAGGAGUACGGAGGGGUUCACGGGAGAAGGAAAAAAGGGAAAGCAAGGAAGACACGGCAAAGGGAGCAAAAGUUCUAGGUAUAAAUUUAUUGUUUAUAAUUUGUUCUUUGUCUUGGUGUUGGUUCAGCUUUUUGCAGAGGAAAAGAAGGAAGACUUGGCUCUUCUUAUUUGCAGACGAUGCCAAAGAAACAGUUGCAGAAGGAGAGAAGGCAGCGGAACACGAAGCCAAAGAUGCGGUUGGCGAGCAGAGAAGAAAGAGGGACGCUCACCGCUCCCUGCUGCUGUCGACUCCCCAAGGUCUAGACGGCUGCUCCUUGUUCCUCUCUGCCCAGCGAGAGUCCCAUCCGUGAGCCCAGAGACCGCAAAGUGCACCCUCGUCUUGGCCGAUAACAACGGAAAGGCAGUAGCAAAGUGGUGACAUUCGGAGACCGUGAGCCCACCGCAGUUCUCUCUCUACUUAUCUUGGACUCUCCUUCAACGCACACUGCAGCCCUUCCUUCCUCGCAUAAUGCUGCAACAACCGCCGACUUCAGACGGAAGCCCAAACGAAGGUAGCAGCCGUGCCAUGUCUCCAGCCGUCGUCUCCGGUUGUCUUCCAGAAAGAGCCCAUGCACUCUGUGACUUGAAGGAGAUGGAUUUGGUGAUGCAGUGUUGCACAAAGCUAGAAGAGACCGAAGAAAGUCACGACAAGAGGAGAGGAUCAACAACCGCCGCUAAUCUGCACUGCCCUUCCUAUGCCAUCGCAGCACCGCUCUCGUCACAAUGAGAGCAGGCAAAAAAUGCAACACCAAUCGCUGCGAGCCAUUCCCAUCCCAUCGACAGUUGCGAGAAUAACCCAAAGCCUUCAGAAAAUGCGGAAGACAUCCGAAGGGAAAGCCGAGAAUUUGAGGAAAGAAAAAGUCCCCCGGUCCAAAAUCGUCUCUGCCACCGUGUUGGUCAAAAAGCAGGGAAUUGAAAUGGCAUUCAUCGCAUCAAAAUCGUCUCUGCCACCGUUUCGGUCAAAAAGCAGGGAAUUGAAAUGGCAUUCAUCGCAUUGAAGCAAAUACAAGCUGCAGCGGAAGUGGCUCUAAAGUUGCAUUUUGAAACAGAUUGCAGAAGCUCAAAAGCUGUUUCUGCAGCCAUACCCGACGGCCGUGCAGUACUAUUCGAGACUUUGGAAAAUUCAAGUCUUCAAAGAGGAGACAGGAAAGCACAGAGGAGAUUGACGGUAAAAGUAUACAAAGAGGGACAAAAGCGUUGCAGAAAUUGCUGAGGCAUCAAAAGCUCCAAUGGCUCAAAGUUUUAACCCGCAUGAGCUAAAAUUGCACUAGGCAUUAAAAGCUCCAAGUGACUCGAAGUCCUCGCCUACAAGAGCCUAAACUGCAUAAAACAUCAAAUGCUUCUUGCCUGCACGAGUUGAAACUGCACAAGACAUCAAACUCCAACAAAUACAUGAACUAUGCGUGACUUGAUCCCUCAAUAAGGGUACGUAGGCAAUCUAGGGCUCUACCUAGGUGCAGUCACAAAAUCAAAAUCAAACACCCAAAUCCCUAAAUUACGAUUUAUUCAUAUUGGAAUCAAAGGAUUUUUCCUUUUUGACGGAGGAUUGUAGUUAAUAGACGCAUAGUUUAGAAUGAGUUGAACUCAAAUUAAUAAAAUCCUCUUCGGAAAAAUGAACGAAGGUGAAAUUGUAUCGAGUGAAUUAUUUGUUUACAUAUUAUGUACAAUUUUUGCUCAACAAUGUGAAUACAUAAUACAUCCAACGUGCACAAAACAUAUUUUGGUAAUCUUACAAUUUGGUGGGUAAUUGAAUGAAAAAAAUCCGAACUUUUAGGUAAAUCCCUUUACUCUACCGAUAAAUUUUUCAGUUUCUGAGAAACACAGUUGAAUACAUCAUGUAUCAAUAUAAUUAGUUGAAUUUUUUUUUUAUUUUCAAUCAUUUUUAUUGUUAUUAGUAUACUAAACCGUAUCAGGCGACUCUGAAAAAUCUCGACUCGACCUAACCUUUUACCUUUGUCCCCAGGAGGUUAGAAAAGUCGUUAGAAACUCUACUCCAAACAACAACAACAAAACUUUUUCCCACUAAGUAGGGUUGACUAUAUGAACCCUAGAACGCUAUUGCGCUCGGUCAUCUACCACUUCUUCCGUUAGAUCUAAGUAUUCUAAGUCUUUUCUUAAAGUCUAUUCCAAAGUCUUCUUAGGUCUCCCUCUACCCCUUCGGCCCUAAACAUUUGUCCCGUAAUCACAUCUUCUAACCGAAGCAUCAGUAGGCCUUCGUUUCACAUGUCCAAACCACCGUAACCGAUUUUCUCUCAUCUUUUCUUCAAUUUCAGCUACUCAUAUUUUAUCUCAGAUAUCUUCAUUCCUAUUCUUAUCCUUCCUCGUGUGCCCACACAUCCAACGAAGCAUUCUCAUCUCUGCUACACCCAUUUUAUGUAUGUGUUGAUACUUCACCGCCCAAUAUUUCGUGCCAUAAAGUAUUGUCGGCCUUAUUGCUAUCCUAUAAAAUUUUUCCUUGAGCUUAUGUGGCAUACGACGGUCACACAACACCCCAGAUGCACUUUUCCACUUCAUCCAUCCAACUCGUACUCUUUUCUUCUCUAAAAUCCUUUAGAGAAUGUCUCUUAGGACCCUAUCAUAUGCCUUUUCCAAAUCUAUAAAGACCAUGUACAAUUCUUUUUUUUUUUAUAUCUCUAUAUAUUUCCAUCAAUCUGUGUAAAAGAUAUAUUGCCUCCAUGGUUAAGCGUCCUGGCAUGAACUCGAAUUGGUUGUCCGAGACCCAUGUCUCUUGCCUCAGUCUAUGCUCAAUUACUCUCUCCCAGAGCUUCAUUGUAUGACUCAUUCACUUAAUCCACCUAUAGUUCAUGCAAUUUUGUACGUCACCCUUAUUCUUGCAGAUAGGCACCAAUGUGCUAUUUUGCCACUCAUUUGACAUCUUCUUCGUUUUCAAAAUCCUGUUGAAAAUGUCUAUGAGCCAUGCUAUACCUGUCUCUCCCAAAACUUUCCACACUUUGAUCGGUAUAUCAUUUGGGCCCACUACUUUUCUAUGCUUCAUCUUUUUCAAUGCUACAACCACUUCCUUCCUAAUUCAACGGUAAAAUGAGUAUUUUUUACACUAUUCUGAGUUACUCAGCUUUCCCAAAGAAGUACUCCUUUCAUGUCUUUCAUUGAAAAGUUUAUGAAAAUAACAUCUCCAUCUGUCUUUGACCGCGUUAUCUGUAAUAAGAACAUUUCCAUUCUUAUACUUGAUGCACCUCACUUAGUUUAGGUCCCUUAUCUUCUUUUUCCUUGCUCUAACUAGUUUCUAGAUAUUUAACUCUUUUUUUUUUUGUAUCUAUUUGCUUAUACGUAUCGUCAAAAGCCUCUAGGUUAGCUUCUCACACAACUUUUUUCGCCUCCACUAUUCUACUCCAAACAAAAAGAGAAAAGAAAAAGAGGCGACGUUUCUCCUCUCAAUUGCGUGGGCGUGUCACUUCCGAAACCUCAUAAAUGGCAGCAGCAGCCUCCGGUAGCGCCUCCACCACUUGCAAAACCCACCGCCUUAUCGCCCCGCCGCUCCCAAAACCCUACUCCUCCUCCUCCACCCAACUUCCCUUCAAGUUUACCUCCCGCGCCACCGCUGCCCCUACAUCCAUCUCCUGCACUCUCACCCGGGAUUCCGCCGCUCUACAGAUGGAUGAGAAAAACGAUAACGGCGCCUUCCCGGUUCUGCCCCGGCCCGAUUCGUUCGGCCGGUUCGGUAAGUAUGGCGGGAAGUACGUCCCGGAGACCCUAAUGCACGCGCUCGCUGAGCUCGAGGCCGCGUUUCACGCUCUCGCUAGUGAUGAAGAGUUUCAGGUCCUGUCAAUUUUGCUUCUUCCAUUCCUAUUUUUCUUUUCUUUUUUAAAUGUGAAAUUUUUUUGUUUUCUGAGAAUUAUGUAUUAAUGAAUUUGAAAUUUCUCUCUAUAAUUUUUAGUUGUAGAAGUAAAUUUACGUAUUGUAAACGUUUUCGAGGCGAAAUUUGUGAGAGGAAUAAAUAAAAUAGAGCUAUUUGAAUCAAGUUUCUGCAAUGAUUUUCGAGAUUGAAUUGAGCUGGGAAGGCAAUGUGGACAACAAAACUCGAUUGCGGAGUACAUGGCUCUGUUGAAUUUUUAGGAUUUGGAAAUUCUCAUUUCAAUGCUGCAUCCAAUUAGUUAGAGAAUUUGAAUUUGUAGGAGUUGUUAUUCGGUUUACGGUUUGUUUUAUAUAAAUGUUUGCAUUUUUUGGUUGUCAUGUGGUGUCUUUAGGAACAAAUUAGGACUAAUUAACAAAGAUUGUUGUGAUUGAUGAUUUUCUAAUCUUUCACAUUUUUUUUUGUUCAAUCCGAUAUAUGGUAGGAUGCAUACACUAAAUAUUAAAUUGGGAUGAAGAUAUCUUUAUGAUUUGGGGAUUAUACAGUUUUUUUUAUUGACGAUGACCGUGUGAUUUUGCAGAAAGAGUUGAAUGGCAUUUUGAAGGACUAUGUUGGGAGGGAAACUCCUCUCUACUUUGCGGAGCGGCUAACUGAGCACUACAAACGCCCUAAUGGUGAAGGGCCUCAUGUUUACCUGAAGAGGGAAGAUCUUAACCAUACCGGGGCCCAUAAGAUCAACAAUGCCGUUGCCCAAGCCUUGCUUGCUAAGAAAUUGGGAAAGAAACGGAUUAUUGCUGAGACUGGAGCAGGACAACAUGGUGUUGCCACUGCCACAGUUUGUGCUCGGUUUGGAUUGCAGUGUAUCAUCUAUAUGGGUGCCCAAGAUAUGGAAAGGCAAGCCCUCAAUGUUUUCAGAAUGCGGCUUCUGGGGGCUGAGGUUUGUUAUGAUUCUGCAACUUCUUUUAAGCAAUGCAACUUAAUUAUUUAAUUUAGCCCACAUUUAUAAGCUGACAUUGAAUGUUCUAUGAAACUGGAAUGUACUGACAGGCGACAGAUUGGGCAUAUUUUUCUCGAUUGUCUUUCUGUGGAAUGUUCCAUACUGUUAAUAUGUAAUGCUUGCCCCUUAUGUUGCCUAAUUGGAUUAGUCAUGGUUUCGCAUCUGUUGAAUACUUUUAAAUUUACUCGGAUUGACAAAUUUAGCUUAUUUUUCUCAAGGGAGUUUGUUUACAUAAUUUUUAAUUCGUCCUAGUUUCCAUCACAUGGAUGGUUAGUCAACAGUUGUUUUAGUCUGUAAGUCAAGAAAUGAUGACUUUACUUGUGCUAAGUUGUAAGUUUAUAGUUAUAUUUCACCCCAAAAAAGCUCUUAUAUUUCCAAGUUGUGAAAUUUAUAAACCAUUAUAUCUUUUCUGGUGUGAUUUAGCAAGAUAGGUUUUCUGAUCAGAACAUACACAUUGCAUCUUCUCUGUACAGUGUACACAGAAAAAUGUGUAUUCAUUUCAUAGCACAAUUAACUGAAUUUAACAUGGAUGACCAGUUCUUUUAAAUUUGUUUGUUCUUUUUCUUGAGAAUCUCAAUAUUUUGAAAAAGGCCUAAACCGUUAAUGUUUACGUAAGCCAGAUGUUUUGCUCUUAUUAAUCCUAUGUAUUUUGAACUGCAACUUCUCUUCCUGUUUUGAAAAAAAAAAGGUUAGACCAGUCCAUUCUGGGACAGCAACAUUGAAGGAUGCUACCUCAGAAGCGAUAAGGGACUGGGUGACUAAUGUCGAGACAACUCAUUAUAUUUUGGGCUCUGUUGCUGGCCCACAUCCAUACCCUAUGAUGGUUCGGGAUUUCCACAAGGUGAUUGGUAGAGAAACAAGAAAACAAGCACUGGAAAAGUGGGGAGGGAAGCCAGAUGUGCUGGUAGCUUGUGUUGGUGGAGGUUCAAAUGCCAUGGGACUCUUCCAUGAGUUUGUUGACGACAAAGAUGUCCGGCUGAUUGGGGUGGAGGCUGCAGGGUUUGGAUUGGACAGUGGAAAGCAUGCUGCAACUUUGACCAAGGGGGAAGUUGGGGUCUUGCAUGGAGCAAUGAGUUACUUGUUACAGGAUGAUGAUGGACAAAUUAUUGAGCCUCAUUCUAUAAGUGCAGGGUAUGACAAUUAAUUGGAUUUUUUGGCUAUUGAUUUUUGUAUGGCUUGUAGUGUGUUAAUCGUAUGAAUUUUGUGUGGUAUUCAGCCUGGAUUACCCUGGAGUUGGCCCGGAGCAUAGUUUUCUGAAAGACAUGGGGCGUGCUGAGUAUUAUAGCAUUACUGAUGAAGAAGCAUUGGAAGGUAUUGCACUUACACUCAACUUUACUUUAUGCUCUCUUUUGACAUCUUUCGGUAGAUGGUGGGGGGAAGCAUUCUAGGUAUGCAUAUUGUUUGAUAUGUUAUCUAUAGAUGAAUCUUUGUUUUACAUAUCGAGUAUUGAUAUAUUUUGUCCUUGGUUGCCAUUCCAUCUGAAGCUUAAUAUAUGGUCCUCAAAUGAUACUGCGAAGAAUUAGAGACCUUAAUAAGCUUUGACGUUUUUCUUUGCCCCAUAGUCGCAGUGUCCUUGUGAUGUCUUGGUCUUAAGUCCUUUAACCAUACUUUAUCCUUCCCUUCCUCUGGGUUUUUUUGUUCUUGGUUCAAACUUCGAAUGGAUUUCUUUUUCCCUUUGCACAUCCUUCAUCAUUUUUUUCUCCGCACAUGCAGCUUUUAAACGAUUAUCAAGACUGGAGGGGAUAAUUCCAGCUUUGGAGACAUCUCAUGCACUGGCUUACUUAGAGAAGUUGUGCCCUACACUCCCCAAUGGCGCCAAGGUCGUGCUUAACUGCAGUGGCAGAGGGGAUAAGGAUGUCCAAACCGCCAUCAAGCACUUGAAGCUUUGAUGUUGCGGCCACGAAUGAGCAAACCAAAGGACCGUCUUCGUAAAAGUAAAAGGACCAUGGAAAAUAGAAGUUUCAUUAUUUCCUCAAAUGGGUCUUAUGUAGCCACAGUUACAGAGGAAGUUUAGAAAUGCAGUUCGUCAUUUGGUUGAGGAUGCCUGUUCGGCAUCUGCCAACCAAAGGAAGAACUGCCGGUUUCGGUUGUUUCUUUGAAGGGAAAUUUUGUGCUACACAUUUCUUAAAUAACUUAAGCCAGUUUUUGUAAUAAUGCAAGUUUCUUUGGUUUUGCUGUAUGAUGUAACUUCAAUAAUUUCAAUGAGAAAAUAAAUACACAGUUCUGUUUUGGUCUGAAUAGUUCUAAUGGAUUGCUAUUGCAAAGCCUUCGAUAAAUUGCUAUUUUUUUUUCUUCGGAAAAAUACCAUGAUGUGUCGUCACAUGUGUGGGAGCAUGUGAAGUGGAGUAAUGUAAUUAUUUCAUGUGGGUGUUACCUCAAAAUCAGUAAUUAAGCACACUCAAAUUCAAGAACGAGAUUAACUAGGGGAGUUGGUCAUCCCAUCUUGGGAAGAGAUCCUCUCUGGAUCUCUCCCACCAAAACCCACCAAUCAAUUAAUCUGGGUUCUUGAAAUUUGAUCAAACGGUUAAAAUUAUUAACACUGUUAAAGAGGCUCUCUGUUUGUAACCGUUGAAUCAAAUUUUAAGGAUUCGGAUCAAUUUAUUGGUGGGCUUUGGUGAGAGAGAUCUGCAGGGGAUCUCUUCCUUCCGAUCCUCCUUGAUUUCUUAAUUUCUAUGUUCCUAGUAAGCAAACGUGUCAUUCAACAGUAUGAUACAUAUGCAAAUGCUCUAGGCUCUGUGUCACCGUUACAAAUUGCCUAUGUAUUUGGGUUGCUACAUUGAUAUAUAUUACAUCUGGACGCGGGACUUUAAAGCUUUGAAGUUUUAUGAAACUUGAAUUAAAUUGGUUAGGAAUGCACUACAAAAAUUAGAAAAAAUGACUUGAAAAUGGCUUUAGAUAUAAUACAUUCGAGGGAACUAUCAAUCGACUCUUUAAUAGUUGUCAUUUUGAAAGUCAUUUGUUAGUGCCGUUGUAGUGCAUUUCUAGUGUUUAAGUAGAAGCUUUGUAGUGUUUGAGUAAUGUUAUGUUGUUGAGUAUCUAUAGCAAUUUCUUUAAAAUUUUGUUAGCUUAGCUACUAAAUAGUGUCCAUAACUAUGCAGCUAAACAAUUUAACUUAGUAUCUCUAAUAACACUCUCUAUUUUAACAAACACUAUAUACUUUAAUAUUAAGUCAUUGUCUCUUGGAACCGGUAGAUCCGAUCUAGCAUAAAAAAUAAAUAAAAAAGAGUCAAUAAAGCAGGAAAUAUAUUUGUGGUAAACAAGCAAGCUGGACCUUACCCCAGUGGUAUUUGGUAGAAAAUUUGUCGCAGCCAUUCAACAUUUCUCUCUUCUUAGUUAAUAAUUGUUUAUGUUUAGCUAACUCAAAAUUUUCUUUUCCGCUUUAAAGUUAAUUAACAACAGUCCACAAAACUUAACAUAGAGAAUGAGAUAGAGAGCAUCUUAUUAUGUUCAUUAUUUAACGGUUAGAUAUGCAAUUCAAAAGAGAGAACAUCAUAUUUAUCUAUAUUAUGAAUGUAGUAAGAGUAAAUUACAUAAAAGUACCUUAACUAUAGGUCGAACCAUAAUCGCAUACCUCAUGUUUUAAACAUUGCAAUGUUAUACCUCAACUUAUGAAUUCAUUGCAAAGUCAAACCUCGAUUAAAUUUUCUAUCAAUUUGACUGUUAAAUGAUGAUGUGGCAAGAGUACAAGGUAGAGUUACGAUUGGGGGUUAGCAAGACUCACUGAAGAGUUGAAACUAAGGAUUGAAAGUAGCUAAAUCGUCUGUAUAACAGAUCUACGAAUAGUCAACGCCUUUAACAACGUAUUUUAGGGCAAUUCCUUAGGCACCUUCACAUCUACAUCUACCUAUAACAAGCAUGUACACACAAACAAGCUUGAAUCAUGUUAUCUUAACGAAGGAAUGCCAUUACUUAUAGCCGCAACUACACAUUGGUUGAGACUCACACGAUAGUCGAUACUUAGGAUUUCUUUUAGCCUAUAGACUAGGGGGUGUAUUCAAUUGUGAAUUUGAAAGAUUUUAAUGGACUUAUAAAUCCAUGGAUUUUUAUGGAGUCUAAUUGAUUUGUAGAGAUUCUAUGUAAAAUUUUGAUUAAAUCUCUCAAAAUCUCUUAGGGAGAGGUAAGAUUUGUAGAUGUUUAAAAUAUACUACAAAAUCUCUCAAAUUCCCUAUAAUUCCUCAACUUUGUCAAAUUCUUUAAAAUCAAAUUCUAAUUAAAUACAUCUGGAAUGUUAUAAACUUCCUUAAAAUAAUACACCCGGAUUUCUAAGAAUUUUAAUAAACUAUCUUAAAAUUCUGAUUGAAUACACAUUGAAUUUUAGAGAAUCACUUAAAUUCAUGGUUGAAGACCUCUAGAUUUAUUAAAAGAAUUAAAAUCCCUUAAAAUCUCAAUUGAAUACACCCUAGAAUCGUAAACCUCACCCUAAUUUAACAUCUGCUUGAACUCCCGAUCGUUUGGGCCCACUCCUUGUUAAAAUACUGAUAAAAAAUUCAUAAUUUAUUAAUAUUUCUAAGUGAAAAAUAUUAAUAUUAAUAAAAAAACUGAAAAAAAAUAUUUUUUUAAUACGGGGCUUGAGACUGCUGAAGAAGGGUGCCCGCUCGUCGAAGAAGCUAAACUUGACGCCGAUGAAGAGAUCCCGCCAUUGGAAGCGGUAUAGAACCCUAAAUUGAAGUGAAGCGAGGCGAGAGAAAAGGGAGAAAGGGAGGAGUCUCCCCAAAGUCGUUUGUGAGAAAAAACACAACCCAGAUACAAACCCUAAAUUGAAGUAAGUUUUUGAAAAAUCGAGUAAAUCAAAGAGUUAAAUGAGAAGCUGGACUUUGGGACUGGAGGGUUUCUGGUGCGAAGGCAUUUAAAUCCUUCUGGUGGAUCGCAAUCUCACUCUCGCAGGCCAUCCGUAACGACUCCAUCUUCGUCCGCACGAACUCAUCGGGUCAGCUGCCAGCGGAGUACCCGAACCCGAACCACCUUCAUUCUUCCGUUGAUUUCGCCGCCGCAAAUUGGGUCUCUCUUGUUUCCGAUUCCCCGCGACUUUGCUAUGCUGAACCGUGAUUCGCAAUCCUCUCGAUUCAAUUGUCGACGUCGGCAGUGAUGAGCUUGGUCCCGAGAUCCGCGGGCGGAAGACAACUGGGUAGGCAUGGAUUCGUGGAGCUUGCCUGUGCAACUCGGGAAGCUUGUACCUACUCACCUCUAACAGUCUCAAGCCCCAAGAAUAAAAAAAUUAUUUUUUCAGUAUUUUUUUAGAAAAAUUAAUAAAAAAAUUUAUGAAAAUUUUGAGUUUUAAUGAUAAGGAUAAAAUAAAAAGUAUAAUAAAUAGUAUCAAAAUUGGUUUUUUAGUGUAAAAAUGUAUUUUUUUCUUUAAAGUGAAUAUUAUCGAGAGUUUGUUAAAGUUCUUUUCUUUUUUUAAUUUUUUUUAUAACAAUUUUCAAUUUUUAUUAAUAUUAAUAAUUUUUAGGGUUUAGGAAUAUUAGUAUUAAUAAAUUAAGAAUUUUUUAUCAAUAUUUUAAUCUAGAUGGGCAAGGAGUGGACCUCAUUCUUGCCACAUCAUUAUUUAACAGUUAAUUUCACACUAUCAUUUAACAGUUAAUUUAACAGAAAAUUUAACGGAAGUCAAACAUUACAACGAAUUAAUAGGUUAAAGUAUGACAUUACAAUGUUUAUAAUAUAAAAUAUGAAAUUAUGGUUCGAUCCAUAAUUAAAAUGAUUAUGUGUAAUUUACCCAUGUAUUAAAUAAAUACAUGUAUCAUUCCAAAGUUCUUCAUUUUAAAGAGGUUUUUGGAGACGCUUUAUUGAGCUAUUUACCUCCACUACAAAUCGUACGUACAGAAUGACAUGGGAAGGUCUGAUUACUACACCCAACCACACCAUAUCCUAACCUAGAAAAGUACAUUUUAGUUUACGCUAUGUUUAUUUGCAGCUAUGCUUUUUAAAACUCGAUUUUAAUUUCACUUUACUUUCUGAAACUCAAAAGUCGUCACUUUACUCUUUAAAACUCAAAAUUUGCUCAAUUUUGCCCCUUGGAACUCGAUUGAUCCCAUUUUGUCCCUUGAAAUUCAAAAAAUCGUAAUAAAUCUCAAAAUUCGCUCCACAUUACCAUCGAUCUGUUAAUUUCUUAUGUGAAUUUGAUUUGGAUGCACUAGGCUGAUCAAUUUCUUUAUUUUUUUUCAUCUUUUCAAUUUAUUUUAAACUUAACAUUUUCUGAUUAUUGAAUGUUAACUCAUAAUGAAUAUUAACUCAUAAUGAAUAUUUAUAAUCAAAAUUAUUACAUAUAUGACAUAGUUUUAUUAGUGUUGGCUCCCACAUAUAUUUCGAGAGGACCUAUGAGUUUCAGGAGAAGAGAAAGUUCACAAGUCAAAAUAGAACGUAUUUUAAGUUUCAGAUAAUAAAAUUGUAACCUUUAAGUUACAUGGACAAAAUAAAAUCAAAUUCGAAUUUGAAAAGUGUAGCUAAAAAUAAGCAUUUAUAGAGAAAGCUGAUGGAAUACCUUAAAGGAAAACUAAUGAAAAGGGCUUGAAAACUUUGAGUUUUAAUGAUAAGGACAAAAUAAAGGGUAGAGUGAAUAAUACCAGGAUUGACUUUUUAGUGUAAAAAUAUGAUUUUUCGUUAAAGUGAACAGUACCAGGUGUUUUCGUUAAAGUUUCCAUACCUUAAUGCAAAAAGAUGCGGACCCACGUGACCGUUUGGUAGCAAAUAGAAAUAAGCAAGGCAACCUCAUAGGCAUUGUUCUCUUCUCCGGUAAAAAGAAUUGUCGAAGCCAUUCGACAUUUCUCUCUUCUUAGUUAAUAACUUUUUAUGUUUAGCUAACUCAAAAUUCUCUUUUCCCCUUUAAAGUUAAGGAACAAUUGUCCACAAAACUAAAAUAGAGAAUGAGAUAGAGAGUACCAUUUUUGUGCACUUUUAGUUAAAUUAGCUAAAGAAAUAAGACUGGGUACAUGCAUUUACUUAACAUGUUCAUUAUUUAACGGUUAGACAUGCAAUUCAAAAGAGAGAAUAUAAUAAUUACCCAUUUCUGUUUGAAUGAUGAAUGUAUUAAAUAAAAGAAAAACUAAUGAAAAGGGCUUGAAAACUUUGAGUUUUAAUGAUAAGAACAAAAUAAAGGGUAAAGUGAAUAGUACCAGGAUUGACUUUUUAGUGUAAAAAUAUGGUUUUUCGUUAAAGUGAACAGUCCUAAGUGCUUUUCUUUAAAGUUCCCAUAAAUAAAUGCAUGCAUACUGUAGCAUGGUUUUUGGAGAUGCUUCUUUGAGAUAUUUUCCUCCUCUACAUAGGAAGGCCUGAUUAGUCAAAGCCAUCUUGCACGGUACACCCAACUACACCAUAUCCUAACCGAGAAAAGUACCUUUUAGUUUAUAUUAGGAUUUUAAUCUCAUUUUAUUUAUGUAAUUCAAAAAUUGUCACUUUACUUCUUAAAACUCAAAAUUCGCUUCACUUUGCCCCUAGAACACGAUUUUGAUUUUAUUUUGCCUCCUGAAAUUCAAAAGUUGUUUCUAUAUAUCUCAAAAUCAGCUUCACAUUGACUUAGAUCUAUUAAUUUCUUAUGUAGGUUUGAAAUAGGUGCACUAGACUAAUCCAUUUAUUUUUUAUUUUUUUCAUCUCUUCAAUUUAUUUUAAACUUAACAUUUUCUGAUUGUUGAAUGUUAACUCAUAAUGAAGAUUUAUAAUCAAAAUCAUUUCAUAUCUGGCACAAUUUUAUGCUUGGAUCUCACAUAUAUUUCAAAAAUCAAAAUAAAACGAAUUUUAAAUUUCAAAAAGUAAUCGUAACUUUUGGGGAAGGCAAAGUAAAAUUAAUAUUGAACUUCGGAACCGUAACUAAAAAUAAGCUUUUAUGCUACUCCCUUCCAAAGUAGAGAAAGUUGAUGGAAUACUUAAAUGCAAAAAGAUGCGGACUCACGUGACAGUUUGGUGGCAAAUAGGAAUUAAGCAAGGCAACCUCAUACGCAUUGUUCUCUUCUCUGUCGACUGAUAUUUCAUAGAAGAAAAUAAACCCCAAACCCUUUUGCCUUUUGUAUCUUUCAACGCCACACCCCUCCACAACGCCACCCCUCCACCAAACCCAACCGUCAACAAAUUCAAUUAAAAUAUAUAAAAUAUAAAUCCUAUUUAUUUGAUUGUUCUGCUUUCUGAGACCUACUUCUACGGUCAACAAUCUAUGAAAGCAAAAAAUAAAUAAAAAAUAAAAAAUAGUUCCUUUGCUUUUUCAUGUUUUUAUUUUUUAUUCAAAAAGCUUUGAUCUUUCCUAUAUAUUGAAGAUCUACCGUUCUGGGUUCAACUUAUUCGAGCUUUUCAGGUAAAAAAAAUAAUAAAUUUGCUUCCGUCUUUAUAUUUUGCUCCACCACCCCAGUGAUUUGAUCUCUUUUGGGUUUUGUUACAGAAAACCAAUUGAAUUUUCACCCCAAAAGUCCCACCAUGAUCUGCUCUGUGAAGCAAUACACCGGCGUGACAAAUGGGUCCGACAUCUUUUUACGGCGGAGCACACGACCGCCGCCGGUGCAACGAUCGCUGUUUCUGCCCUCUCUUCCGGCGCACCAGCCUCAGAGAUCAGGAAUCUCGGUGCAAAAGGCCUUGCACGUAUCUGCGAUCGCCACCCUCGGAGCUUUGCCGAAGCCGACUCGAAUGAGUGUGGUUAAAUGUCAGGCGUUCGAGGCUGACCGAUCGCAGCCGAUCGAGUCCAGCGUCGAGCUUCCCAAAGUCGAUGCUAAACUGGAGGCGGCGAAGAAGCUGAAGAUCGGCGUGUAUUUUGCUAUGUGGUGGGCGCUGAACGUGGUGUUCAAUAUAUACAACAAGAAGGUGUUGAAUGCUUACCCUUUCCCAUGGCUGACCUCCACCCUGUCUCUGGCAUGUGGGUCUUUGAUCAUGCUGGUAUCUUGGGCCACCAGGAUUGCUGAGGCCCCCAAAGUUGAUAUGGAGUUCUGGAAAGCUCUGUUUCCUGUAAGUUCAGUUGGUUUUAAUUUGGUUUAUGUAUAUAUAUAUAUAUAUAUAUAUAUAUAUAUUCAUAUGCAUGUAUGUAUAUAUAUUAUGCUUUUGGGGUUCUGAGAAUGGAGGAAUAUGAAGGAAAGUGAAGUUUUUAACUUGUUAUGUUUGAUGGUGUUGAAAUUUCGAUAUGGAUAUCGAAUUAGGAUUGUUGGGCGUCUUUUAUUCUGUGAAAAUAACUAUUUUGUUUGGUAGCUGAGAAAAUUAAAGGCAAGAAAGUGUAACUUGAGAGGUCUUAAUUGUUGAGAAAGUUAUAGAGAUAAGUUUUUAUUUCCAGCCAUACAAUGACUCAGAGGCUUUGGUGGUUUGUCAUCAUUUUGCUUGAAAAUUCUGUUUCGGUUUUCGCUUAUGGGUGUGAUUUUAUUGUUUGAUAUCUCUGAACAGGUUGCUGUGGCGCAUACGAUUGGGCAUGUAGCAGCUACUGUUAGUAUGUCUAAGGUUGCAGUUUCUUUCACCCAUAUCAUCAAGAGUGGAGAGCCAGCUUUCAGUGUAUUGGUUUCGAGGUUCUUGCUGGGCGAGUCCUUCCCUACAUCGGUCUACCUGUCCCUCCUUCCAAUCAUCGGUGGUUGCGGUCUUGCUGCCUUGACAGAGCUUAACUUUAACAUGAUAGGUAACCAUUUUGUUCUUGUCCCGGAGGGAAUGGAAUUGUAAAAUUAUUGGUUUGUUGGUAUUUGCAACCUUUGUCAGGCUCCGUUGGAAAAGAAAACAAAUACAUAUUAAAAUUAAAAUACGUCAAUACAUGUUUUGCCUUUGUAUUCUUAUGCAACCAAAUUGAGGUUCCAUUCUUCGUGCUAUAUGUUUCAAUAUAACUUAUUUGGCCAAAGUUUCGGUUUAUUUUCUUUUAUCUGAAGUUGGGUGUCGUAGCCAGUUUCUUUCUCCUUCUAGUUUUUCCAAAAAGCAGGAUGAGUUUUGGCUAGUUGCAGGAUUUUAUUCCGUCAUUAUGUUGUAAUUAUAAUGUAAUUUUGUUGCUUUUCUUAAGGUUAUAGAGACUUAAAAUUCGGUCUUUUUACUGGUUGUUUCAGGAUUCAUGGGGGCCAUGAUAUCAAACUUGGCAUUUGUAUUUCGGAACAUAUUUUCAAAGAAGGGAAUGAAGGGGAAGUCUGUUAGCGGAAUGAACUAUUAUGCUCUUCUAUCCAUUAUGUCUCUAGUAAUUCUCACACCAUUUGCGAUUGCGGUGGAGGGACCACAGAUGUGGAAAGCUGGAUUUGAUUCAGCAUUUGCUCAAAUUGGACCCAACUUGAUAUGGUAAUUACAUGUCAUCUACUAACUGUGAUUUCUUGGCCUGUUACUGACUCUGAUAUGUUUUAUAAUUUUAUUGUGUGGUUCGAUAUCUGCAGUUCUUAGCAUGUAUUUGUUUUCAUAAUAGAAACUAAGGCAGAUAACUGAUGUUCCGUGUUGGGAACAAGAUAAUCACUAUGCAACUACUCUUGUGCAAUUGUUCUACGAGUGUAUUAUUUAUUUGUUCAUUUUUUUAUUUUCACUUAAUUAUAUCCUAUUUCACAAUCUGUCCAAAGUCAAUUCUCUUCUAUAGAUUACUCUAAAAAAUACGAGAAAACAAUAUAGUCUCUUUUAGAGAUGUUUUGAAUGUCCUUAGCAGCUUAGCCAAAUGCACACGAUGAAAGGGAUAAGGCACAAUGCUAUUGGUUGGAAGGUAGUGUGCUAGAAGUACAUCUAAUCAGAUGAUCUCGUUCUUACUGAUUAUGAAAUCCUUCUACACGCAAAAUAGUAGGUCUUGAGCUUCCUUUGGUAUGUUUAACUGAUAGUUAUAAUAGGGUCCUGCGAUCUGUUUUCUUGUCUUUUUCUGUAGGUUUUGUUGCUUCGUUCUUUAUGGUACAGGUCUUUUUAUCUUGAUGUAAUUGUACUGGAGGAGUUUAACCAGUACUAAAUCUGUGUGAAUUAUUGAAUGUUGCAGUAUUUACAGUCGUGAUUAUAAGGUGCAGGUUACUUGUUAUAUUAUGAAUUCAUAGUUAAUAUUUCGUGUAUUGAGCUGGAAACUUAUGGCAAUGUUGUUGCAGAGACCAUGUGGUGUAAUAGCUGAUUGGAACUUGAAUCCCCAUAGGAACAAUUCUUUGUGUUUGUUCUUGUUUGAUACAGUGAUACCUUUUUUUUUCUGAAUGUUUUUAUAAAUGCCUUUACUCACGCUGCUGUUGAUUACAUCCAAUAGGUGGAUGGCGGCCCAGAGUGUCUUCUAUCAUCUCUACAACCAAGUGUCAUACAUGUCCUUGGACGAGAUUUCUCCCUUGACAUUUAGCAUAGGAAACACCAUGAAACGUAUAUCCGUCAUAGUAUCCUCCAUCAUCAUAUUCCGCACACCUGUCCAGCCCGUCAAUGCCCUUGGAGCUGCUAUUGCAAUUUUCGGAACCUUCUUGUAUUCCCAGGUAUGCCCAUGUUCUCUCUAUGCAUUGAGGUUGAUUGUUCAUAAUUUACUUAUGGUCUUUUUGCUAAUUUCGCCUAUUAGCUUUUUGGACAUUCAUGAUAGAUUUUGUUAGUGUGCCAUAGUUUCAAAACAUCGAUUAUUAUAAUGUGCACCAAUUAUUCUUUAUAUAUUCUAAACAUUCUCUUUUACUUGUGGGCUUGUUUAACCCACAACAUCUGGAAUUCAACAAAAUAGGACGGUCAGGGUUUCAUGGAUUUGAACAAAUGAUCUCCCAUUUUGAUACCAUGAUGAACCUAACACUUCUCCUCUACCUCGAAUGUGUCAUAUUUCCCGCUUUCGUUAAAGGACACAAUCGUGGACUUAAAAUUAGGGUGGGAGGUUCUAAUUAAAGGGAUUUGAACUCCGAAUGCCCGAAUCCCUUGUUUAACGUCAUAUGAAUUUUUUGUUUGUUUACCCAUUAUUUCUACAACUUUGAAGUUGUUACAACGUAGGCCAACUGUUAGUAUAUUACAACACUUGCUCUGAUGCAAAUUGGCCAACCCUAUAGAUCCAGACAAAAUUAUUUGUUUGCAUUCUUCGCAUGGCUUUUGUUUGUAUGUUAAAGAUACCAACAAGAAAUCUGGUGGAUAUUUUUGUUGGUUGUGGGUUGUACCACGGUGCUUACGAUAGUGAUUGCAUCGGAACCUCAAACUAGGUAUUUACUUUUAUGUUAUAUUUCUAGUUCUUUAACCUACCUUAAUGAAGGUUUAGGUGGAGGCAAUUGGAGCAAUACGGGGGGUAGAUGUAUAUCCCGGCAAGGAUCAUGUUCCUUUGCUACUAAUUAGGAUGUUGAGUGUUAGGUGGCCUUCGCCAUGCUGUGGUUGGACCAUCAAAACCUACCUAAUUUUACUUUGAUAAGUUUGUUUCAUCGCUUAUACCAUUAAUUAAAAGGAAAACUAAUGAAAAGGGCUUGAAAACUUUGAGUUCUAAUGAUAAGGACAAAAUAAAGGGUAAAGUGAAUAGUACCAGGAUUGACUUUUUAGUGUAAAAAUGUGAUUUUUCGUUAAAGUGAACAGUACCGGGUGUUUUUCGUUAAAGCUCCCUUAUUAAAGUCGAGAACGCCAUUAGGCGUCUAAGUUGACUCCGACCGCACAAUGUUGGAAUAUGCUUUGGUUUCUCCCUCUGUGAUGCUAAACACAAACAUCUACUCUUUUACCCUAAACAUCAUCUUGUCUCCCUUUUUCUGCAGGCGAAGCAGUGAGAAGCUCGGGCUUGCGGAAAUUUACGUUCAUGCAACAUAAACGACAGGAAAGGGGGAGGAGGUGGAGCGGUUGGCGAUCCAUGGUUACUGAAUUUUUGGUUGUACGAACCAAGAAUGUGUAAUUGUAGAUACCAAUAAUGGUUGAAACAACAUUUCCACCUGUUAAGAAAGGGAACUAGGCAGUUGUGUUUUUUGUUUUUUUCCAUAUUUUUGUUUGAUGAGGUUGGAGAGAGAAAUAUUUCAAUAAAAAGCAGGGAUAAUAAUAAUGAUACAUGAGACUGUAUCUAUCUUUAUAUCUAUCUAUCUAUCUGCCUUGAGAAAGCAUCAAUGUCAAUGUGGACCUUAUAGAGCAUAUUCCAAUUGGGUUGGUGGUAGGUAUGCUUCAUUACACAUCGUCCACCUGGUGUAGUUUUUGUUUGUUUCAUGGGUGCUUAACUUGUGGUCGGAGGAGGCUGAAAUACCUUUUACUUUUUUCGGCCCUUAGAAGGGGGUGGAUAACUGUGACUUGCCACCAGUUCUUUCUUUUUUGAAAAUAAAAAGAAGGAGGAUUUAGUGCCUCUUUUAAUUCUAUUUUUUUUGGUAAUCUGGGGUUUGAACACUGAACACCCCCAAAAACACUAAAUAUUCUGAGAAGUGCAAACUAGGCGGUUACUAGCAAUUCCCAAAAGGGGUGUGCUAUCCACAUCCCAUUUUACUUCUCACACUCCCUGAUAAUUUGUCUCUGGAUUUUCUUUAAUUCAUCCGUUCAGACGAUCGAAAAUUAAAAAGGUGUGUGAGAAGUGAAAUGGGGUGUGUGGAUAUCACACCCCUUCCCAAAAUAUCGUCUAACAAAAGAUCACCAAUCCAAACAAGAGGUUCUUCAAGAAAACAAAAUCCCAAAUCAAGAUUGAAGUUCCAAUUGGCUAGACAGUCUACAACGGAAUUCUUCUGUGUAAAUAUGCGUGAGUUGAGAGUAUUCACGGCCGCUCAUGUGUAUUUGAGACUUAAUCAAGUUGAUUAAAGUAGUUUGUUUCGACUUUUGCACUCCAGUUCGAAUAUCCUUCUCCAUAAACCAUCUAAUACCGAACUGUUUAUUUGGGGUGUUCUUCUUGAGAGCUUUAGUUUUAGGUUAAUAGAAGCUUACAAUAUUUAAGAAUAUUUCAAUCAUAUUUAUAGUAGUGCACCUAAAUCAAAGAAAAAUUACAUACCAAUGCCAAUAUAUGUAAAGUUAGCAGCUGUGCGCAUAUCCCGCAUAGUUCUUAUCAAAGUUUUUAAAAAUGCUAGGCGUUAGUCGGGCGGCCGACUGGAGCCUAAGCAUGCGCCUAGGCGAACUCGACAUUUUAACUGUUAAAUUUUGGAUAAAAAGUCCAAAUUUAUAAUUCAACGGUUAAAAAAACAGAGUAUUCUAUUUAACAGAGCUUCAUAAAAUUUUUGUUGACCAAUUGCUCUUAUAUAACAUGUUAUCCAGUUUAGUAACAUGAACUUCACACCAGAUAUCAUUCACUCUAAAAGUUUUUCUUCUCUUUUGACUUCCGCCUAUAUUGUCGGCUUAAUUUUAAAUGGGCCCUUUCAAUUUAAAAAAGAAAAUCAAUCCAUAGAAGAUGUUCGUUGACAUCAAAUUGUCUCAGUUUAAUUACACAAUAUUACGCGUAAGUUUCUCUUUACAUGAUAUUAUAUUAUUGGCGCGAGACCUCACCAUAUCAAUGAACUCGCUCUUUACAAAUUGCUCUCGACACAAGACUAACACUCUUUGAUAAGAGAAAUAUGAGACCAACUAUCAUAACCGGUGUGAUUUUUUAUUUUUUUUAAUAAUAAAAAAUUGAUGUUAUAGUAGUAUUUUUUUUCACCUGUAGUUGAGUGAGAAGUUUUUCAUUGGCAAAGCAAAUUCAAACUAAAUUAUUAUCGAUAGCUUAUUAUGAUAACUUAUUGUGAGGUAACUUACUGUAGUACAAAUAAUAUCAAAGGAAAACUAACGAAAAGUCUAAAAAAACUUAUGUUUUAACGAAAAACUCUUUUUAAAUGUAUAGUGAAUAGUGCUAAUUGAAGGUAAAAAUAUAAUUUUUUGUUAAAAAUGAACAGUACCGAAAAUAUUUAGGGUAUUAAAAGAAUUACCCUAUACAAGUUGUCCAAAAAAAGUUUGGGUUUACACUCAUCGGGUUUGUCUCUUUGUCCAACCCAAGAAACACGAGUAGCGGUGGGAAAUGAUCACCGGGGAGUGGGGACGGAUAUCUACGGUUACGUUUAAAUGAAUACCGACAUAACUCUUUAGUUUUUAGCCGUUGAGUAAUUUCUUAAACAGUUAACGACGUGCCGUUUUUGCCCGGUUGAUGAAAUUUUUGCUUCAGUCGCAGUAAAUAAAUAAAAAAAGGGGUUCCAUUCGAAUUUUGCUACGAACGAAAAGCAACACACUUCGGAUUUCGUUCGUUUUCUGAGAAAAACGAAAAAAAUGGGCGAUUGGGAGUUGCAUCUGAGAAUCCUUUCAAGCAGUGCCAGAGACUCCAAUGUCGCGAACGAUCCCGCUUCCGACUCCUCUCUUCUCCAAUCCGUCAGUCCCUCUCUCUCUCUGCAUCUCAUCAUUUCCCUAACUUUCUGUUUGUUUCCCGAGAAAAUAAUUGAAAAGCAGGGAAACCCAGAAAUGAGCUUAAUUUUCUUUUCAUUUUUCUGAUUAAGGGGGAAAAAUUGGUUCUUUUUUGUUUGAUUAAAUGUUGAGCAGGUGAAGAAGCUGUAUGAAUUGUGUAAAGCUGAGAAUUCAGAGGAUUUGGUGGCGAGAGUUUACACGCAGAUUAACAAGCUCUUUCAGCGCUCGGUGGCUUCGCUGUCUCAAUCUCGAACCUCCAUUGGCCUUCUACUGCUGGUUCGUUUUUUGGUCCCAUUCGGAUUUUGAGUCGUAUUUUUGUUGCAUUGCUAUCCUAAUUUUGUUUAUUAUUCACUUAGCUCUAUGUUGUUAACUGCAAAUUUCGCUAUUUUGUUCCGUUUUGUUUAAUUGCUGAGAAAGGAUUAGGAAAAUAAAACAAAUGUUGAGCAUUAUCAACUUAUCAAACAGUGAUUUUAGAACUUGUGGGAUGGAAAAUGGUAUAUGGGAUGUUUACAAAAGUCACAAUAUAGAUUAUCCCGGGAAUCCUCUUUAACAACUGAUUGGAGCGAGCGCACUUUCUAAGUAACAUUCUAUAGUUGUUUGGGCCAAAUCGCAAGAAAUGGCACUCGGCAGAGCAUUUAUUUGAUGCUUAAGGUUUCAACUCCAUUUAAGUCUUUGACUUUUGUAUGCGUAAGCAUUCAGUGUGAUUUGUUUUGGAAGUAUACUGCGAGUGCUUUUUACCGGGUUACCUAAGGUCUGAGCUUUCCCUUGCAGAAUGAGAACUGAAUGCUUGUUCUCUAGGGCAUGUGCUUUUAACGUGAUGGAUUUUCUGAAGCAGUUUCAUAGUUUAAGGAGGGGGGGGGGGGGAGUUAAGAUGUAAAAGGGAGUCUCUUCUUUCGGUGUCUAAUAGAUUUUGGUUUUUUGAAAGAGUGUAUGAAAGGCAUAUAGUUGAAAAAUAAUUUUAUGAAAUUUAAUGCUGUAAACUAGCUAAGUUGUAUUUUCUGUUAGUGUAAUAGCUAAUUCAGUUUUCCAAUCUAUUAGUUUUUUUUAUUGAUAUAACCCCUGAUUUUCUAUCAGGCCAUUCUUCAAUUUUACCUUGACUUUGGGGAGAUGGUUCUACAUGAUGCUGACCCCAGUCUCAGGACAUUUUUCCGUUCAUGUUUGAGCCGGUGAGUGAUGUAUUUCAUUUGAGAUUAGUGUCUAGGCUGAUUAAAAGUAUAUGAUAUUGUGUGCCAUUUGGGUUUUUUUUUUUAUCCAUAUUGAUAUAUACCUAGUCAUUAGUUGUGUGAUAUGGAAAGUUACUUAGCAUUUGCUUGGUUUUUACCAUAGGAAAAGAAGAGAAAUUAUGGCAAGAUUAAUGUGCAACGUAUGUUAUUCUGUAGUUAAAGAUGAAAUGGAAGUGAGGAAGAUUUUUAUUUGUUACUUAAGUUGUUUUAAACUCCCCAAACCAUGAAACCUGAGGCCCAAGUCUAUUUUAAGAUCCAAUGGUCAAUUUACGAGGGAGAUGAACUGAAAAAUGACGUACUUUUUAUUGGUUAACAGAAGUAUGACGCACUUUGCUCACCUUGUCCUCCUUUAUAAAAACCUUGAUCAUCUUGUUUUUUUCAUGUCAGUUUUGAUGGUCAACAUGUUCUUAACUGUAUACUCUAUACAUGGACUCAUGCCAGACUUGUCCAAAAUUUUAUUACUAUCUAUCAGCUUAAAUGUUAAAUCAGACAUAAGCCAUGGUGUCUUAUCAAAGGAUAUUGUAGGUUGCUUUAUGAAAUCAACAACAAGAAGCAAGUAUAUUGACCUGGAAAUUAUUCUCUAGAUUCUUUUGUACGUUGAAGAGAAAGUUACAAAUGUUAAACUUCAAAAAGAUGGGCUAACUAAGUUUCAUUUGCACUACUUGCCAUUUUGUGUUGGAAUAAGCAUUUGUUUUUUUGCUUAUAUUCUUACAUUUUUUUUCAUUCUUCUUAUAUCAAAUCUAACUACAAAUAUGAUGGCCAUCACAUGUCAAAUUUUUCUAAUCUGGUUGCAGUGAGUUUGCAGAUCCUGUUGUCGCAGAAUCAACCCUUGAAUUUCUGAACGUCAACAAGAAAAAGCUUUUAACUUCUUUCCCUACCUUACUGCCUCAAGUAUGACCGAUAUUCUCAGGGUUUUCUGUUUAUGAUAAAAAUUGUUAUGUAGUAUACCUAUUAGAAAUGUAUGACAUAAGUCUUUAUUUUGAUAUUGUGCAAAGGUUGUGGAGGUACUUAGCAAUUGUGGUGGUGUUUUCAUGUACUGCAAUACACACAUUCACUUGUAAAUUACAAAGAACGUCAGUGAACAUGCUGUCUGAGUUAAAAUACUGCUUCUACAUUUGAAAGCCACAAAAUUGAACAGUUGGACCAUGCUCAUUAAUUGUGAUGUUAUCUGUGGAAUGCAAGACUAUUGUGUAUUUGUACUUGUUUUGCUUCAUAGAUCUUUUAAGUUCUUGCUGCUUGACAAUGUUCUCAUCCUUGUGAAGCUCUCAAAUAUCCGAAGGAAUUAAAACAAAAUCAGACCCAUUGUGGUCAAAUAUUUCAUCUUGAAUUUUAUAUGCUUUUGUUCCCUUCUUGCUUUUUUUUUUGUUCUUUUAUGCUUUUGCAGGAUCCGACCAUAAUAUUUCUUUCAAUAGCUGGAUAUGUAUCUCUAACCUUAACAACUUCUAUGCAGUUCUUUCCCUUGAUGUUAAAGUUGAUUGCAUGGAAUGGGGAAAAGUGAGUUCUACAGCAAUUAUAAUUUGACUUAGGGCUCAUGUUCAAAGAUGUAUAUACAUACAUAUGAUGUUUCGAUGUUGUCAGUUCUGAACACACACACACACACACACACACACACACACACACACACACACACACACACACACACACUGUGACACAUGUACGUACAUAUGAUGUUUCUAAGUUGUCAGUUCUGAACUUCUGAUGGUAAGCUGAAGACACACACGCACACACACACGUACGUACAUACAUAUGAUGUUCUAAGUUGUCAGUUCUGAACUUCUGAUGGUACAACUGAAGAUAGACACACACACUCACGUACGUACAUAUGAUGUUUCUAAGUUGUCAGUUCUGAACUUCUGAUGGUACAGCUGAAGAUAGACACUUGUGGAUAUGCACAUUACAAAGAUUUUUUUUAUGUUUCUAUUGUCAUUUAGCUUUAAAGAAAAUUGAUGAAUUUUAUUUUAAUGAAUGUCCACUUCGUUGUUUUCCCUGCAGGUUAGAAAAGUCAUAUAUGAAAGUUUUUCCAGGGUUGAUUUCGCCUGGGUCAUUUCUUCCAUUAUUUCCAGCUUUGGUAGACUUGCCAAGUAAGCAUGAUUAUUCAGUUCACCUUUGUCCUCCGUUUUCACCAUAUUUCUUUGAUGUCACAUUGUCUCUUGGCUUCUUUUACCUUAUAAGGCUUUUACUAUGUUGCAUGUAUAUGUGUUUUUCAUCUGUUGUUUCUGUUAUGUGUGGAGUUAAUUGAUUCUAGAUCCUUAUCUUUAAAAUAUUUCUUGUAUAUAACUGAUCUGAAAUAUUUAUCUAGCCAUCAUAUAAAAUUUAUAAGUUGUUAAGCUGAUAUGUCAAGUGCUAAGUCUGAGCAUUCAGCUUAUGCCUUACCACUUUUGAACAGACUGUCAUUAUGCUGAAAAGAAAAGGGUGAAAUAAUGGGCUUAUUAAUUUAUCUGUUUUUUCCGAACUGAGUUCUUGUAUUUCAAAUUUGUUUACUCUUUUUGUUUUUUUUCAAAAUAUAAAAACUAUUGGUUCAUGGUAGCCCAGUAAUUUGGGCUUGGCUGGGUGUGCUUUUAAGCCUUUUUUCAAUUGGUUUUUCUUAGUUUCCUCUUAAAGUAGCCUGAGAUUUAUCAUUUUUUGUUUCAACUGUGGUAGUUUUGGUAGUGGCAUUGGAGAAGGUUGAAAAGAGCUCGGGAUCGUUAGUUGGAAACAGCAUUGCAUCAAUGCAGAAGAGUUCGGCUCCCGAGGUUAUUUUUUAGACGUUUGAAAAUUACACGUGUUAACCUAAAAGUUCAGAAACCAUGCAAUCAAAGAUGUGCGUUGAUAUGUUGAUGCAGAUGCUGCUCGCUCUUAUGGAUGAAGCAUAUACUGGUUCAACAAUAGGAGAUGGAGGGGGAGACUCAGAAUCAGAGGACAGCAGUUCAAUUGAUGUUGCUGAUCCUCUGUUCCUUGACCUUCUAAAGGAUGAAAAUGAUGGCAUUGCUGUAAGGAUAUUGUUUCUGAAUCUCAAUUUCCAUUUGCAUAUCCUAAUGUAGAACUGUUUUCCUUUUAAGUUAUAUAAAAGUAAUGUUUCACUUACUUGUAUUCCUCUUCUUUCUUUUCUUUUGAUGUGUCCUUUUUAUCAUUUCAACCGAAUGCAAAUGCAAGACAACAUAAAACCAUUGUUUUCUUGUAAUUACAAGUAAUUAAGUAGAGAUGUGGACUUACUGGUAAACAUUUUUAUGUUCCUUUUAAGCAUGACUUUAAUGUAUAUGUUUCGGACCACCGACAAUUUUCCAAAUCAAGAUUUGAGCAUGUUUCUACAAAUGGUUGGGUAGCAUUAUGUUAUGACAAAAUUUAUUUCAAAUUGAACACUGGGAAAAUAUACUGAGAUUUUAUUUAUGUUGUAUUGCAGGAACGCCAUUGGACCUCUCCUGCGAUGGCUGCAACUUUACAGGCUGUAAUUAAUACUCCCCAAUCUAAUAGGCUGAAAAAUAUACUACGCAUGACACCAUGGUUUCUUGAUGUGUAUUUUGCUAUAGCACUGCGUGAUGUCAAUAAUUGUAUGUGAUAUAGCUCUUAUCCUACAUUAGAGUUUGGUAUAAACUCUUUUGUUUCUAAAAAGUUAUUUUCUCUAUUUUAUUCCAGCUUUGGUCUGUGCAUUGAUACCUCUACUCAUGUCCAGAAAUGCCACAAUAUUUCCUGACAGAAGUUUUUCUUAUGAGGUAUGCAUUUAAAUAUAUUUUAUGUUUUCUUUUGCUGAGGUUUUUGAUGUAGUGCCUUAUUGGCUUCCUAGACAGAAAACUAUGGGAGAUUGAUAUAUUUAUGAUUUUUUAUGCAUGGAAGUGGACCACUCUUCACGUGCACUUCAUUUGAUUUGAUAUUGUCAAAAGAUCAUUCUCCAGCAUCACACCAACACCCUUAGUGAUCUCAUUUUCUUUGAUCUCGGGUUACAGUUUAGUUAGGGACUCAGGGGUCACAUGAAAUACAGUAAUUGUUGGUCUGGAUUUGGGGAUCAAAUGUGAUGAUUGGAGACUAUUUCUUGCUUUUCAAUAUCCUUGGUUCCUGGUACCCUAGUAUAUAUUGGUGUUACAUUUUGUCUAUACUCAUUUUCACUAUAAUUAAUAUCUGUUGGUAUCUUUUGUGCAAAAAAUUCGUGUCCAUGUCCUGCAAGAUAAGAUGCUUUUCGAAUUAUGAAAUGUGUGAAAGUAAUCGUGAUCAGUUCAUAUAAUGAAAUAUUAUUUAUAGCUAUAUAUCAUAAGUGUUUCUGGUGAACUUUAAAGUCUGAUUGACCGUCUUGUCAUCCUUUGUCAUGAGUGGAUAAUCUUAUUUCUAAAUUUUUUUCAUUUCUGUAGGUUCGUAAGAGGCUAUUAGAAUUCAUGCUUGCUGCAUUUCAGCGCUCUCCAGAUUUUAUUGCACUUUUGAAGGUACUGUCCAAAAACAUUUUGCCUCUAGGAUCUUUAUUGUACUCUUUAUUUCAGCUGUGUAUGUUUUAAAAUCCAUUAGAAACAGUUGGUGGCACGGUUCUCAAGGUAUGUGAUUAGAAAUUCUUAGUAAGGUAAGUGAUUAGAAAUUCUUGGUAAGGUAUGUGAUUGGAAAUUCUUAAUAGAAAAGAGAAAUGCACGAGUUUGAGCAGACAGGAGGUUGAAGGAAUGGAUUUUGGUUAUUGGGGGUCUUGGUUCAUUCCUUUAAUGGUUUAAAGGGAAAAGUAGCCGAAGUGCAAUAUCCAACUUGUUACUUACCUAGUAGUAGACUCAUGUUUAAUUUUAUUAAUAUCUAGUCGUCAGAUCUUUUCUGUUCUUCAUUGAAAGAGUUUACAAUGUGAUUUCGAUCUUUGCAGAAGCCUAUAAUGGACAGGCUAGGGGAAGCUUAUGACAGCCCAGAAAAGGUCAGUUGAUCACUUCACUGUGUGUUGAAGCUUGUUUGUGUAGUAGUUUGUGUCUGAGUAUGUUACAGUUUUCUUUUCCUAUAGACAGAGUUGGCAUUACAAUUGUGCUGGGCCAUUGGAGAGCAUGGUGGGGGUGGACGAUCUCACAAAGAUGAAGCUCGCGAGCUUUUUGAGAGUUUAGAGCUACUCUUGUAUGAAAACCUUUCAUCUAGGUAAGAAAUAAACCAGCAGUUUGAUUUGUGUCUCAUUUACGUCCUUAGCAAUGUCGACUAAAUGUCUGCUGACUUUUCUAUUUUCCUUUUGUUUUCUUGUGAAGUCGUCUAGGCCUGGGACAGGAAUCAACCUUUAGCUCUGAUAAUCAAACUUACCGAAAGUCAUCACAAUCAAGGCUUCUAUGCUUUGUUGUUACAGCCAUUGCAAAGUUGGCCACCAUCCACCGUGAAUUGCUGCCUAGGGCACAUUUUUCCUUGGGCAAGGUUUGGCUUUCAGAUUUGACCAUAAGUCUAGCUAUUUUCCUUGCUAGAAUAAUGUGUGGUUUUUCAGUUACAAUUUUCGUAAGAGAAAAUUUAGCUCCUAUGUAUCAUAGUGAGAUUGGUGGAGUUAUGUAGAAGUAUAUUAUGCUGUCAAAAUUAUCUCAGCAGCUCACGUUCACUAAAUUGUUUUGUAUCCCCAGGUAGCUCGCUCUCGAAUAUCAGAUGAGAGGGUCUGGAGACGGGCUCGUGAUUAUUUGGGCUUAAUGACAGAACCUGCAAUUUCCUUGUCUGUCUUGGGGCCUUCCCGGCCUUCAAAUGGACAAAUGCAGAACCGCGGUACUGUCAAGUGGAGUGAUGGUGCAUCAAAGAUGAUUGCACAUGUUCCAUUUUAUAUUCUUGGUGAACAAGAAGGUCAGGAUCCUUAUCGAAACCCUUUCUUUUUUUUUUUCUUUUUUCCUGGCCGAAUAUUCUUAUUUGAACCUGUUUUACUAAAACUCUGAAAUAGUUGCACGCGUCCUUAAACAUGUCCUCUCCGAGCAUUGAACUUAGGUCAACAUGUCAAUUGAUCUGCACCAUCACAUGCCGUUGCCUUUUGAAAAUGAUUUUUCUUAUUUAUAUUCCCAAUACUCACUUAGUGGGAUGUGGCUUUGUAGUUGUUGACGUUGUUGGGCUAGGAUUAUGAACGUAUAAAAUAGAGAUGGUAAACAACACGCGGAAAAUGAAUGAGUGCGUGGUUACACUGCCUACGAAAUUUGGUUACUCUGGUUCCAUUACGCUAUACUUUUACCAAGUGCUGAUUAAGUACAACAUAUACUUCAAUGCAAUUAUGCUAUGUUUUGCAGAGAUCCGUUCCUAAAUUCGAACUUCGCCUUCUUGCAGGUCCACCCUUCCAUGAUUUUUUGUUCUCGGAUAUUCUUCCAAGAAGAUGAUGAAUGGCGGCGGAUCUUUUUCAGGGUGUAUGUACUUUGUAAUUUCUGUAAGAAAUCUUAAUUUACAGAUUGUAUUCGUUCUUUGUUCUCAAGAUAGUAGUUCUAGUUUGUACAUUGCCUUUAUACAAUAUGGUUCUAUGAAUGUGUAAACUGUGUUAGCCACUCUGCUUAUAGCUAAUUGGUUAUAUUAUUUUUUUGAAAAUAGUUAAAAAAACCGUUUCUUAUUUUAUGAUUUCCAUUUUUUUUGUUUGUCCGUAAAUUUAUUGCAAGCACCUGAAAUCAUUGGAAGACAUAAGGCCUGUUUGGUGGGCAGGAUAGGAUGGGUUAUUUCCAAUUAAAUUGGAGUUGUAGCUCAGCCAAUAUUUGGUGAAUUGGCUACAAAUCUGAAAUAAGGGAAAAUAUGAUGGGUUAUGUAACCCGACCACACACAUAGGCCAUAUAACCCAUCGCUGCCAAUCUAAUCAUGUUCCUAAUGUUCAAUCUCAUUCAGCCCACGAAAUGGGCAUGAUGCGUUUGUUGCACUAUACUAUUUUGGAUUGGCCUAACUUCAGAGACUAAGUUGGACUUGCUUAGAAUAGAUUAAACUUGACGGACUUAAUGAAGUGUUCAGUGCAGUGUUAGAUUUAUUAUUAAUUCUACUUCCACCCCCACCAAAAUACUCUUCCUCUCUCAAAACCUCCAUCUUUUUCAACCUCUUUCUCUCUGUCUCACGCUCUGCCUUCCUCCUUUUUCUCCAAUUAAAUUCUAAUCGAGCUUGGUUGUUGGGAUUUUUGUUGGGUGGGCAUGGAAGCCCAAUGGGUGAGCUUGGUUGGUCAAGAUCUUUACGAUUUUGAGUCUGAGCUUGUCGAAGUGGGGCUUUGUGCUUGCAGCAGUCGUCGUUGAAGUGGGGAUUUGGGUCACUUUUGGCUGUCGUUGCGCUUGUUGCUGCGCUCCUCUAUUGCGAUGGGAAUGUCGACGUUCUUUAAAAAAUUCCGUCUUUUGGGGAUUUGGGUUUCAACGGCGAUGCAGGUUAGCCGUUGAUUGUCUACUUGUUGGAAGGCUACAAGGACGAUGCGAAGCAGACUAGAAACCUGGAUGAGCUUGAGGCGAGGCGAGGCGAGGCGAAGCAAAGCAAGUGUAAGAGACAAUAUUAGCAUCCUCCUUUUCAUAGACCCCCUAGCGAAGCGCCCGCAAGUCUGACUUAGGGUUGGUUUGGAGUGAGCUGCUUAAAAAAAAAAAAAAAAAACACCCAUGAAAAAAAAAAGUUGUGAGGAUUUUAGGUGUUUGGUAAACUGAAAAAAAAGGCUUAUUUUGGAAGCUGUGAGAAUAAGCUGAAAUCAAAGGAAAAAGCUGAAGCUGCUAUUUGCAGCUUUGGAAAAAUGGCUUUUUUUCAAAGCACACAGAGUUACAGUGCUCCUUUAAUGAAAAGACCCACUAUUAGACUGUUUUUUUUCUUUCCAAAAGCACUUUUACAAAAAUGUUUACCAAACAUUCUGCUGAUUUAUUUCACAGCCGCUUAUUCUUUCAAAAGUUUUUUUUCAAAGCACAGCAAUACCAAACCAGUCCUUAGUCUCAUUAAACUUAGCUCCUUCUUGCACCAAACACGGACUAGGAAUCGUAGUCAGUCAAGUGAAACUUAAGGAAGCCAAACAAACAAGCCCUAAGGGUUUGUUUGGAAAUCUUUUAAAAUGGCUGAAAGUAAUUUUGUUGAAAAUAUUUUUAUAACAAAUCCUUAGUAAAAACACAAGUGAAUAUUGAAAAAACACUUGAAGUGCUUUUUAGAGGAAACACAUAACUGAUGUUUCAAGAAGCACUUCAACUGCUUUAGAACCCAAAAAUAUUUUUUCUAAAAGCGCUUCGAGUCAUUUUAAAAGCACUUCUAAAAAAGCUCCAACUAGUUCAUUAAUAAGUAAUGCUAGAAAAAUCACAUUUGUGGAUCACGUUGAUCUUUAGUACGUAUACUUGUGCGUCUCGCCUUUAUUCGAGAUGUGGUCUAUAUGUGCUGCGUGAUAGUUUAGUGUUUACUGUACCCAUGUGAAGUGUUGCUUUGUGAUUUUGUGGGAUACACAACCCAUUAAAAAGAAGAAUUGGAUCAAAAUGACUAAGAGCACAACUCUUCUAAGGAUCUAAUCGACUGAAAACAUUAAGAAAAUUGCUUUUGGACGAAGCAUACAUCCUGGGAACGCCACUCUCGGAUGGAUUGAAAAUCCUGGGAAGUUAGAGAAUAGUGAGACUGAAAAUGCUUACGCACUUGACAAAGAACAAGCCCCUUCUUUCCCCAUCCUAUGAAAUACUACAUGACGAGACAAUCAAUCUCUUGAGAAUAUCUCUAAGGAAAGUCCUGAUAGUUGUCAGUUUUGUUUAGGAUGAAAGCAAUGGAGAAAGAAAUUAACACGCUUGAUAAGAAACAUACAUUAAACAUGGUUUUAUCGCUGAAAGGAAACAAGACGGUGAUAUACAGAUGGUUAUUCAGUAUCAAACAUAAGGUUGAUGAAUUGAUACAACAACACAAGCAAGACUUGUGAAAAAUGGGUACACUGACAAAAAGUGAAAAACAUUUUUUAUGUGAAGAACGUUUUUCUUCACGACGACCUCUUGUUGCUAAUUUUGAUGUGAAGAACAUUUUUCUUCACAGUGAUCUCGAUGAAAAGUGACUAUCUUGAUCAUUUAUGUUGAUGGCAUGAUUCUUACGUUUAAUGAUGAUGAAGAAAUUCAUAAACUGAAAGGAAUACAUGAAAAUCGAGUUUGAGAUCAAGGAUGUCGGAGGACUCAAAUAUUUUUGGAAAAUAGGGUGAGUUUGUUGAUAGAAAUAUGAACUUGAGUAACAUGUAUGCUUGAUUACAAAUUCACAGAUUCACUAAUUGUUUGAACCAUCACUUAAAGAAUAUUACGACCAAGUUCUGGCUAAUUAAGAACAGUACAAAAUGUAUGGUGGGAGGGUGAUUUAUUUGUCACAUACAGGACAAAACAUUGCAUAUGUCAUAAGUGUGUAAGUUAGUUCAUGCAUUUUCCUACUAAAGAACACAUGAAUCUUGUGGUUAGAAUUUUUUUUAUACUUGAAAUCAGCUCCAAGUGAGGCUCGUGUUUCAAAGCAUUGUUAUUUGAAUGUGGACGAUACACUGAUGUUGAUUGGACAAGGAAUAGAACUCAUAAAAAAAUCUAUAUCUAGUUACUUUAUGUUUAUUGAGAGUAAUAUGGUAAUUAAGAUUGCGAUCAACUAUCAAAUAUUCUAACAAAGAUUGUGUAAAACAAAGGGUUUACAACACAAUUGACAAUUCGGCCCUGAAGACAUAAAUUAUCAACAUAACUAAACCUAACGCUCAAACAUACAAUCUCAUAAAUCGUUAACUUUACUUCGUAUAUAAAUAUUCUUCUUCUAUUGAGAAAUAUUGUUGAAAGAAAAUUAAAUAAGUUUCUUGGCAUAGUAAAUGUUACGUGUGAAUUUAUCCAUUUUCAUAAUCUUUAGUACACAAAAUAGUAAAAUAUAAGUACAUAAAGUAGAAUAUAAAUUGUGUGAGGUGCACAAUACAAUAUUAAACUUUAUUAAUUCCAUGUUAGACGUACUUCUUUCGAAAAUGAGGUUAUAGCAAUACGUAGUGAGUCCAGCCGGCCCAGAUUAGUCAUUGGGGAGCACUUCUUGGCCUCAAGCCUGUUAUUGGCUAUUUUAUUCAAAUUAAUAAAUAAUUAAAUAUGAAUACAUUAUGUUUAGUUUUCUAGUAAUUUUUUUAAGAAGAUAAAUUCCUUAUUUCUCAAGAUAUUUGUAUUUGGAUUGACCAAGCUUGAUGAGGAAUCAAGUUUGACGGUCAUUCUUAAAGAUAUCAAGGCUACUAAUGUGUUGCUUGAUGAAAUUUUAAUCCAAAUAUGUCUAACUUUGGAAUGGCCAAACUUGAUGUAGGAGUUAAAACCCACAUAAGCACCUAUAUUGCUAGAACAUUGUGAGUCUCUAUAUUUUAACUUAUCUUCUUAUAUUUGUCCUUCCAAUAUAGUUGUAUUACUGCAUAUAUGUACAACUAUUGUAUUGAUGUGAACUUUCAAUUAAGAGAAAAAUACCCUACUUUUGUAAGAUAUUUUCUUAAGCUAAACAAUUUCAUAAUUUCAUGAUUUAAUUUGGAGUGAAUAUAUGGCACUGGAAUAUACAAUUCGAGGUUAUUUGACCAAUAAACAAAUGUUUAUAGCUUUGGAAUUGUUGUAUUAGAGGUCAUUAGUGAGAAGGAUUGAAGUCAGUAGACAAACGAAAAGACUUUUAUAUUCUUGAUUGGGUAACUUUCUAAUUGGAAAUCUAUUUUGAUUUUGUUGAAAGUUCUCUUGUUUUUUUUAAAGGUAAAUAACUUAGUGUGCUUUUAUUCGUUUCAUGUUUUAAGGCACAUGUACUAAAAUCUGACGGGGAUUUGAUGAACCUAGUGGAUCUAAGGUUGGGAUCAAACUUCAAAGGAAGAGAUGACUGUUACAAUCAAUGUGGCUCUUCAUUACUCUAAUGCUACUUCAAAACUUAGGCCCAUCAUGCCUUUAUUUGUGAGCAUGCUUGAAGGCAUGGCAACUGUUCAAGAGUUUAUCUCAGACCCAAAUCCCUCAUCAAGUAAUGAGAUGGAUGCAAGGAUGAAGAAAUGUUUUCAAUCCUAUUCAUAUCGCCGAGACACUAGAAAAGAGAGAAAAUGACAUAGUGUUUGAUAGAUUAUCAACAUAACUAAACCUAACGCUCAAACAUACAAGCUCAUAAAUCAUUAACUUUACCUAUAUAAACUUUCUUUUUUCUGUUUAGAAAUAUUAUUGAAAGAAAAGUUAAUUGUUUCUCAGCAUGGUAAUAUUUAUGUGUGAAUUCAUCUAUUUCCAUAAUCUUUAGUACAUCAAAUAGUACAAUACAAGCACAUAAGUAGAUUACAAAUUGUAUGAUGUGCACAAUACAACAUUAAACUUAUUAAUUUCAUUUUCAAGGUACCAUUUUCAAAAAAAUGAGGUUAUAGCAGUACUUAGUGGGUUGGACCAGCCCAAAUUAGUCAUAAGUGAGCACAUUUCAGGCUCUAGCCCGGCUAUCUUAUUUAACUUAAUAGAUAAUUAAAUAUUAAUAUAUUGUAUUUAGUUUUCUAGUACUUUUUUUAGAGACGAUAAAUUCCUUAUUUCCCAAAGACAUCUGAUUUUGGAUUGGCCAAGAUUAGUGAGGAAUUAAGUUUUAAGGCUGUUUAUACCAUAUUUAGGGCCUCCGUAUUUAGAUCUCGUAUAAAUACUCGGAGGACUUAAAUGUAAUUAUAUAAUAAAGGAAGGAGCAAAUAUAUAAUAAGCGAAGAGCCCUUAUUCUAUAAAAGGACUUAUCACCCUCACAAUUAGGAGAGACCAAUUUCUUAGGCCAUGGAAAGGGUCUCUCACCCUCAGAAGCUCUCUCCAUCUCUCUCCCUCACAAACAGAUAAAUAUAUAAUCAGUGUGGACGUAGCCCAAACCUUGGGGUGAACCACGAUACAUCUUGUGUUAUUUACAUUUCUUACAGAUUCACGGUCGGAUUUACGUUGUUCCAAGACCUCGGGUUUUGUGCAACAACAUUUGGCGCCGUCUGUGGGAAACGAUACGAAAAGUUAUGUCGGUUCUCUCUCAAUUUUUCACCUCCACUGUGAAUCUGCAAGAACCAUAAAAAUUUCAGAUUUUCGUGGUUGCUCAAAGCUGUUGCUCAAAAAUUCAGAUGAGCCAACUUUCUUUUCAUAUGCUCAAAGCCUGAAAUUGGAUCUCCGUGGUCUUUACAGAAAUUUGCAAAUUACCUCUUCCCAAUUUUGUACCCUAUUCAUGUCCAACACAACCGUAACACAAUCCCUCAGAAACCCAUCUGCCUAGAAUUCCAGAAAGGUGUCAUAGCUCCGCCCCACAAAAUCCUCGUGGAGACCCUGCCCUCUGAUUCUUCCAAAUAGGCGAGCUUGAUUCGUGUACAGUGAUGGUGGUGGCCCAGAUAAAGUCGGGUUAGGUUUGGCAACCCAGAUCCCGUAGCGACGCCAGAUCUACGACACGUCCUUCGCAACCUUCCACGUCGUCGAGCUCCUCUCAUCCACCCGUUUCUCCCAUAAGAAGAUCGCCUAGGAAAGUGAGAGAACUCUUCCGUCGUCACUCUAUUUGGUUCGAAUCUAUCUUGUCUCUCUUAGUUGGCGUAGCCAAGGAGUUCACUGACGAGCUCGGGUUCUUCAGAUCCACCACAAACGGCGCUAAAGACACCGUCGCCGAUUUUAUGGGCGUCCUAAUCGGCUCACUGUUGCUUUAUUUUGUCAAGUAUGUGACUCGACCUGAGAAGGAGACGGGUCAGAUUAGAGAAGUUUCGAUGAUUUCAAAAGGUGCUGCUUGUUUGGCUUUGAUUGCUUUUUUUGUUUGGCUGAGGAACACCGGGUUGAAGCGGUUGGCGAACGCAGUGCUGAGGAAGGAGCUGCAGAAUCCGUCAUAACCGUUGGCUCCCCACGACCACCACGUCAGCGCAAAGCUGCUUUGCCAUCUGCAAAGGACAUCCCUCGGAUCUCCAUUCACUACUUUCGUCUCCACCUUAACAUCCUGAUAGAGGUCCCUGCACGUUUUCUUGGCCUUCUGCAUCACGCAGUCCGCCACAUCAACACGUCUUCUUGGACCAACUCGAGUACUUCUCUGGUGGGAUCUCGAUUGCAGGUGGGAAGGUAAAUAUCCCAAAACUGUGGCAACAAAACAACUGAACCUACAUUCGCCACCGGAUCCUCCAUUCCGAUUUACCCUUCCGUUUUUCGAUGGCGACUCCCACCGAGUCUCUCCUCUCCAUUGUCGGGUCGGUCUCCACCAACUCCACCAAGAAACGGGUUCGGAUCUUCUGUGAUGAAAUUCCCGCCGUCCUCAGCAACUUCGAAAUUGGUACUGAGUCUGUACUACCAUUGAUAGAUAUAAUCUUUCAAACAUUGUACAUUUACGAUGAUCGUGGGUCAAGGAAAACUGUUGAUGACAUCAUUACAAAAGGUUUACAAGAGGUUUCCUUUAUGAAAAGUUUUGCGGCAGCCCUUGUUCAGGUCAUGGAAAAACAAGCGAAGUUGCAAUCACAUGUUGGCUGUGAUAGACUUCCUCAGUGGUCAUGCCUUUUAUUGAGUAAGAGUAAGUUUGCCACAGUCUCAAAGAAUGCAUUGUGGCCGUUGGUCCUACAGCGAUUGUGGCUGUCGUCACCUCGGAGAAGAUAGUCGUCUCCAAUUGCAGCGAUUACUGCGCUGUGCUUUGGCGUGAAGAAUGGCGCCGUUCGAGUGGGCCAAGGAGAAGGCCCAUAUUUGGGACACCGAUGGCCAGGAAAGCCAUGGGGAAACAGAGAACUUGAGUGCCAUCUGCACUCUGCAAAGUAAAAGUAAAGCAAAAAAAGAAAAAAAGAAAAAAAAGGAGAAAAGAAAAGCAGUGGGAACAGAAAAGCAAAAAGAAAAAGGGAAAAAGAGAAGUGAGAAUGGAUGGGCAUGACAAAAGCAAGUGGGUUUGCAAGCAAAAUAUACCUUACAAAACAAGGUGGACAAAGAAUGAGCGGGGAGAUCAAGAAAAGCAUCAAGAAAAGCAGAAAGCAAAAGCAAGGAAUAAACACCCCACUAGAAUGAUGUGGUUUACUUUCCUUAUUUUUGAAUGAUGUAAUUUAUUUUUCAUAUCUUUAAGAGAUAUCUGUAUAAACCUUAUCAGAGUGUAAUAAAAAAAAAUGGCAAAGCCCAAAAUAAAUGGGUUGGAAUGUUGUGUAGAGGGCGCAGACCCAUAAGCCCAAAAUAGCUCAAACCAAGUGAUCAAAAGUAUGCCCAGUACUUUAAAAUUAUUCAGCAACCUGCCGCUAAUACCACCAAACAGGUGAUCAAAAGUAUGCCUAGUACUUCAAAUUAUACAUGAGCAUUACUCAUGUCAAUCAUACAUAAACAUGCAUGAACAUUACUCAUGUUAAUCAUACAUAAACAUUUAUGAGCAUUACUCAUUCAAUCAUACAUAAACAUUCUUGAGUAUCACUCAUAUCAACAUUCAUGAGCAUCACUCAUGUCAAAAUCAAUGAGCAUCACUCAUAACAAUCGACAUAAACAUUCAUGAGCAUCACUCAUGUCAAUCAGCUUCAAAAGCUUCAUUUACAAAAGCUCCAACUUCAAAAGCUUCAUUUACAGAGUUCCAGCUUCAAAAGCUUCAUUUACAGAGCUCCAGCUUCAAAAGCUUCAUCUACAAAAGCUCUAGCUUCAAAAGCUUCAUCACUCAUGUCAAUCAGCUUUAAAAGCUUCAUUUACAAAAGCUCCAGCUUCAAAAGCUUCAUUUACAGAGCUCCAGCUUCAAAAGUUUCAUUUACAAAAGCUCUAGCUUCAAAAGCUUCAUUUACAGAGCUCCAGCUUCAAAAGUUUCAUUUACAAAAGCUCUAGCUUCAAAAGCUUUAUUUACAGAGCUCUAGCUUCAAAAGCUUCAUUUACAGAGCUCCAGCCUCAAAGCUUCACUUGCAAAGCUUCACCUGCAAAGCUUCAGUGCAGGGUAUACAAAUACCGCCUCCGAAAAACCGUUACUUCGGCCCAUACAUGGAUUCAAUAUGAAGUUUCCAGCCAACAUACUCUAUUGACUGAAGACUUGGGGGACUACACUAUACACCAUAUAUUGGGCCUCAACUGGGCCUCAUGAAAAAUACUUGGGGGACUUAGCCCAUUAUUUAUGUAUUGAGGAGCGAGCCCUUAUUCUAUAAAAGGGACUCCCUCACUUUUGUUAGAGAGCACCCAUUAUUCAUGUACUGAGGAGCGAACCUUUAUUUUAUAAAAGGGACUCCCUCACCAUCAUUAGAGAGCAUUGCCGCCAGCUGAGCAACCGCCUCGCCGCGAGCAUCAUUCAUAACCCAUCACUUAUGUAUUGAGGAACGAGCUCUUAUUCUAUAAAAGGGAUUCCCUCACCAUCAUUAGAGAGUAUCGCCGCCUACUGAGCAACCGCCUCGCCGCGAGCAUCAACUCUAGCCCAUCAUUUAUGUAUAGAGGAACGAGCCUUUAUUCUAUAAAAGAGACUCCCUCACCUUCAACGCCACAAGCCAAGCUAACCAAGGCAACAUUAGCGACAAACCAAGUAGCCUCGCAACAUGUGCUACUUCUAGUUGAGCAUCAUUUCAGAUUGGGCACCGCCUCAUGUCGAGUAUCAGUGCCAGACGCCAUCUAGUUACUUCCGGCCACACAUGGACUGAAUUUCAAGUCUCCAGCUAAAAGACUCUCUUAACUAAAGACUUGGGGGACUACUGUUUAUACCAUAUUUAAGGCCUCCGUAUUUAGAUCUCGUAUAAAUACUCGGAGGACUUAAAUGUAAUUAUGUAAUAAAGGAAAGGGCAAAUAUGUAAUAAGCGAUGAUCCCUUAUUAUAUAAAAGGACUCAUCACCCUCACAAUUAGGAGAGGCCAAUUUCUUAGGCCAUGGAAGGGCUCUCUCACCCUCAGAAGCUCUCUCCAUCUCUCUCCCUCACAAACAGAUAAAUACAUAAUUAGUGUGGACGUAGCCCAAACCUUGGGGUGAACCACGAUACAUCUUGUGUUAUUUACAUUUCUUGCAGAUUUACGGUCGGAUUUACGUUGUUCCAAGACCUCCGGUUUUGUGCAUCAACAAAGGCCAUUCACAUAGAUAUCAAGGCUAUUAAUGUGUUGCUUGAUGAAAAUCUUAACUCAAAGAUAUCUGACUUUGGAUUGGCCAAGCUUGAUGAAGAGGUUAAAAACACAUAAGCUCAUGCAUUGCUAGAACUUUGUAAGUCUCUAUGUUAAUUUAUUUUCUUAUGUUUGUCUUUUCCAUAUAGUUGUACUACAAUAUAUCUGUAUAACUAUUGUAUUGAUGUGAAACUUUCAAUUAGAAGAAAACACCCUGUUUUUUUAAUCUUAGUUAUAUAUAUUUUUUUCUUAAGGUAGACGAUUGCAUUAUUUCAUGAUUUAAUUUGCAAUGGAAGUAUGCACUGCAAAGUGCAAUUUGGGGUUGUCUGAUUGAUAAAGCAGAUGUUUAUAGCUUUGGAAUUACUAUACUGGAGGUUAUUAGUGAGAAGAACUGAAGUUAAUAGAUAAACACAGAAGGCUUUUAUAUUCUUGACUGGGUAACUUUCCUAAUUGAACUUCAAUUUUGAUUUCGUUGAUGCUGUUUACAAGCUAGAUAGAAGGUUUUUAUAUUCUUUUUUUGAUCAAAGUUCUCUUAGUUAUUUCUAAAGAUAAAAAACUUAAUUUUCUUUUGUUCCUUUCAUGUUUUAAGGCACAUGUACUAAAAUUGGACGGGAAUUUGAUGAACUUAGUGGAUUCAAGGUUGGGCUCAAACUUCAACAAAGAAUAGAUGAUGGUUACAAUCAAUGUGGUUGUCCCCUACUCUAAUGCCACUUCAAAACUUAGGUCUACCAUACCUUCAGUUGUGAGCAUGCUUGAAGGCAAGACUACUGUUGAAAAGUUCGUCUCAGACCCAAAUCCCUCAUCAUAUAAUGAGAUGAAUGCGAGGAUGAAGAAAUGUUUUCAAUCCUAUUUGAAAUGGGGCAACUAAAGUAAUAUCGAUUUCUUCAUGUGCACAUUUUCAUGAAAUUCAUUUAAUCAAAUCCUUAUUCAAAGCGCGGAGACACUAGAAAAGAGAGAAAAUGGCAUAGUGCUUGAUAGAUUAUCAACAUAACUAACCCUAAUGCUCAAACAUACAAGCUCAUAAGUCAUUAACUUACCCUAUAUAAACUUCUUUUUUUCUGUUUAGAAAUAUUAUUGAAAGAAAAGUUAAAUAGUUUCUUAGCAUGGUAAUUGUUAUAUGUGAAUCAUCCAUUUCCAUAAUCUUUAGCACAUAAAAUAGUACAAUAUAAGCACAUAAGUCGAAUACAAAUUGUGUGAUGUGCACAAACAACAUUAAACUUUAUUAAUUCCAUUUUAGAGGUACUUUUUCAAAAAAAUUAGGUUAUAGCAGUAUGUAACGAGUCGGGCUGACCCAUAUUAGUCAUAGGUGAGCACGUUUUGGGUUCUAGCCUGAUAUUGACUAUCUUAUUUAACUUAGUAGAUAAUAAAAUAGUAAUAUAUUAUAUAUAGUUUUCUAGUAUAGAGAAGAUAAAUUUCUUAUUUCCCAAAGAUAUCUAACUUUGGAUUGGCCAAGGUUGGUGAGGAAUCAAGUUCGAAAGCCAUUUACAUAGAUAUCAAGGUUAUUAAUGUGUUGCUUGAUGAAACCUUGUAAAGGGAGAACACACCAAACCCAUUAGGAGUUCUAUAAUACUAAAUAGCCUCAUAUAGAAAUACUCAGUUUCUCGUGAUGAUUCAGAACUAAUACGAUUUGGUACAAAUUCCUUUGGUUUAAUGUCCAAAACUAGGAGAAUUUAAUAACACGUUUGUUAUUCUAUUUUAAUUCAACUUUUUAAACUGAAAACUAAUUUUUGAGAUUUAGGUCAUGAUUUCCUAUGGGGUGUGCUAUCCACACAUCCCUUUUUAUUUCUCACAUACUCUUUGUUAAUUUAUGUCCAUUGAUCUUCUUCAAUUCAUCCGAUUUGACGGCCGAAAAUUAGAAGAGUGUGUGAGAUGUAAAAAUGGGUAUGUGGAUAUCACACCCCUUUCCUAUUUGCUAGAAUUUGUUUGAAGAUUGAAUUCAAGACUGACUUAAAAAAUAACUUACUUCUUAAAAAUAACAAAAAAAGAGUUUUGAGAAUUUUUAAAUCUAACUCUUAUAUCUCUCUUUGUCUUAUCUAUUUCUCCUCACCCUCUUUUUCUACUCUAUCCUUUCUCUCUCCUCUCUUUCUUUCUUCUCACUCUUGCUCUCCUCUCUCUCCCUCCUCUAAUAUGUUACUCUCUCUCUCUCUCUCUCUCUCUCUCUCUCUCUCUCCUCUCCUCCUUUUUCUCCCUCUUCUAACUCUGACCCUCUGUCUUCAUAUCUCUUUCCCCUGUUGAAUUUUCCCGACUCCACUAUGGAGUUGUUGUAGGUUGAAGUUUUUUCCUUUUCUUUUUAAAUUGUUAAGAUUUAUUUAUUUUUUAAAAUCUUAUGCCAAAUAAGUUUUUGGAUCUCAAAAACAAUUGUUCUUAAGAAAUGUUUUUAGAAAUGAUAAAUUUUAAAAUAGGAUAUCCACGGGUCCUAAGAUUUCAUUAUUAAUGUUCUUAAGACUGUAUAUACUUGACAUCACUUAUAAUUUCAGUAUUAAUGCUUUCUUUGGCAACUUUCCAAAGAGGAUCUCAGACCAAAGCCAGUGUCGAGAGCUCUUGCAUAGCGUAAGAUGCAAGUUCAAUGAUUUUGAUUGUGUUCAACUGAUCAGUUGCUUCCCACAAGUGUAUGCGAACCAAAAUCGGUGAGUUGGACUUGUGAUAUGGAUGAGUCUUGAGAGGGCCAAAAAUCAAAGAGAUGGGUAAUGACCCACCACAAAUGACACUCAUAUAGUCUUUAACAUGCAUUUUACUACUUGCACAACACGACAUGUAGAAUUUUAUUACAAGAGACUUCAGUACAAUUAUGACUAGUAUUAAAAAAAAUAAAAAACAGAGAUAUAGAAUCAUUCAUUAUCAUAUAUCAAAUUAUAUUAUAUUUUUUCAAUUUAUCCCACUUGGGAUAUUCUUACAUUCUUCAACAUGUGAGUCUUGAUGGAACCUCAAAUCUGAGAGUUUAACUUGUGCUGGUGAACCUUGAGGGGAUGCAGUGGGUUGAGGCAAUUCGUUAAGAUCGAAAUCAUACUUUGGUGUUGAACCUUGAGUUGAUGCAGUAGAUUGAAGCAAGACCCUAUGUUCUAAAUCAUAUUGCAUUGAUGAGCAUUGCGGUGUCACAGUGUGUUGUGGCAAGUCGUUAAGAUCUAAAUCAUAUUGUGGUGGUGACCUUUGACAGGGCGCAGUAGGUUGAGGCAAGUCCCCUUCAUCUAAAUCAUCUUUUGGAAUGCUAUUUAUCUGAAAAUUAGCCAAAAGGUUGAAUAUUGAGUUAAGUAAAACAAAACGAAAACAAACAAAAGCUCAAAGUAAAAUGGAACUUGAAUAUAACGAGAAUACAAAAUGAUGGUAAGGGUAGACAGUUAAUUUGAUGAGAUUGUCAAACUCUUCAUAUUCCCAUCGAAGUAGUCAAAUUGCAAAAGGAAACAUGAAUAUAUACCACAAAUAUAUAAACAGUAAUGUUAGUGUUAUUAUUAUUUAUUUAUUUUGCUGAUUAAUUUUGAGAAUGGGGGGCUGAUUCGUGGCACCAUUUUUUUUACACAAUUUUUGACACACGUUUUUGUAGGGCCUAAUUCAUAAUGUAUUUUAACAAUCUAAAAUGUUUGUGUCCAAAACAUAUGUAAAAAACUGUGUAACAAAAAGUAGUGCCACAGAUCCACCCCAUUUGAGAAACUACAAGUUGGGUAUGCUCUACUAACUGUAGUAAUGUGACCUCAACAAUAUAAUUAGUAAUAUUAUUCAGUCACAAAAUAAAAUAAAACUUCAUUGCUAAUAUAUACUCUCUAGAAAAUGUGAGUGCUCCUAUAGACACACAUAAAUAAGAGAGUAUGCCAACAAUGAGGUAAGUCUUGUAUGCUUAAAUGACAUUACUUGUGCAUAAAACGAUGUAUCACAAACCCCAGUAUUUUAGUUUUUGUUAAAAUUUAUUCAAUUUUUUUUUGUUUUAAAAUUUACCUAAUACCUUUAAAUCGACCCAAAGGUUUAACCCUGAAUCGCUGUAAGCCUCUACCUUAGGAGUACCACUGCUUGAAGCUUCACACACUUUCAUGAAGCUGAAGAAAACAAAAACUCUAAAAUCCAUUAGAAAUCAUGGUGAUAAAUAAUGACAUCAAACUAAACCCCAAAAAAGUACCUAGAAAAGUGAACAACCAAGCUAAGCCUAUAUACAUAUAGUAUACAUAGAUAUGUGCGUCUCUUUCUUGAUCUCUAGCUUAGUGCAAGGAAACUUACUUCAAAACGCGUUGGACCUCAUGAUCUGAUGUUGUUGCUUUAAAUUUCGCAGAAUAAUUUAGAUUUUUGAGAUACUCAUCAGCUUCGGUGCUUGGAAUAGGAGUGUGUUUAGUGUUUCUCCUUGCAGCCAUUUUCAACUGUAAUAACUUGCAUACACCAAAGAAAACAUGAAUCCAUGAGUUUAAACCUAAAAACUUAACAUAAAAAAAUUAAACUUGAAGAAAAUAAUAAUGAAGUGGUUAUGAAAUACAUGCCAUACGCUUGGAGAUGAUAACGGUGAGCGAAACUGAGUAGAUCUGUUUCCAGGCUUCCUCCAACCAAGGAGAAAGGUACUUACUUAGGGUUUUGGGACAAGGAGUUUGCUGCCACUCUUAUAAAAGUGGGCGGCCUCAGGUGCAAAAUGAUUGUGGUCAACUGAUAGCUUAACCAGAAAAGGAAUAUAAUCUAGUGAGACCUAAUUUAUUUGGCCAGAUAAUUGAUGGAUGUUUUACCUAAAAACCUUUGUCCAGGUACAAUAUUCUCAUUGAUUUCUCUAGAAAUUUGAAAUUAUAUAUUUAGCAUUACAAUACUGGCAGCCAAACGUUGUUCAGCAUUGCAGUGAUGAGGGAGGGUGAGGUUGUUGGUUAUGAUAUUUUACCCAAAAAACAUCAAAUUACGAUACCGAAUGGAGAGUAUUAUUUCAUAAGAAGCUAAUAUAGACCCUUACUUAUACACAGUACAAAACACUAUAGAAUCCGCCCCUAAUAAGCCUACUAGGAACCCUUAUGCAUCUAUACUUCCUUAAAUUAAGUUCAAAUAGAAUAAAAAACCCCUUUGCCCUACUCAAAUUCACUAAACCUUAGUGGGCACAAGAUAUGAGAAGUUAAUAUUCCAAAUCCCAGUUGGAUUUCCAAACAAUCUAUAAGCGAUAGGAGACCACAUUAGGCCCCUAAUGAGAUUUCUCCCAAUAUGGUGCGGCAUUUUUAGAAUAAAUAUUGCAACAAAAAUAUCCCCACAUUUCUGUUGCGAAAAGUGCUAGCCGAUUUUUGGCAAAUAUACUUCCAUUUCCAAUCAAGCGAAUCCAAUGCACAUAAAACUAAAAACUACAUACCAUUAAACAAUGGAAUAAGGGUUACAAACGUUGUAGCCUAAACACCAUACAUGGUAUAAGAUAUGCAAAGACCGAAGCUCAUCAACAAAGACUUCAAAAAUCAAGAGGGCUUAAUUACAUGUAUUUACCAAGCUUCUGUAUAUAUAAUGUCAACACCAUUGGGGAAGCUCAAUACUGCAACUACUAAAACUGCCUCCCUUUUUUGGCAUGUACAUGUGUGAGUCUGCAAUUUACAACAUAUAGUUGUUAGAUUUCAUAAUGUAAUCUAUGUUGAGAAAUAUUAAAUUUAAUCUCUAGUGCAAUAUAUGUAUAUAUAGUAUAUAGUCAUGCUCCUUGCCUUAUUUUUCUUGUGGGAAGUGAGUUACUCACAUUCUUUGUUCUCCAUGCACACUCUUAGUCGUGUUUGGCUGAUUAAUUGAAUAAAGUAAAAGAGAAAUGAGGGACAAAAAUAAACAAAGGUAUAAAGAAAGAAGAAAAAAAGUGCAAAAUAUAAUUUCCUUUUCUUAUUACGUGGCUUUUUCCCAUUAUUUUAUGAGCUACUUCACCUUGCAGGAGAUAAACUAUAAAGUAGACAUAGCUAGAUCAUAAACAAAAAGGAAUUUAAAACAUAACCUUAAAGAAAAUAAAUCCUAAAAUCAUAGAAGUAAAAAAAUUAAAGAUCAAUUCCACCAUAUAAUGGGAAAAUCAAAUGAAGUUUCUUCGAAUUUCUAGCACAUCAACUUUAAAACUUCAGAAGUUGAAUAACUCACUGACUUUAGAUUUGGCAAUUAGGUUAUAGAUUGUAAUCCCUCCUCAACUGAAACCACAGUUGAUGCCAGAACAAGUACAUAAGAUUGGCAUGUUGAUGAGCAGACACAUGUUCUUGAGUUGAAGUUCCAACAGCGAUGUGGAAGGCAAUUGUCAAGCGACUUGCCGCCAGUAUCGUCCCGGUGCAUUGGCUUAUCAGGAAGUAUAGAAAACACUGAGGGCAAAUAGCCAAAUUAUCUGGGUUUCCACCAUUUAUGAGCUCCGUCAUGGCAUACAUAUCAAUCGGUGCAAAAACAACGUAUGAGCCUGUUGCGUCAGUAUUGUUGGAAGUUUUGAGACUCUUGUCCUACAAUGGGGAAAACAAGAUUCUCAAGGGCCUUUAUAUAGAUUUAGUGCUUUAGUCUAGUAAUUAGAAUAUGGGCCAUUUGGAAAUGGAUUGAAUGCUUGGGCCUUAUGGUUGUGUGGAUUAGGCUUGUAUAAUAUAACCUAAAUACAAUUAAUAUUAAUUAAUCAAGACAAGGGCCUUGGGCCUUCGGGCCUUGGAAUUUAAAAUUAAUCUGAUUCAUUAAUUUUAAUUUUCGGAUUAGUGUGAAACAGCCUAUAUAUCUGCAAUCCAUGGUAUCCAAAUGAAUCAUCUUUUCUUCUUCCUUUUCUUCCGUACAAACUUUCCAGAGAGAGUAAACACACAAAGCAAUUCGCUAGAAUUCUAUAAUCCAGUGCGGGUUAUAGGAUUAGGUAGUUGUAUCCUGGUCGAGCAGACGUUAUAGAACCACAAACACAAGAGUGGGACGGAAUUACUGUUCGAAGGACAUAGCUUUUACCCUAGCCUCUACCUUCUGUAAUCAAGUUAGUACCGUUGACAUUCUUAUAUUAAUUUCUGUAUUUAUUGUAUACUUUUCAUUCUGUAUAGCAAAUACCUUUUGUGAAAUAAAAAUUGUGAAUUUCAAGUUCUGUUUAUUUCUGUUAUUCUGUUUAUUUCUGAAUUGUUCUCCAACAAGUAUAACUUGCUUGCAAGUAGAAUAUAUCGACCUCCAUUUUAUCCUCUAAAUUAAAUAAAAUUUUGUUAACACAAGUUGAAGUCAAGCUUAAAACAUUGUUAUCUUAUAAAAAGGUAACAGAAUAAAAGUUAGGGUCCAUAAUGCAACUCACAUUCGAUUUAAAGGCUUGCAAUAUGGAAACACGAUUUCCUGGAGUUUCGCCAUUAGCAAAAUAUGCAUAUUUAUCGAAGUCAUGGUUUGAUGCAAGCAUAUCCCACUGUAUUAUAUAUACACACAAAGUAAAUGGAAACCAACACUAUAUCUAUGUAUGCAAGGUCACCUGAAACCAUCGAUUUGAUUUCUCUUGAAUCAAAACAGCCAGAUGGUUGUCUUCGAAAGUUUAUUGAUGGAAGUUGAGACAAUUUUUCCAAGGAAACAUCCACAACUCCCCACAUUCCCCUGCCCAGGUUUUUGCAGUUGACAAAACAAAGCACUAUCCCUACCAAAUUUAUGAGGGGAGUGUUCUAGCAGACAACUGUUUAACCAAUUGGAGACUCAUUCGUGUGGAUUGAUACGACCAAUAUUGCAUACAUUUUAAUGCCCCUUAAUUUAGAUUCUUGUUAUGUUUUUGAGUGAAUUUAGUUUGUUUCACUAGUUUUAUGUUUUUCUUAGAUUUGAUGAGUGAAGAGGAAGAAAGAAGAAAAGGGAACACUUUUGCUAUUGAAAUGAGUUUGGCAUGCUGGAAGCAGAAGCUGUUUGUGCGGAUCAGUCAACUUUACGGAUUAAACUGUAUUUCCUCAGAAUGAACCAGCUGUUGAGCCUUGUACCAUUGGAAAGAUAUGUAAGUUAUCUUUCAGAGGAAUUUUACGGUUUGUGAUUCCGAGUUUCCUAAAUGAUGUUAUGAAGAUUUUUGUACAAGAUGUCGGUCAGCCAAGUCUACGCGGAAAUUGCAAGUCUGUUGGGUUUUUCAAGUCUUCAUUCAGUCGAAGACCAAAGCCCAAGAUAGAACGUGUUGAGCUGACUUUAAUCCUAUUUCAAAUGGGUUUUAAGUAAUUAAUUGGGAAGUUGAUUCACCACAUCAUCAGUCAUCAAUACAAAGGAUAUCACAAGGCCUAAUUAUGUUAGGAUUUGUCUACUAUAUAAAGGGAGUCCAAGGGGUUCUUCUGGGGGGAUUCUCUGCGUGUUUUUGGAAGGAGCAGCCACUGACCAUCUUUGUUAUUCCAUCUUCAUCUUUCGGAAGUUUUUCAUGUUUUUAAGAUUCCUAAUUAUGUUUUCGUAUUCUAUGAGUAACUAAACUCUUUUUCUAGGGUUAGGAUGAUGCCCUAGCAUGUUUACGGUUUUUAAUGUUAUUCAUUGGAUUUCUAGUUUCUUUUAGAUGAAUGCUUAAUCAUUGUUUGAAUUGUUACUUUUUGUUUGAGUUCUUUGAUUGAUCACCUUAGGACUUUGCAUCUAGUAAGAUUGGAAGAUGAAUUUGAGGCUGAACUAGCAAUAUAAUUCAAUUGGCUUCUUUUGGUUAAGUGUGGUAAAUUACAUUAUUGCUUGACAAAGAAUAAUGGUUUGCUUGGUUCCCUUGUUUUCUAGAGCGUAAAGUGUCCUACUUGUUAAUUGUAUGCCUUAACCAGGAUAGACUGCAUGUUAGGAUGUACGAUCUCUGCCUGGACUAGGAGAGAAUCAUUCACUUAAGGAAAACUAUGGUCUAAUGCACCUGACAAGGACUUAGAUAUGGGAAUUAUCAUCUAAAGAAUCGAAAGAUCCAUUGAAUGCCUUGAAACCUAAACUAGAUUGCUUGUGGUUAAUUCUGAAUCCCUAGACUUUUUCAUCACUUGCUUUAAAACACAAUGUUUUCUUCUCUUUAAUUUUAGUUUUUAUUUAAGGUUCUGUUUUUGUUCGUUUAAACUUACACACAUUGAUUAACUACAAUCACUUGAAUCAAUUAAUCAAAUUAAAAGAAAGGUAAUGCUAGGCAGAUCAAAUUUUUAGACUAAAUUUGCAAACCAAAUGAUGUGUCACCAAUAGUAAAUAAGCACAUUAAUCAACCCUUAAGUAAUAAUCCAAUCAUCAACAACCAUGUCAUAUGGUUUACAAAAUUUAGUUUGAAAAUUUGGUCUCUCUAGCAUUAACCUUAAAAGAAUCCAAAGUUCUAAUAAGGGCUAAAUUAACCAUAACAGAAAAACUCAUAUACACUCUUGUUUGUCGAAAAGCUAUCCAAUAGGCAAGUGUAAUUGGAUGUAAAUUCUAUUAAAGCAGGUGGUGUUUUGAGAGAUUCUGAUGGUAAAUGGAUUUUUGAGUUUUGCACCAAUUUGGGCACAGGUGACGUUUCCAUUGCUGAGCUAUAGGGUCUUUACUUAGGCUUACAAUUGACAUGGAGAUUACAGAUUGAUAAAUUAUUGGUGGAAUCAGACUAUGCAGUCACAAUUCAUUUGGUGUUGCAAGCUGCUAGCAAUAAUCAUCUUUAGGUCCCCUUGUAUUGGCUUGCCAAGAUUUGCUUUCAAGAUCUUGGCAAUGUGAACUUUGGCAUGUCUACAGAGAAAAGAAUUUGUGGUGGACAGUUAGUUUUAUUCAUGAGGAUCAACUUGGGAUGUAUUGGUCUAGAUUUAUUAUUGAGUAGGUUUGUUUGGGCUCUUGCUUUUACCCCCGUUUUUCAAACAAAAAAAAAGAAGAAGAAAGAGAUGGGAGACCCAAUUCUUAAUUUACAUAUCUCUACUGGAGCAAAACUACAUGUAUAUCUUCUGAAGAUGUAAAUGAGAUGCGCGGUACCAUGGUUUUCAAACUGGAAAAUGUGGCACUCAAGAUGGUCACAAUGAUCGGAAUGCCUAGUAUGUAAGUGGAUAAGCUUCGGCUGUCCAAAUCUAACUGCCUAAACUCGAGCAAUUCUUUGAGAUCCGAGGUUGUAAACAAAUCUUAUUCUUUUGGGGCGAUUUCUUGCCUCCCAAGUAUAAGAAACCUAAUUUGACCUUGAUUGGGAAAGAGUCCUAAAGAUAUUGGGAGUCCAAUUUAAUUGAGUUUGGCUUAUGCCAUAAGUAAUCACAUUCCUGGAAAAAAAUGAGAUCUAAAUUUCCUCUUAGAUUCUCGGUUACUGAGGGCUACUGUCCUCAAAAUGACUUUGCGUGAAACACUAUGUUGAUGCACAAAAUCAGCGAGGACUUUGGUACAACAAAAAGUGUUAAGUUUAUGACCUUCGCUAGAUUGUUCCGGUCACUAGUGUGGAUAAGUAAGUAAAUGGAUAGGGACAGGGAAACAAACACAAGAUGUACGUGGUUCACCCAGAUUGGCUAUGUCUACGGAGUAGAGGAGUUUUCAUUAAUUAUGAAGGGUUUACACAAGUACAUAGGUUCAAGCUCUCCUUUAGUGAGUACUAGUGAAUGAUUUAGUACAAAUGACAUUAGGAAAUAUUGUGAGAGAAUGAUCUCUAUUUAUAGAAGAGAGUUUCUAGUUUCAUUCUGACAUUGACAUGUGUCGUGUUGUGAUUGGCUUCUGAUGUUGACAUGUGUCGCGCUAUGAUUAGCUUCUGAUGUCGACACAUGUCACGCUGUGAUUGGCCUCCUGGUUGGAGGGAAACUCUUCUAGGUCCUUGACGGUAUAACGUGGACCGGUGCUCAGUAGUUUCGGGAUUGGUCAAGUAUGGUACAAACAGUGCUCCCCUAAGUUCCUGAGUGAGGGAAGCUCCUCAGUUUGGGACUUGCAAGAUCCAAGCUAUUGAGUAAUCACGAAACUUCUAAGUACCGAAGUGUGGUAUCAUUUUCACUUGCCUUAUCUGUCUCAUAUGUAGAUGUGGCAUCUUUUCUGGAAGUACUUUUCCUCUAUCCAGGGAUGGUAUCUUUAACCGAUAAGAUGCACAAGUUAAUGUAUCAAUUUCACUUGAAGCUUACAUGUAGUUUUGGGCUUCGUCAAGUGCGAUACAAGCCCUAUAGUAGGAGUCCCCCAAGUCGCCGAGCUAGGAGAUUUGCCGAAGGAGGUAACAGACAAGGUAAGCAAUCAGACUUCCAAGCAAGCAACCUGGAUCGGAGGUUCGACUUCGGCUUCCAAUUGAUUGUUCUCAUUCUCUUUGUGUCGUAAAUAGCACCAAGGAUAAGGAGAAGCAAAUGGAGAAGAGAUGAUAUGAGAUACUUUUUCUUUUGAAGAAGUAACUUUCCACAGGCUUAUUCUUGAACUGGGCUGGAGGGUUUUCUGGUUUCCUCCAGAGUAUAAGGCCGACUCAAGAGUUUGAAGGUCAAAAUAAGUCCAUCAAAUCUAGAGUACGUUCGACCUUGAUGAUAUGAGAUACUUUUUCUUUUGACAAAGUUGUGGAUGUAUCGGCACGUGUUCUGUUACGCUUGUCUCCACAUGCUUCCUUGUAUCCUUCUCACUUGCCCUAUCUGUUCCUCAGACAGAUGUGGUAUCUUUUCUGGAAGCAUAAGAUGUUGAAGAUGAGUACUCAAGAGCAAUGUCAGGUAAGUAAUCAGGCAAGGGGUUCUAGGCAGUCAGUUCUUGACUGGAAGCUUAAUUCCAAGUGCUGACUGAUUGCUCUCUUUCUCCUUGUCUUGCAGGAAAUAACAAGGUCAAAGGAAAAGACAGGGAAAAUGCAUGAUAUGAGAUACUCUUGCUUUUGACCCUAAUGAUAUGAGAUACUCUUGCUCUGGUGUGGCUGGUUUGCAUAGGUAUUAUUGGGGGGGGAAGAAAGCUGAGUAUUUCGAGAGGUUUCGUUGGGAGUGCCUUCUCAAAUAUGAGGAAGGGUUGAGCAUUUUUCCAAGUCUGCCUGUCUGUGGAGGAUGGAGGUCGACAUAUAUAGAAGUCUCCCUAACAACAAGUAGUAAUGUUAUUCUUUUACCCUUCUUGGUCGUAGCAAUGUAAUGGGAACUGCAAGCUUCACGUGUUUUAACUUUGUCAGAGCACUUUGAAAAAGUGGUAUGUGGUAUCUGGAAAGCUGAUGUUGCAUGUGAAGUUUGCAGACAAGCUUUAUCCAAGGAAAUCUGGCUUUCGAAGUUCGGAGAGCGAUGCCUCUUUAGUUUUCGAACAAGCAAUCCUAUCGGGGAUCUGGCUCUCGAGAUUCGAAGAAUGGUGCCUCUUCGAUUUUUGAGAAAGCAAUCCUGUUGGAAGUUUGGCUCUUGAGAUUUGGAGAGCGGUGCCUCUUCGAUUUUUGAGAAAGUAAUCCUGUUGGAAGUCUGGCUAUCGAGAUUCGGAGGGCGGUGCCUCUUCGAUUUUUGAGCAAGUAAUAAUGCUAUUCCUUUACCCUUCUUGGUCAUAGCAAUGUAGUGGGAGCUGCAAGCUUCACAUGUUUUAACUUUGUCAGAGCGCUUUGAAAAAGUGGUAUGUGGUAUCUGGAAAGUUGAUGUUUCGUGUGAAGAUUGCAGACAAGCUUUAUCCAAGGAAAUCUGGCUCUCGAAGUUCGGAGAGCGGUGCCUUUUCGAUUUUUGAACAAGCAAUCCUGUCGGAGAUCUGGCUCUCGAGAUUCAGAGAACGGUGCCUCUUCGAUUUUUGAGAAAGCAAUCCUAUUAUGAGUCUGACUCUUGAGAUUCGGAGAGCAAUGUCUCUUCGAUUUUUGAGAAAGUAAUCCUGUUGGGAGUCUGACUCUCGAGAUUUAGAGAGUGGUGCCUCUUCGAUUUUUGAGCAAGCAAUCUUGUUGGGAGUGUUUUCUUGAAUGUGAGUAAAGGUUAGGCAUUUUUGCCAGUCUGCCUUGCCACAUAGCAUGGAGGUUGACACACAUUGGGACUUUCUUGUUAUCAAGCAGUGGUGCUGUUCCUUUACCCUUGUGGGUAAUAGUAGGGUAGCUGGAUCUUCAAAAUUUAUGUGUCUAAACUUUGUCAGAGAUCUUUGGCAAAGUUAUCUGUAGUACCCGAUGAGCUGAUGUUGCGUGUGGAAAGUGGUGCCUCUUCGAAAUCUGGAGAGUGGUGCCUCUUCGAUUUUUGAACCAACGGCCCUGUUGCCCUUUCUUUUAUAAGGGCACCAAUUGUGUGCAAGAAGUACAUUCAGAGAGUUAUUGCUUGUAGGAAUUUUCCCCUUACUUCAAAGAUUUAUGACACCUCAUUUCUCCUUCAUCAUUUCUGAGAAUGUCUGGCCAUCCGACCGUUUUUUUGACUUGAACUUUGGUGAAGAGGCAGCAAUGCCUUCUCAAGACAACAUAUGGCGCUCAUCCUUCUUAUCUCCUACUAGUCCUUUUAUCGUUGGGGACUCUGUGAUGAAGAAUGAUAUGACCGCUGCGGUGGUGGCCAGGAACCUUCUCACUCCCAAAGAUAACAGACUACUUUCCAAAUGGUCUGAUGAGUUAGCUGUUAAGGAUUCUCUGGCUCUCCGUGUUCAGUGUGCAGGUUCUGUGUCUAAUAUGGCCCAACGCCUAUUUGCUCGAACCCGCCAAGUUGAAUCAUUAGCGGCUGAAAUGAUAAGUCUCAAACAUGAGAUCAGAGGGCUCAAGCAUGAGAAUAAACAGUUGCACAGGCUCGCACAUGACUAUGCUACAAACAUGAAGAGGAAGCUCGACCAGCUGCAGGAAUCUGAUGGUCAGAUUUUACUUGAUUAUCAGAGGUUUGUGGGUUUGUUCCAAAAGCAUUUAUUGCCUUCGUCUUCUGGGGCAGUACCGCGUAACGAAGCUCCAAAUGAUCAACCUUCGGUGCCUCAUUCUUUUGGGGUUCUGCCUAGUACUGAGGCUCCAAAUAAUCACCCUCUGGUGCCUCUUCUUUCUGGGGCUCUACCGACUGCUGAGACUUCUCCUGAGCAACCUUUGUGAAGACUCCCUAUUGUUUGUUUAUUUUGAUUCAUGUAUAUGUACAUAUUUGUAACUUAUCAGAGAUAUCAAUAAACAAGCUUUGCUUCAUUUCAACGUAUUGUGUUAAAUACACCAAGGCCUUCUUCAUUAAGUUCUUUGAAUUUUUCCUUUUGUUGAAGCUUGUAUGUUGAAGCUUUGUGAGUGAAGCAUGUAGGUUGAGGUAGUGCUCCCUUAAUUUCCCGAGUGAGGAAAACUUCUCGUUUGGAGACUUGAAAAAUCCAAGUAACUGAGUGGUCGUGAGACUUCCGAGUAUCAAGAUGCAGUAGCAUAUGGUAGGAGUCGCCCAAAUCUCCGGUCGAGGGAGUUGACGAAUGAGGCAUUUCCUUUCUAAGUGGUAGCCCAAAACUCCUUCUUCAUAUAUAUUUGUUAUGAAAGUUGUUAGGCUAGGCCCAGGCAAUUUUAUUUAUUUUUUUCCGAAAUUUUUUUUUUCGAUUUUUUUUUUUCGAAUUUUCGAAAUUUUGAAUUUUCGAAUUUUUGAAUUUUUGAAUUUCUGAAAAAAUAUAUAUAUUAAAGCUUUGUAGGUGAAGCUUUGAGGUUGAAGCUUUGUUAGGCACCAUGAAUUGAUUUUGCUUCACACUAUCUUGAUCAAAAUAGUGUGAAGCUUUUGUAGGUGAAGCUUUUGUGUUGAAGUUUUGUAGGUAAAGUUUUUGUGGGUCAAGCUUUUGUAGGUGAAGCUUUUGUUGGUGACCAAGCUUUUAUAGGUGAAGCUUUUGUAAAUUAAACUUUUGUAGGUGAAGCUUUUGUGGGUGAAGCUUUUGUAGGUGAAGCUUUUGUAGGUGAAGCUUUUAUGUUGAAGUUUUGUAGGUGAAGCUUUUGUGGGUGAAGUUUUGUGGGUCAAGCUUUUGUGGGUCAAGCUUUUGUAGGUGAAACUUUUGUGGGUCAAGCUUUUGUAGGUGAAGCUUUUGUGAGUCAAGUUUUUAUGGGUGAAGCUUUUGUGGGUCAAGCUUUUGUAGGUGAAGCUUUGGAGUUGAAGCUUUGUUGGACACCAUGAAUUGAUUUUGCUUCACACUAUCUUGAUCAAGAUAGUGUGAAGCUUUUGUAGGUGAAGCUUUUGUGGGUCAAGCUUUGGAGUUGAAGCUUUUGUUGGGUACCAUGAAUUGAUUUUGCUUCACACUAUCUUGAUCAAGAUAGUGUGAAGCUUUUGAGAAUUUGUAGUUGUCCUCCAUUGAAGAAGCUUUUGUUGGUGAAGCUUUGGAGGUGAAGCUUUUGUUGGUGAAGCUUUUAUGGGUGAAGCUUUUGUUGGGUACCAUGAAUUCAUUUUGCUUCACACUAUCUUGAUCAAGAUAGUGUGAAGCUUUUGAGAAUUUGUAGUUAUCCUUCAUUGAUAAAGCUUUUGUUGGUGAAGCUUUGGAGUUGAAGCUUUUGUUGAAUUUCCCUUUUUUUUUUUUUUUUUUUUUGGGAAACUAGAACUUUGAAAAUGUGGGAGAGACAACAUAUACAAAUUUGGCUUCCACACCGUUGAGCAAGAGAUUGUGAUGCAAGCCACACCUUGUAGUAGUCGAAUGUUUGGAUGAACUAUAUAAAUUGAAUUUGCUUCGAACAGUCUUGAAUUUACUUCGAAGGUUUGAGAAUUGUAGUUGCCCUCCAUUGAUGAAGCUUUUGUUGGCACCAUAAAUUGGUUUUGCUUCACACUGUCUUGAUCAAGAGUGUGAAGCUUUUGAGAAUUGCGGUUGUCUUCCUUUGAUGAAGCUCUUGUUGGCACCAUAAAUUGGUUUUGCUUCACACUGUCUUGAUCAAGAGUGUGUGAAGCUUUUGAGAAUUGUGGUUGAACUCCUUUGAUGAAGCUCUUGUUAGCACCAUAAAUUGGUUUUGCUUCACACUGUCUUGAUCAAGAGUGUGUGAAGCUUCUACGAGUUGUAGUGUUUGCAUUGUUAUAGAGGGGAAAUGUUUGAAGUAGAUGUAAGAAGGCUGAAUAGCUUGAUCUUCGUAUGCCAUACACUGAAGUUGUUGUUGGCUUGCAAUAAGACUUUGUUGGUGACUAUAACUCUUGUUGGGCAUAAGUGCUCCCCUAGUUGAGUUGUCAAGCUUCAGGGUUUUUUAUUAUUUGUGAAUGCUAGGAGUUCACAUGUACAAGUUGUAACACUUGUCUUCUGGUAGGUGGAAUGAAUGGAAAGUUGCUUUCAUCACUUGGUUGGUGGUACGAAUGUGAGUUCCUUCAUCACCUUUCAUCACAUUCCAUCACCUGGUUGGUGGCACAAGGAUGAGUUCCUUCUUCACCUGGUUGGUGGCAUGAAUGGCAAGUUGCCAAAUGAUAUUAGAGUACGAGUUGUACAUUUCAUCACCUAGUUGGUGGCACGAAGGAGAGUACAGGUUGUACAUUUCAUCACUUGGUUGGUGGCAUGAAGAUGAGUUCCUUCUUCACUUGGUUGGUGGCUUGAGUGGUAAGUUGCCAAAUGAUAUUAGAGUACGGGUUGUACAUUUGAUCACCUGGUUGGUGGCAUGAAGAUGAGUUCAUUCUUCACAUUUCAUCACCUGGUUAGCGAGAAUAAGGGCAAGGUGUCUAGGCACAUUGUAGCAAGUGUCGAAUGACACAAAUUAUGUUGAACCCUUUCAAAGCACAGUUGGCUUAUGUACGAAUGUGUUGGAAUGUAUGAUUGAACGAAUAUACUGUGAAGUUGUUCGUUUAUUUGUAUAGUCUUGUUGACAUAUACUUAGAAUUUGUUUCAUGUUGGAAGCAUUCAUGUCGAAGCUUUGAACCCAAGUGUUUCAUUGCUAGGAAUGUAUGAUGAUUAGGACCGAAUAGUCUUCGUUACAUAGGAUGCCAAACGGUUGAAGCUUAACACUUGUACAAUGUGAGUUUACUUGUAAUAGUACUCCAAGUGAUCAGCGUUCCAUGGAUGGCCAAGGGUCUUGCCAUCGGAGCUUCUAAGCUUGUAGGAGCCAGGACGACUGAUGCUAACAACUUCAAACGGUCCAUCCCAAUUUGGACUAAGUGUUCCUUCACUCGGGACUCUGUCGCAGAGUAAUCUUUUCUUCAAUAUCCAGUCCCCUACUUUGAAAGAACGAGGUUUGACCUUGGAGUCAUAGUAGUUGGAGAUACGCUGCUUGUAGGCGACAUUCUUUAAGUGAGCCUGGUUUAUGUGUUCCUCGACUAGAUCUAAGUUGAGGGUAAGUUGUUUGUCAUUUUCGCUUUGCACGUAGUUCUGGACUUGGAACGUUGCUUGCUUAAGCUCAACUGGGACAACUGCCUUUGUACCAAAGGCAAGUGAGAAUGGGGUUUCUCCUGUUGAUGUUCGAUAUGAAGUGCGGUAUGACCAAAGAACUUAGGGUACAAAUUCUAGCCAACAACCUUUAGCCUUGUCCAAGCUGGUUUUCAAAGUUCGCUUGAUUAUUUUGUUGAUGGCUUAAACUUGUCAAUUAGACUUGGAUGAGCUGGGGAGGCAAAACAUAAGUUGAUGUUGAACUUAGAGCAGAACAUCCUAAACUUAUUGUUGUCGAACUGUUGCCCGUUGUCAGUGACUAUCAUUGGGAAUGUCGAAUCUGCAAAGGAUGUUCUUCCAUACGAAGUCUUCUAUUUUUGCCUCAGUAAUGGUUGCCAAGGGUUCUACUUCGGCUCACUUUGUGAAGUAGUCAACUGCAACGAUUGCAUAGAGAAUUUUGCCCUUCCCUGCAGGCAUUGGGCCAAUCAAAUCAAGUCCCCAUUGGGCGAAGUGCGAAGGGCUGAUUAUAGGAAUGAGCAGCUCAGGAGGGGAGUGAGGAAUAGUUGCGUAACGUUGACACUUAUCACAUGAGCGGGAUAUUCUGAUAGCAUCUUGGUGGAGUGUUGGCCAGUAAUAUCCUUGGCGAAAAGCCUUGUGUGCUAGGGAUUGAGAUCCAUCAUGAUCUCCGCAGACUCCUUCAUGUAUUUCCCGAAUGACAGUUUCCGCCUCUGCGAGCGUAAGGCAUCUUAGGUAUGGUAGGUUAAAACCCCGCUUGUAGAGUUGGUCAUUAAUGAUCAAGUAACGAGUAACCUUGUAUCGAAUCUGCUUAGCCUGGAAUUUGUCAUUUGGAAGGGUGCCAUGAGCAAGGAAUCUAUAAAUCGAGGUAAUCCAACUAUCUCUUUGUUGUAAGUUGCACACUUCCGCAGCUAUGGUGCUUGGUGCUGCCAACAAUUUGACCUGAAUUUUUCUCCCAAUCCUAUCUUUCACCGCUGAGGCGAGGCGACCCAAAGCAUCUGCAUGACUGUUUGUCGCUCGAGGAAUUUAGGUGAUCUGGUAGUGGAAGUACUUGAGCAACAAUUAUGUUUGUGCCAGAUAUAUUGCCAUGGAGCUAUCCUUAGCGUCAAAGUUGUUGGUGACCUGGUUAACCACCAAUUGGGAGUCACUGAAGAUAUCAAUUCGUUUAAUCCCAAGGUGUUUGGCCAAACGUAAGCCUGCUAGGAGGGCUUCAUAUUUGGCCUCAUUGUUCGACGCCUUGAAUUUGAAACGAAUAGCAUACUUCAUCGCCACUUUGUCAGUGGUCGUAAGGACCAGUCCUGCUCCACAACCAUGUUGGUUGAACGAGCCAUCAACAUAUAGACUCCAUGCUGGGGCUGUUGGUUCUAUUUUCUAAGCUUCCGAGGGUAAUGAAACCACUUCUUUAGGCGUAGAAACAAUGUCAACAAGAUAUGUGAAGUCGGCGAUGAAGUCUGCCACUACUUGGCCCUUCUCAGCUGGCUUUGGUUGGUAGGAGAUGUCAAACUCACCCAAAGCUAUUGCCCAUUUGAUCAUUCGCCUGAAAGUGUUAGGACUUUGGAGUAUUUGUCGAAGAUGAUGAUUGGUAAGCACGAUGAUGGAGUGUGCUUGGAAGUAAGGGCGAAGUUUUCGAGCAGACAUGACCAAUGCUAGUGCCAAUUUCUCAAUGUUGGAGUAUCGUGUCUCCGCAUCUUGUAAGGCCUUACUAGCGUAGUAGACAGGCCGUUCGACAUUACCAUCAUUUCGAAUGAGAACGGAACUUACUGCUGAAGCCGAUACCGACAGAUAGAUAAUGAUAGUGUCACCAACCUCAGGUUUAGAGAGCAAAGGGGCUUUACUCAUGUAGUCUUUGAGGUUCUUGAAUGCCUCAGCACAUUCAUCAGUCCAUGUAAUGUACUUCUUACUUCCCUUAAGUGCUUUGAAGAAAUGAGCACAUCUGUCUGUGGCCUUAGAGAUAAACCUAGUUAAAGCUGCCACCUUACCAGUAAGGCUCUGGAUGUCUUUUGAAGUUACCAGUUCCUUUAUGUCGAUGAUUGCUUUGAUCUUCUCGGGAUUAGCCUCAAUGCCUCGUUGGCUUAUCAUGAAGCCUAAGAAUUUGCCAGAGCCUACGCUGAAGGCACAUUUGUUGGGGUUCAACCUCAUUCGAUACCUCGUCAGAAUGGUGAAAGUUUUAGAUAGGUUGGUGAUGUGUUGGUCAGUAUGUUUGCUUUUGACUAUCAUAUCAUCAACGUAAACUUCCAUGCUCUUCCCAAUCUGUUCGGCGAACAUUAAAUUGACUAGUCUCUGAUAAGUCGCUCCUGCAUUCUUUAGGCCGAAGAGCAUGACUUUAUAGCAAUAUAGUCCCCUGUCAGUAGUGAAGGCUGUGUGUUCUUGGUCCGGAAGGUUCAUGAGGAUUUGGUUGUAUCCUGAGUAAGCAUCCAUGAAGCUCAGGGGUUCACACCCUGCUGUAGAGUCUAUAAGUUUAUCUAUGAAAAGAAGAGGAAAGCUAUCCUUCGGGCAUCCUUUGUUUAGGUCGGUGUAAUCGACACACAUUCUCCACAAGACCUUUUAGAGCAGGAGACUUUCCUUGGUCGGAUUCUUCUUAACAAUGACAACAUUUGCUACCCAUGUUGGAUAAUUGACUUCACGGACGAAGCCUAUGCCUUUGAGUUUUUCAACUUCUGCCUUCAUUGCCUCGUACCAUUUAGUGUUAUAACAUCUUCGCUUCUGUCUCACUGGCUUGGUCUUGGGGUCAAUACUUAAGUGAUGACAGAUUAUAUCGGGAGAGAUGCCUGGCAUGUCCUUGUAUGACCAGAUGAAGACCUUAGUGUUCUCUUCCAAAAAAGAGAUCAAUACCAACCGAAUGGGUGGUGACAAGGUGGUACCAAUCUUCACCAUACGAUUCGGAUAAUCUUUUGAGAUAGAGACAUUCUCCAACUCUUCAGCGGGUUGUGCUUACUGGGUGAAAAAGUCAUCUCGAGAAACGUCGGGUUGACUAUUGCCACCGUGAAUAUCCAAGUUAGCUUCGUCUGGGUUAGUCUUUAUGACUUGGUCAUGUAUAGAAAGGGUUUCCUUUGGCACAUGCAGGUGCUCUUGCUUGACCGACGUGUUGUAACAUGAUCGUGCACUAAGUUGAUAUCCUCUAAUGUAACCAUUACCAUAGGGGGUCGGAAAUUUCAUCAACAACAUAUGUGUGGAUACCAUGGCCUUGAGAUCAUUGAUGCCUGUGCGUCCGAAGAUGACAUUGAUGCCAUUGGGCAAUCAACCACCAGGAAGUUAGUGGUAAUGAGGGCAUGUACCAAUGGUGAAAGGUAAGUGUAUGCUCCCCAAAGGUUGCACGAUAUCACCGGAGAAGCUUAUCAGAUGGGAAAUCGAGCGGUCGAGUAAGUGUUCAGCUACAUUAAGUGCCCUGAAAGCUUCAGCAAACAUGAUAUUGACCGAAGCCCCCGUGUCUACCAGGAUUCGUCGUACUUCAAAGUUGGCUAUGUGAGCUUCCACGAUCAGUGGGUCGUUGUGAGGGUAGAUGAUACCUCUUUCUUCAUCAGGGUAUAAAUAUAUUGGAUCUCAGUUAGGCUUUUGAUACUUACCUCCCCUGAUGUCUUCCACGUGAAACAUUUGGUGGCUAGACCUUAAAGCUCGUUCACUAUUUUUCAUAGCCCUAUUGGAAGAUUUAGAUAUGGGUGUGCCACCACUUAUGGAAUAUAUCACAUUUACCUGGCGUUGGUUACGGUUACCCCUUGGAGGGUGAAUGAGGAAUUGAUCAAUUUUUCCUUCACGUGCCAAAGCUUCAAUAUGAUCACGAAGGGUGAUACACUUCUCGCCGUCAUGGCCGUUAUACUCGUGGUAGCAUCAAAACAUGCUCAUGUUCUUUGUGGGCUUGUAAUCUGGGUGCCUUGGCUUUGGCUUCGGUAUCAAGUGUGCUAUGCUGGGGUAAAUGGCCACGCAUGUGGCGUUCAAAGGUUUGUAUGCCUCAUACCUCGGGGUAGGGGCUGUCUUGACACGUGUUUGACCCACUGUGUUGACUGCCUGGGGUCGGGGAUUAUCAUGGCGAUACCUUUGGUUAUCGCGGUAGUGUCCCUUACUCCUUUUACUAAAAUGAGACUGGUGAGGAUGGAAAUCUUUCCUUUUGCCCUGAGAUUGAUAUGUCUGUUGACUUGGCAAAGUAUGAAGUAAGGCAGAGGGAGGCACCGCUGCCGUUUGGAAGGUCGAGGUCUUCUCAUUUGGUUGGAUCUGGCUUCCACUCCCUACUUGCUGAUAAUGGGUGGUUGUUGGGGGUUUCCCUUGAUAUGUCAUUGCCUCGGCAGAGGCAUGGUUGUAAGCUUGUGCCAUCACUUCAGAGUAAGUCUUCCAAGUGUUGGCAUUGAUCAUGUACUUGAAGAAACAAUCACGUAGGCCUGCCGUGAAGGCCUUGAGGGCGGUCUUGUCAUCUGCCUCAGUGCAGCGAGAAUACUCAUAGCUGAAACGAUGGACAUAGUUUCGUAGUGACUUGUCCGGCUUCUGGCGAAUAGUGUACAAGUCAUCUGCAAAAUGCAAGCGAUCGGUUUGAAAGAUAUGUUGAGAGACAAACAGUUUCCUCAGUUCUUCAAAUGAGUCUACUGUCUCAGGUGGAAGACGACAAUACCAGUUUAGAGCUCCGCCAGAGAGGGUGGAGGGGAAGAGAAGACAUCACUCUUCGUCGGUGUGCAUCCGAUAGGCCAUGGUGGACUCAAAGAGGUUAAAAUGUUCAAUUGGGUCUUCCCUUCCAGUAUAGAAUUGUAAACCAAGCUUUUGUUUUGUCUUUGCUUGAAAGGGGUGUCGACGAUCCUCCAUGUGAGAGGGCCAGGCCUGGGUUGGUUCCAAUCAGGUAUCUCAGCCUGACGUUCGGCCUACAACUUGUUUACUUCCUCAAGGAGCUGUAGGACAAGGGGGUCCUGAGUGGAGUCAUGUACCAUUGGGAUUUUCUUUCGUAAGUCUCCAUCGCCUCUUGGAAGUAGGAAAGUUUGAGCAAAGGCGUGUGAUUUUUCCUUGGACUCGCUGUACUGACUUCUAGGGCGAGUCUGUCGAAAUACCUCAGAGUCCCAUGUACCUUCAUGUCCCUCUGGGACCUGUCGUUCCUUCCCUAGAUUGGUAGAUGGCCUGGGUCGUAGGAAGGGACCGAGUUUUUCAGAAACCCUUGGGUCAUUGAUCUUCAAGCAUAUGUGGAAGGGAUUCUCUCGACGUUGCUUGAAGAAGUCUCAGCAGUCACGAUAAACAGCUUUCGAUCCUUCCAAUCCUUCUGCAAGGAGGUGUCUUCCUCCACUUCUCCUGCUUCGGGUCGAAGCAGCUGGGUUGAGAGAUGUCUCAUGUUGAUCAAUAUUUUGAUGAUUAUCUCGCUCUUCAUCAGGGAUACCCAUGUCGAAGAAAGGUAACCCUCUGUGUUGGAGGGCGCCCAGAUAAUGGUUGAUGUCCACAGGGGCAACGAGCUCGCGUGUUUGAGUAUGUCUAGUUUCGUAGAGCAUCUCAAAUAGCUUCUCAUAUUGCUCCUGGAGGACCUCAUUCUUCAUUGCUAUCUUGUUGUUUUGAGCUUCUAGCUCAUCGACUUUAGCUUGAAGAGCAACCCUUUUCCUUCAUUCUUUCGUUGCUUCGCACUAAGUGCAAGAAGGGUGUCAUUCUGUGUGUUGUGGCUUCAUUCGCUCCCCAUGUUGGAGAGGGAUGCUUGGUCAAAAGAGAGUGUACGAAUGGUGGAAACCAGCUUGACAAAGCUGAAGAGAGUGGGAAUAGGUGUCGUUUCCACAGACGACGCCAAAUGUUGAUGCACAAAAUCAACGAGGCCUUUGGUACAACAGAAAGUGUUAAGUUUGUGACCUUCACUAGAUUGUUCCGGUCUGUGUGCUGUGGAUAAGUAAGUAAAUGGAUAGGGACAGGGAAGCAAACACAAGAUGUACGUGGUUCACUCAGAUUGGCUACGUCCACGGAGUAGAGGAGUUCUCAUUAAUUGUGAAGGGUUUACACAAGUACAUAGGUUCAAGCUCUCCUUUAGUGAGUACUAGUGAAUGAUUUAGUACAAAUGACAUUAGAAAAUAUUGUGAGAGAAUGAUCUCUAUUCAUAGAAGAAAAUUUCUAGUUUCAUUCUGACAUUGACAUGUGUCGUGUUGUGAUUGGCUUCUGAUGUUGACACGUGUCGCGCUAUGAUUGGCUUCUGAUGUUGACACGUGUCACGCUGUGAUUGGCCUCCUGGUUGGAGGGAAACUCUUCUAGGUCCUUGACGGUAUAACGUUGACCGGUGCUCAGUAGUUUCGGGAUUGAUCAAGUAUGGUACAAACACACUACAGAUAACCCUUCUCGACCAUCCAUCCCAGCUAUCAUCAAGGGCAUUAUGUAUCUCUACUCCAAAGCCUACUGUUUGAGUUGUAAUGUCAUUACUGCCUUGAUCGUCAGAGAGUCCUUGGCCUGUUCCACACCGGUGCGCAAGUUCUUUUAUGAUCUCUUCCUUUGUUUUGCAAGUUUGGCAUGGUAUAGUUUAGGCAACUUUGGCAUUUUGAAAAUUUGGCUCCAAAAAGAUGCAAAUGAAUACAUCUCAAAUUUGUAUCUCUCAAUUACAUAUACACUUAAUCUAUAGGGUCUAAUUCCUUUCUGUCAAAAUAUAUUCUCAAGAUUUUUAUUUUUAUUUCUAAGUUGUUGUGAAGUCAUAUCGGAGCUGCUGUGAAGUCAUAUCAAGGCUCGAUAGCCAUCAACACGUACGUUGCUCAUCAACCAAGGAGAAAAGCUCUAUAAGACCCACCGCCAUCCAACCAGUGAUGGCGACCGAUCGACGCUGCAAAGCUUUUGGAUACCCACGAGUUUCUUGACAAUUCUCGUCAUUUUCCCAAGGAAUAUCACGCUGGCCAAAGUAUCCUAUUUGUGAUCUAAGUAAAUUGUUGUGGCGUUUAUUCAAGUUCAAAGUUCGGAUUUCCAAUAGUCAGACCACCGCGGUCUUUAUGAUUUAGGGUUUGGAGUUUAUACUCGAUUUAAAUGUUGGACGUGUAAGGUAAACAAGUAUUAAUGAUCAAGUGCUACAAUAUGUGCGAGGUGUUAUACCGGAAUUAAACGUUGGACGUGGAAGAGCUUGUGAUUAAAUUAUACGAAAACUGAAUACUGAUGAAGUUGUUAUGUUAAUUAGGAUCUGAGAUUAAAUCUGCAUUUGUCAUUUCAAUUAGUGAUUCCAAUGUUAUUGUUCGUCAUUCGCACGAACUUUAUAGCUUAUAGUCUUUCAUCUAAACAAACAUACUAAAUCACGGAGCACUUGAAAAGUAGGUUUUUAAUAACCCUUAUAUUUAGUCAGUUUGAUUUCGUUCUCUUGUGAAGUAAAAUUUGUUGUAAAUUGUUAUUGUGCUGAGAUCUCAUAUAUUGAAUGUAACAUCUAUUUAUAACAUCAUUUGUACCAUUGAUCUAAUUGAGGUAAGGCCCACUAAUACAUGUGGAUCUCAUUUUUAUUAGAAAGAUGAUACAAAUGGCGAUAUAAAUAGAUAGUAAAAAUAGUUUCUUUUGUUGCAGUCAUAUUUAGAAUAAGAAUGUGAUUGUGUAAAUCUUAGUGUAUCUAGGGAUAUCUUUUAUAUUCCCUUUGGUAGUUUAAUUUCUAUUAAGAGUUGUAAUCCUAAAAGGGUAAGGAUUUAACCUAUCCUGCUACUAUAAAUAAAGGCACAAUGGGGUGAUACAACACACACCUUACAAUUAAAUGUCUCUCUUCUCUCUCUCACUACCGCCGGCCUCCCCCUCUCUAUUCCCUUAGAAUAGCUCAGUUAAAUAGGCCUACAAUACAUUAUCAGCAGGCUCUUGCCAGAAGCUAAGGAACUGAAGGAUCAUAGGAGGAGGCUCUCUUCUACAAAAUUCAAAGGCUUUUAUUUGUUUUCUGCCAAUCAGGUACGCUUAAAAUAAAGUAAGAUAUUUGAAACAUCCACGAAGCAUGAAAACAUUCCCCAUGAUGCAUAAACCCCCUAUGUUUAUAUUUUCCUUUCGAUAUAUAUAUAUAUAUAUAUAUAUAUAUAUAUAUAUAUAUAUAUAUAUAUAUAUAUAUAUAUAUAUUGUGUGUGUGUGUGUGUGUGUGUGUGUGUGUAUGUUUCAUGCAUUACACAAUUAUAUUGCUAUGUGGAAUUUGUGAAUCAAAGCAUAUAAAUAAAUUAGAAGCAUAUAAAUAAAAGACGUCAUCUAGGAAACCGUGCGGCACGACUGCUGCAUCGCCUUGGACAUCCGUGUUGGCCUGCAACCUAGCCGCGUUAAGCACGCCACCAGGAUAACGUCAUUUUGACGCCUGACCCAUGGUGCAGCCCGUUGGGCUUGCCGUGAGCAAAGAAAACCCGGCCUCUUUGGCCUGGGUUUAGUUCUGAUUGGGCCUGCAGCCUUAGCCCAUAGCCGUUUGCUGGGCUUUGCCCUCACACCCAUGGCCUAUCACUAGUAACCCGUGUGUUGCUAGGCCUGGUCUUGUGUCCUUGGCCCGCCUGCAGGAAGCCCAUAUCGCUUAUUGGGCUUUGCCCAAAUCUCGACCCAUUCACCUACAACUGUUUGCCUCUGGGCUUGAACUGCCUCGACCCAAAAACAUGAAACCCAGUUUCGGAUGGGCUUCCUCAGACCGACCCAAGGCCAGCUUUCGCUAGGCCUACACCCGUGUCCAAUUUUUGGUCCAAUGCCAAUAGCUAUUGUUGCUUGGCUUACCCAGACCGCUCGGCCCGAGGCCUGCAGCCCUCAUCGAGGCCCAAUAAGCCUGCAAUCAUACCUGCAAGGCCCACUCCUGUGUUUUUUCAACCCGAUGCCAAUUUUUGGCAUCCCCGCGUUAUAAAUCAUGCCCAAAUAUUUUAUUUGGGGCGUUUUGGUUUACGCUAAUUAAUUCUAAUUUAAUUAUCACUUGGUUUAUCACUAACCGAAGCUAAUAUGACACAUUUGUCAUUAUUUUGCUUCCACGAUCGACCCCGUUUGGUCUUGAUCUAUUGAAUUAAUUAAAAGUGACAUGCAGUCCCUUAAUCUAAUAAUUAAUCCAAUAAUUAAUCUAAAAUUAUUGACCUAAAAAUCACUUUUGGACAUUAAUGAUUCAAUAAUUUAUUUUUAUACUUUGAACCGUUGACAUCCUUUCAUAGUCCCGAAGCAACUCAAAUCCACUACACUUAAAUCAGCAUAUUGCAUUAUGUGUUCUUGCAGGAACCUUUCCUUUAUGAACUAAUCGUUCAUAAAACUAAAUUGAACCUGUAGUUUCAUAUUUAGUGCCUUUGAAAUCUGAAGUUUUCAUCCAAAACGUACCACAUGAAAUCAGUAGCUUUCAUGCAUAAAUUAAACCAAUGUAUAUAGAACCCCAAAUGUUAUACAAUAUAUGUCUAUGGAUCACCAUCUAACUAACCAUGUUUUUGUUGUACCCUCCGUUUUAGGGACAUGUCGAACUUGAACAAGCUCGAUUUCACCGCUCUGGAAGAAACUAUCUGAAGUGGAUUCAAGACGUGAAGUUUCAUCUUACUGUAAAAGGUAUUAGAGCCACCAUCGAGGCACCUAUCGAUGACAAACCAGUCGACGAAGCUUAGAAAGCUAAUGCAAUGAUCCGAGUACCUCGUCGAGGAAGACCCACGCACCAUCGGGCUUGCUCUGGCCUUCAGUUUCGAUCACCAGAAAGACAUCUACUUGCCUGAAGCAAGACUUGACUGGUAGCAUCUUCACUUCCAAGACUUUAAGUCAUUGAAUGAAUACAACUCUGAGGUUUGUAGAAUCCGAUCACUAUUGAAGUUCUGUAAAGUGGAACUAACCAAUUCAGAUCUCCUGGAGAAGACAUAUUCGACCUUCCAUGCCAUCAAUAUUGUCCUGCAGCAAUAAUAUAACGCACAAAAGUUCACCAAAUUUUUGGAUUUGAUCUCUGUUUUACUUAUCACUGAAAAGCAGAACCAACUUUUGAUGAAGAAUCAUCAAGCUCGACCCACUGGCUCGAACAUCGCGCCUGAAGCGCAUGCGACCAAUUCUAGCAGCCACAAACGACGCAAAAAUCAUUGUGGCCGUGAAAAUGGGCUGCAAGCCUAACCACGGGCCCAUGGUCAACAGAAUCAAGGCCCACUCAAGGGAGGAAAUUUGACCCAGAAACGCCAACCCCUUGCCCCUAAGGCCCCAAACUUCAAGAACAAAGGAAAAACUACCGUUUAAUCUGCUUCCACUGAAAUGGACAUGUGAUAUUGUUGUGAAUCAAAUGAUCAUUAAUCACGCGUAUACCGAGCUACCCCUGAGGCUAUUGCCAAGUAUCAUUCUUGUCGUGAGUCUAACUUUGCACAUGUGGAAGAUCUGAAAGUUGCUACUACAUCUAUGGAGAUAUCAGAUUUUCAAGAGGCAUAAACUCCUAUGUACAAAUAAAUUUUAGAUAUGUUUUUAGGGUGUUUUACCCUAGUGGCCGAACCCACUAGGAGAGGCUGAACCCCCCCCUAAAUUUUUAGGUUUAUGGUUUAAUUUUUGGACAAUUCUUCUAAGACUUUGGAAUUAUUUGUUUGGUUUUUGGUUUGUUUUGAAUUAUGGAUAAUUAUUUUGUGGAUAUUAUUUCUCGAAUUGAUUAAUUGAAUGAAUGGAUUUAUAGUUAUGCAUGUGACCAAUUCAAUCAAUUUACUUCUAGGUAUAUGUCUAGUGGGGAAGUUAGUUGUUUGGCUGAUAGUGCUACCACGCACACCAUAUUGCGUGAGCGGCACUAUUUUACUAACUUUGUACCUAAGAAAGCACCUCUGACAACUUUCUCAGGCUCAUCCAACCUAAUUGAAGGAUACGGAAAUGCCCGUAUCAUGUUGUCCAAUGGUACUGUCUUAACCAUUAAAGAGGCCCUCUAUUAUCCACGUUCCGGAAGAACGUUGCUAAGUUUUAGAGAUAUUCAAGAUAAUCAAUAUCAUAUUGAAACCACUGAAGAUAAUGGUUCUGAAUUUCUUUGUAUCACUUUGUACGAAUAUGGCCAAAAGCGUAUUCACGAGAAGUUGGAACGUCUUCUGAGUGGGUUGUACAUAACAACCAUUAGCGGCAUAGAAGCCCACCAUGUGGCUGGCCCUAUGCCUGAGUUCCAGAGCACUUUGUUGCUUUGGCAUGACCAUAUGGGAUAUCCCAGACAUGAUAUGUUGCGUCGUAUCCUCAAAUCAUCACAAGGGCAUCAUUUACCUCCCUACAUUGGAUUCCCACCAUGCAAAGUGUGUUCUUUGGGGAAGUUAAAUACUCAACCCUCGAUUACAAAGAUUAUUCACAACCCUCCUAAGUUUUUUCAGAAGAUUCAAAUGGAUAUUUGCGGACAUAUCCAACCAACAUACAGACCAUUAUUUUAUGGUGUUGGUUGACACAUGGACACAAUGGUCACAUAUUUUCUUGUUGUCCACAUGCAACGCUGCAUUUGCGAAACUCCUAGCAUAAAUUAUUAAGCUAAGGGCUCACCACCCUGAUUAUCCGAUCAAGUCGAUUCGAUUGGAGAACGUUGGAGAUUUUACGAAACGGACUUUUAACGAUUAUUGCAUGUCAGUAGGGAUUGAAGUGGAACAUCCUGUACCUCAUGUUCACACCCAAACCGGCAUGGCUGAAGCUUUCAUAAAGCACAUUCAAUUGAUAGCUCGAACUUUGGUUAUGCGAACCAAACUACCGGUAUCUGCCUAGGGUUAUGCAAUAUUGCACGUAGCUAUGCUGGUUCACCUAAGGCCCACCGUUACCCAACCUCAUUCACCGUUACAGUUGGUUACUGGAUACGAGCCUAACGUCUCGCAUUUAUGUGUGUUUGGGUGCCCAGUUUAUGUGCUAAUAGCGCCACCACUAUGUACCAAACUGGAUCCUCAGAGAAAAAUGGGAAUAUAUGUAUGUCGGUUAUGAUUCACCAUCAAUUGUUCCCUAUUUAAAACCCUUGAUAGGAGAUCUCUUUACCGCAUGUUUUGCGGAUUGUCAUUUUGAUGAGACAGUUUUCCCGUCGUUAAGGGGAGAUAAGUAUACUAGCAUUCCUAUAUAACGUCGUGGAUUACUCCCACUAUGUCUCAUUUAGAUCCCCGCACCCUUCAGUCUUAAUUGAAGUGCAACGUAUUCUAGAUUUUCAGAGCAUUGCUCAAAGCAUGCCAGAUGUUUUUACUGAUCUAGCAAAGGUGAUGAGAUCACAUAUACUCGCUGCAAACACACCUGCAAGGAUAAACGUACUUAAAGUACGCUGUAACACCGUCGUGGAAGGCUGGACCAUCCCCGAGGGUGUGGCGGCUGCACCUCCUACACGGCACGGUACACUGGCGGCUAACCAAUCACCUGCUCCUACCCUGAAGCGUGGCAGGUCCCUUAGUUCAAAGGAUUCACAACCUCAGAAAAGGAAAACAUCACAAACUAGUGAUCCUAGUCUGAAUCUAACCAUUGCUUACUCGUCUGUUUCAUGAGGUUAUUCUAGAUUACGGUGAUGUCUUAGAUGAGACAUACCAGCCUCCCAAGAAUCGUGAGAUUUCGAUCCAUUACGCAGUAUUGGAUGAGGUUUGGAAUUGGAAUGAAAUGAUUGUUGAUCAUACAUUUGCAUAUACCGUUGCUUCUGACAUCAUGCUUAGCAAUAACAUUGAACCACGUUCCGUUGAUAAAUGUCACGUCACAUUGAACCAUCAAUCCAGGUUAAAUUCAAUUCACUUGUGAAACGUAAAGUGUUUGAACCUGUAGCUCAUACUCCACCAUAUGUGAAGCCCGUGGGCUACAAAUUUCGUAAGGAAGCAUAAUGAGAAGAAUGAAAUAGUGCGAUAUAAAGCACGCCUCGUAGUGUAAGGAUUCUCUCAACGCCUAGGAUUGAUUACAAGGAUAAGUAUUCCCCUGUAAUGGACGUUAUAACGUUCUGUUACCUAAUCAGUUUGGUAGUUUCUGUAAAACUAAAUAUGCAGCUUAUGGACGUGGUAACCGCGUAUCUCUAUGAGGAUCUAGAUACAUAUAUCUACAUGAAAGUUCCAAAAGGACUUCCAUUGACUGGUUUAAAUAGUUCUAGACCAAGGAACACUCUUUCUAUUAGAUUAAUCACUCUACGAAUUGAAAUAAUUCGGACGGAUGUGGUAUUACCGUCAUUUGACAAGUCAGGGUUAUGUGAACAAUGAAUUAUGCCCAUGCAUGUUUAUAAAGAAGUCACAUUCUGGAUUUGAAAUCGUUGCAGUUUAUGUCGAUGACAUGAACCUUAUCAAGACUCCCGCAAAGCUUGAGGAAAUUGUUGUUCACUUGAAAUCAGAAUUUGAGAUGAAAGAAUUUGAGAUGAAAGAUCUUGGGAACACUCGAUACUGUCUCGGCUUGGAAAUCGAGCACUGUUCAGAUGGAAUCCUAGUACAUCAAUCAAACUACACCCAAAAUGUGUUAUGACGUUUUAAUGAGGAUAAAACGAAGUCGUCGAGUACACCUAUGGUCAUUUGGACUCUAAAUGCUAAACGAGAUCCCUUCCAUCCAAAGGAAGAUGAGGAAUAGAUUUUGGAGCCCGAAGUUCCAUACCUAAGUGCAAUUGGGGCUUUAUUGUACUUGGGUCAAUACAUUAGACCUGACAUCUCCUUCGCUAUUAAUCUUUUGGCUAAAUACAGCAAAAUGCCCACACGCAGACACUAGAAUGGUGUUAAAGACAUUUUCCGCUACCUCAAAGGUACUACGGAUUUGGGCUUGUUCUAUACCCGUGAAUCUUCGAGAAUUACCGCCACCUCAGUCUUUGGAUUGAUUCCCGCCUUGUUAGUUAUACAGAUGCUGGAUAUCUAUCUGACCCACAUAGGGCACGUUCUUAAACGGGCUAUGUCUUUACCGUUGGAGACACCGUUAUAUCUUGGAGGUCUACCAAGCAAACGCUAGUUGCGACUUCUUCGAACCAUGCUGAGAUUCUCGUCCUACAUGAAGCAUUGUGUGAGUGCUUUUGGUUGAAAACAGUCAUGGAACAUAUUCGAAGCACUAGUGGUCUUACUUUUGUCGUUGACCUUCCUACGACGAUCUUUGAAGACAAUGAGCAUGUAUCGAGUGGUUAAAUAGGGGAUACAUCAAAGGAGACAACACCAAGCACAUAGCGUCAAAGUUCUUUUGUUCUCACCAGCAACAACAGCAUCAGAAUAUUGAAGUCAAGCAAAUCCAUUCCUAGGAAAACCUGGCCGAUCUCUUUACUAAGUCAUUGCCCAAGUCUACUUUUCAGAAGCUCGUCCAAGAAAUCAGUAUGUGUAAAUUAUCUGAAUUAAAUUGCUUAUAGUUCUCUUAUUUGGAAGUUAUGUCUAACUCAGGAGGAGUAUCCUGAAGCAAACUCACUUGAUCUUAAUGUACUAUUUUUCCUACGAUUAAGAGCAUUUUUCCCAUUGAGUUUUUGCUACCUAACGAGGUUUUGAUGAGGCACCCAUCCUGAGAUGAUCAUACUCCGUUGAGUUCACUACUUUCGUCCCGCUUGAUGUUUGUUUUAGACAUUAUGCAUACUUCUCACUUUUUCUCCUUAGCCAAUGGGUUUUCACCUACCUUGGGUUUUACCAUAACGAGGUUUUGUGAAUUUUACUACCCAUGCAUACUUUCUUUAAAUUUGAGACUCACAUUUAUCCGUUGUGCUGCCGACUUCAUCAACUGUUCUACCUUAUCUGCUGAUGAUCUGAUGCGAUGUUUUGUUUGAGUAUUUACACACUCAAGGGGGAGUGUUGUAGUCAUAUUUGGAAUUGGAAUGUGAUUAUGUAAAUCCUAGUGUAUCUAGGGAUAUCUUUUAUAUUCCCUUUAGUAGUUUAAUUCAUAUUAAGAGUUGUAAUCCUAAAAGGAUAAGAAUUUAACUUAUCCUACUACUGUAAAUAAAGACACAAAGGGGUGAUGCAACACACACCUCACAAUUAAAUCUCUCUAUUCUCUCUCUCACUGCUGCUGGCCUUCCCUUCUCUAUUCCCUUGGAAUAGCUCAGUUAAAUAGACCUACAACAUCUUUAGAGUUUUAUUGGACUUUUGAUAUGUGUAUAUUUGUUAUUCAGCUAUAUUUUGACGUCACGAGUCUAUCCUCGAGACGUGACACCGUCAAUGUAAAAAAUUUAAAUAGACACGAAAUCUAUUAAUUUGUUUUGUUUUAAUAUCGCCUCUCUCGCAGUGGGGCAACACCUAUACACAAAAGGGUCGACCGCGUGAGAUAGAGACAGUAUAUACGUAGUCGUAUAUUUCUCAUGGUUUUCAAGUAUUGAAAGCCAAACAUUCGACUUGAACUUCUACCAAACAAAUUAACCACUCACUGCCAGAAUGUGCACCAUCUUUAUAUGCUAGCGAUGCAUCAUUCAUUCAUAAAAUUAUUUAUCACAUUUAUAUGCCACAUAUCUCCAGGUCUCGUUUUAAACUGGCAACUCCAAACUUAGCAAAGUGUUAUAUGCUUAUUGUACAUGCAUUGUGAUCCACCUAUCUGCCUCGGACAAUGGCCUUCGUUUUAUCUUCACGUAUUAGAACGCAUAUUAACCAUGCAAAUAUUCCAGUUAAAAAAGGUCGUACCCAGUACACAAGGCUCCCGCUUUACGCAGGGUCUGGGAGAGGUGAAUGUCGGCUAGCCUUACCCCCAUUUAUGGAGAGGCUGCUCCCAAAAAACUGAAAAAAUUAAUAUUCCAGUUAGCUCGAAUUUUUUAUUUUAUGAAAAGUAAAAUAAGAAUUCACUCAAUUUUAUCCUUCAACAAAGUUGAACUACUAAUUGUUGCGCCAAUUCAUUUUAUUAAUUAAAAAAAAAAAGCGCACUACAAGGCACUUCAACACAAAACAGUUUUCAUGAGACCCGAUAAACGUCAUACAUGCAUGGCUGUGAGUUUUCUAAAUAUAAUAAAGUUAUAGAAAGUAAGGUCAUCUCUAAUUUGGCAUUCGGCCCUUCUUAACCCAAACCUCCUUGAAUCGGUGCUGGCCCUUUAAACCCCAAAACUUGCAAAGGAAAAUCAAAUGGCAAGUUAAAAAGAAAAAAAUGGAAAAGAAAAGGAACGAUCAUUUCCAUUUCGCCACGAAGAAUCUGUGGAGCAAUUGAUGAAUCAGUAAGACUCGAACUUGGCCUUCUACGAUUUAAUUGUGUACAAAAACCAAAGUCUUGAUUUGACUUGGACAAAAAUAUAUGAAAGUAUUGCAAUAAAGUCCUAAUCGAUGAUGGAUCAAAGUUUGGAAAAAGUAGGACAUAUUUGAGAAAUGAUAUUGGAAGUAGACUUUGUAUAAAGGAGAGUAGAAAACAAUGAUGGAAAAUUAGAUCAAAUCACUAUAAGAGAAAUCAUCAGAAUGGAAUAUUAUUCAUUUGAAACAAGACACUAAACGAAAAGGAAAAUAAAAAGAUGGCUUUUUAGCCAAAAUGGUCCAUGAGAUUUUCAUAACAUAUAACUUUGGUCCCUGAGAGUCCUUGAGAUUGUCCAUCAACUAUUAUUUUGGUCAUUCCAUUAAAAAACUCCGUUAAGUGGUCCCUGAGCUUUUUAACAAAAGGACCAAAAUGAUGGAUGAUGGACAAUCUCAGGGACCAAAGUUAUGUAUUAUGCAAAUUUCAGGGACCAAAAUUAUGUGUUUUACAAAUCUCAGGGACCAAAGUUAUGUGUUAUACCCUCAAAUUAACGGAGUUUUUUAACGGAAUGACCAAAAUAAUGGAAGGUGAACAACUCAAGGACCACUUCUAUUGAUUUUAAAUCUCAGUAUGUGUUAUGCAAAUCUCAUGGACCAUUUUGACUAAAAAGCCUAAAAAGAUUAUGAGAGGAGGGGAUGAAGUAGAAGCUCUCUACCUCCUACCCUUCCACUAGUGGCUAGGGUUUUUCCUAUUCCCCAAGGAGAGUUUCUUUUUUGCGUCUAACAAGAAGAAUUAUGCCACUUAGUACUACAGUCUAGUGGUAUUCCUCUUCACUUGUAAGUCAGAUGUCUUAAAUUCGAUUCUCGCUAAAGACGAAUUUGAACCAUAUUAUUACUCACCCAUUGUGAGACUUAGCUCACUCUCCCACCCCUUAGCUUUAAUGUAAAUAUUACCAUUUUUUUUUUUAAAGAAUUCUAAACUACUCUUAUUUACAUCAAAAAACUGAAUGCUUACACAAUGACUUAGAUAGCCUAAUCCAUAUAUGCUUGAAACUAUUAUAAAAAAAAUGUGGUAUAUAUUCCCAUACAAAAAAUAAUAGUUUUACUAUGUCUAAAGUUCACCAUUUAAAGUUUAAAGUUCAGAAUUAAUCAUUGUAGGUACGUUAUAAAUAAGGUAAACAAAUAACACUGGAAAAUUUCUCAUCAGAAGUAUGAGUAUAUAGGAUAAUAGGUCCGACCUAACCAAAGAAAUUGAAUCCAAAUUUCAGCUUCUUCUGUUUUUCUAAAAGCAACCUUUCUAGAGACAACACUAAUAAAGUUCAGGUUUGGUGACUUAUUUUUCUGCGCUCCCAAACCAAACAUGCAUGUGGUGGUGGCUUGUACAAAGCAGCUGGUAGGGCACACGUGCAUGCAUGCCCAUAUGCCCCAUGAAAGAACCAUUCCUCUAACUAUGACCAAAAAAAAAAUCCAUGAUUAGUUUGCAUCUUUGAAAAGAAAACACAAAGCAAUUUGACCUAAAUUAGGAACAAUUUCUCAAGGAAUCAUGUGUUAGCUAGUUUGGACCCACUAUUAGGGUAGUGCCCUCAAUUUAACUACUUCUCCAGGUCAUUGGAAAGAGACCCAUCACCCCCUAAAACUUGUACAAUUAAACUAAUAUAGAAGUUUCUUGUCCUACCCAAGGGGAGGCCUCUAUAAGUCACCCACAUUUUGGUUAUAUAUCACACAUAAAUGUUAGGAAUAUAGGCUUCUCUAUGUAUCCUUUGUUUUAUAACCUAAUUCAUAGAUUGAAGUUUGGAAAAUUGAAUAAUUUGUCACACGUGGAGAGAAUGUGAUGCCUUAAUUAGAUUCUUUGUGGAUGAAAUGAUUAGUAUCCAACAACUAAUUAUAUGAGAAGGGGGUAGGUUUAGGCACAUCUAAUGGGGGCAUGAUUGACACUAAUAAUAUAAAGAAUAAUGUUUUUUUAUUAAAACAAAUCAACAGAAAGAUCUUCAACUAAAAAUGUCAUAAGAAUGAUGCAAAGCCAAUAAUGAUAGAUUAAUCAACAAUUAAGACAUGGUGCUCCCGCGCGCUUAUGCAAUGUGAUAAUAUAAAAUUUGAGAGAGAGAAGGGGGGGAGUUAAUUUAAAGUAAAAAUAUCGCUUGUGAUCCAACAAAAUAAAUUCUAAAAUGACUAUUUAAAUGUUACAUCCAAAGUAUGGUCAAACGAGACGCCAGGUGAACUAUGGACAUAUGAACAAUCCCUAAAAGUCCCAAAAACCCUAGAUUUGAAGCACAUAAUUCAAACUCUGGUUAGUUCAAAUCUAAUGUUUUUUAGGAGAUAACUAGAACUUAGAAUACAAAUUUCUUAAUACUGAUACUCUCCUUUAUCUAUGUGCUUAAUUAGAAGAUGUGCUGCUUAAUUAAUUACAAUCACGAUUCAAAAUUCUCCGGCUUGCCACUAAUACUUUACCUACUUUAAAGAAAACAAACAAACAAAAGUGCUUAAUUAAGUGACAUACGUUAUAACCACCGGAAAAGAAAAAAAAAUAACCUACUAAUUGGGCUUUUGCAUAUGCGACAUGAGAAAUGGUAAUGAGACUUUCUCAAAAAGUGGAAUACUCCAUAAACUCUCGACCAACUCAUUUUUUAGUACAAUAUUUUAUAAUAGUUGUACAAAAAUUGACGUUAGACUGUAGGUGUUAGAGAGUCCAUCUAAUAUUCAUGCAUGUGACAUAUGUUAUAACCACCAAAGCUAUAAAGAAAAUUAAAACCAACGCCAGCAAUAAGACCUAUAACUAAUCAAAGGCUUAUACUAAACAUUGACAAUUAGCGUCAGCCACGUUUGUUUUUUGUAAAACAAUUUUCAACAGUUAUUUAUGUUGUUUCUUCUGGUUGAGUCAACUUGAUACAUCAUUCUAUCCACCUAUCCACUGAUGGCAGAGUUUUCAACGGCCGACUUGAGGAAAAAAGGAGUUCAAAUCCAACAUGGUGACCAAAUACAUUGCUCUCUCUUUUCUUCUCGUGAUAUCCAGUAACCUGCAAAGUUGUUAUUGUCUUGGUACCCAAUUACAUACCCACCUUAGUCGACAAUGAUCCUAUGCAAAUUAUUAGUAUGAAUGAUUGGAAAUAUUUCUUUUUCUUUCUUUUCAUUAUUGGAGGGAAUAAACGAUUUAAGUGCUACUCAGUUGAGCUGAUCGAUUCAUUUUAAAUCUAAUAAUUUUUUUUUAUUUAACAACUACUCAUAUUAUAUCUAAUAAAAAAACUCAUUUUAAAAAAGCAUAAAUUUUAGAUGGGAAUGUUAUCUUCUAGUUUCUCAUUUUACGUUCUCAGAUUCCCUUCUCAUCAUGUAAUUUUGUAUGAUGAUCUAAACCUUCUACGUUUUAUUUGAGAAAUUUGGAAAAAUAACCAGAAUUUAGAUCCCAUAUAGAAUUAUAGCCACAAUGUUAAAUUUAUGAUAAUUAUAACCAAAAGUUGAUAUAAAAGUACUAAAAUACCCAUAAUGGCUAAAACCUUCCUCAUUUGCUGCUCUUAACCAUGAAAAAACCGACCUUCAAGAUAAAAAAAGAUUUGAAAACAAACCAGAGGGGCUACAAACUUCCUAGUCCCCAGGUCGCUGAUUUGGGUUCAACUUUAUUCCUUUUGGCACCAUUUGUGAAUCCCCAAAUUAUUUUCCAUAUUGAAAUCUGACGAAACAAAUAGAAUUUGUUAAUUUUGAUUUAUUCCAUCAUAAACUUGGAAGAAAGCCGAUAAAAAGACCCACUUCUAACAAUUGUUUUUGUUCAGAACGUUGUUAAGUUUUGGAAGACAUAAGUAAAAGAAUGGGGAGUAGAAAAAGAAAAAACAGAAGACUAAAAUCGUCAAUUGGAUUCAUAUAGGAUUGAAGAAGAACUAAAAGAGCUUGAAAUGUGAUAGCUUAAAGGAUUUAGGAAUUUUGUGUUCAAAGGCUCUGACUUCGAAUCCAAUUGAAGGGGAAGGGGAAUCUGUUGAACCGUCUACGGUGGUUUGCAUAUUUUAAUUUUGCAUUUUGGUAAUUUUAAGGGUAUAUUAGUAUUUUUAUGUCAACUUUUGGUUAUAAUUAUCAUAAAUUUAAAAGGGUGGCUAUAAUUCUAUAUGAGGUCCAAAUUGUGGUUAUUUUUCCAAAUUUCCCGUUUUAUUUCACCCCUUAUAGGUAAACUCUAUAAAAAAUAACCAAACUAGAAAUCAUUUAUCUGUUUGAUUAAUUUUGUCAAAAUUUUAUGAUUAAUUGAACAACAUGGUUUGUUUAACUUAGAAUUUGUGAAUUCUUCAAUAUUAUUCUUCUCACGAGAGGAAAUAUAUGUAGUUGUACAACCCUAAUCACAAUUAAUCUAGGAAACCUAUUAAGGAAAUGAAUCCUCAAUAUAAUCAAUUACAAUAUUUGCAUUCCUAUCUAACAAUCCGCCUCAAGUUGGUGCAUAAUAUCGAACAUGCCCAACUUGCCCAUAAGUUUUGCAAAUAUCCUCUUCGAUACUGUGUUUGUUAAGUCAUCUGCAAGUUGAUCUUCCGACUUGACUCUUGGUAUUUCAAAAAUCUCUAGAUCUAGCUUCUUCUUGAUGAAGAACCAAUGUACUUCCACAUGCUUUGUUCGAUCACGAUGAACUGUUUUAGUUGCGAUCUCACACGCAAUUUUAUUGUCACAAUAUAACUUCAUAAAUUUUUUCGAAUCAUAUCCCAAAUCCCUCAAGAUAUUUCGUGACCAAAGCAUUUCAAUAGUUCUCAAAGCAACGCCUUUGUACUCUACUUUGGCACUCGAGCGAGUAACAACAUUAUGUUUCUUACUUCUCCAAGCGACGAAAUUACCUCCUACAAAAGUGAGGUAACCUGAUGUUAAUCUCCUAUAAUCAAUCGAUCCUGCCCACUCGACAUCUGUAAACACUUCAACCUCCAAAUGACCUAUCAUGCCCACUCGACAUCUGUAAACACUUCAACCUCCAAAUGACCUUUCUUAGAUAACAAGAACCCUUUACUUGGAGCUGAUGUGAAAUCUCGUCCCCGGAUAUCACUAUUUCUUUUUCGUAUUUCGUAUUUUUCCAACUUAAUUUUAUUUUCGUUAAUUUUGUAGUUUUACUUUGGUUACAAAGUUUGGUUUUUUGUAAUUAGUCGUUCAAAAUCCGUAGACCUUUUGGGGUCACUCGUAGAAUUUUCAAAUAGGGCUCGAUCCUACAAACACAUAGACAAAAAUCGUUCCUGAAACAGAGUUUUAAUGAGGGAGAUAAGCAAUCAAAGUCAAAUGUAAUUUGGCAUAUUGUCGCUUUCUAUUUAUAGCUUCCCUAAGAAGUCAUUCCCAUUUUGGAAACCCAACCUAGAUAGCUGACCAGUUUACUCGUUUGACCCACGAUCUACCCAGGUUCGCUGGGCAAAUUUUUUACGAUGAUUUCGACAUUUUUUUGUUGUUUAACCAUUGUAGAGGGCUAUUCGAAGGCCACCGAUUUUUGGGUUAUUCUUCGUCGUCGAUCACUCAUCUCUAGUCACCCCGACAUCAACAAUCACAACCAAUCAACUGAUCUCGACCUUGGCAACAAAACCCAACAAAGAUCCAAGUCAUGAACCCCUAGUGACAGCAGAUCAAAGUUCGAAAGUUUUAGAGUUUUUUUUUUUCAGUUCCUCUCACCGUCUUCUGGCAUUUUUCGAUGGAGUAAGCCUUCAUGGAAUGUAUAAACAUUGCUCCACUCUUCACGAUCUUCGUUUUGCUAUAUUUUGGUAUCAAUAAUGUUAGUGUUGGCCGGAUUUUAGCAAAGGUUUGGUCGUCCACCGCUGUGUACAGCGGCGUAUGGCCAAUGACCUAAUUUUGUGUUCAUAAGCUAAAUUCAAUGCCUUGAAUUCAUUUCUAAUGUUUAUUUGACGAGAUUUCUUCAUUUGAACAUAGUUCCCAAAUUGACUACCAUAUGAAUUUUGUGAUUGACGGAUAUCUAACUAUUGGAUUGUCAUGAUACUUCUUGAACAUGCCUUUUUUUUGUCGAACUUCUUUAACAUGCUAUCAGUAUUAUUGGAGACAUGAUAGAACUUAGUGAAGUUGUGGUGUGUGACACACCCCAACCUAAAUCAGGGCAUGUUGGCUAUCACGUGAAAGUGACAUAACCAUGUGCACAGUGCGGAAGCAAAAAUUGAUAUAGAGAAAUAUGAGUAAAUAAAAAUCCAACUACUAGCAGUACUAAUUAUGAUAAGGUGCAAGUGCGAGAUUAAGUGUGAAAUUCACCAUUAGAGCAUAAAUAGCCUAAGUGCAAUCCGACUGAACAAGUACUAAUUAUACUACACCCAAAGGUGAUCCUACAUUUGAGAUGUUCUGUUAGAACCACCAUCAAAAUCCCCGUGAGCCACCAAAGCACUUCUACCUAAAAUCUGGAAGGACACAAAACAGAAAGUGUGAGUGGGCAAAAACAAAGCUUUUCAAAAUCAUUUCAUUUUUCAAAAGUUCUAAACCCUCGCCGUAAAACCUGUAUAAUUUCCUAGAAAAUAAUAUAUGUUAUAACAUAAAUUAUGCUCAGGAUGAAAAUCCAUAGAAAUAUACCAUGCCAAAGUAUCUCAAUGAAAUGCUAUAAGUAAUCCAAUUAAAAUGUAUCAAUGUCAGAUAUCAUAUCAGCCAAAUCCACAUACGUGACCUGCACGACUGAGUCUAUAGCUCAUAACCAAUCUCAACCAUAUCAAAUCCUGCACAUGAGUCGGAACCACCAAAAGUGGUCUGUACGACAAGACUAGGUGUAAAAUAAAUAUGCUCUAGUGCUACGAUCACGUGAAGACUGUACAAAUGAUCGCGGGUCACCUACAAGUUGGAACCACCUAAAGUGGUCUGUACGACAAGCCUGUGCACCUAACUUGGAUCCAAGGUGAACAUAUGGUGCGGGAGGUGAACAUCACGUGAAGGAUUGUGCCCUAACUCUGGGCGGGAGCACUAACACCAGGGUGCAAGUUUAUGAGCUCUCAAUGCAUCACAUCAUCUCUCGCAUAACUAAAGCAAUCUCAUAUCUUUAAUUUAUGAACUUACCUAACGCUUACUUGUGCGUUUGCAACACCAAUCAUAAAUAUAUGCAACUACUAAUGCAUAAAUAAAAUAGGCAGAUACUUUGCAUGGCAUUUCAAAACGUAUAAUCAUUCAAAUUCAUUUUCUGGGAAAAAUCUCAAGUAUAUAGGUAUAUACGGAAAACCAAAAGCCCACUCACUGAUAUGUGGAAGGGUCGUAGCCCCCAAGCCUCGAUUGAUGCUCGUCCUCCGGAUAGGUCUCACCUAUAUGCAAAAUAACUAAACAAACGUUAUUUAAAGCACAUAUACAAAACUAGGAAAUAACUUCUCAUACAAUGCUCAAAUGGGGUAUUUGAAUAUACCACCAUGACCUACUCAACCUCAGGAACAUCCUUAUAUUUUUAGAAAAAUUUUCCGACCACCCACAUGCCUUCACUCGCAGGCACGUGCCUAACACACCAAACAGAUUCCCUAACUGCGUUCGGGAAUAUUCCGUUAAAUAUAAGCAUAUACCGUUAAAUAUACCUGACAUUAUUAAUCACCAUUAGGAAUAUUCCGUCAAAGUUGACGAAAUAUUCGUCUUCUUCUCCGGCAAGUCACCGGAUUCCGUCGUCGUCGUCGGAAACUGGGAAAAUUUUCUAAACUUCAUAUCUUCUUCAUUUCUCAACCAAAAUUCAUGAAAUUUGUACCAAAAUGAAGCUUACAACGAGUAGAACAAAACCUUACCAACUUUAAGCCCUAAAAUCCACGGGAUCUCGCUGGAGAAACCUCAAUAAUCCGACCAAAACUUGAAACCCACGAAGUGGGACUUCCCGACGUCCAAAACACUCCAACUUUCUUCCCCAAGCUUCGUGAAGAUGUUUUAAGGCUUCCUAUGACCUUAAAACUCACUGAAAAGUCCACAUUUACAACUGCAUGAACAGUAACCCCAAUCGAGGAUCUUGGUUUCACGGGUUUUUGAGGUUUUCACGUCUGACUAAGGGUAUGGAUGAGCUCCUGAGUUCACAAGGAACACAAAAGCAACCUCCUCGACGUCGAUCCGAGUAAGAUAAAGCUAGUUUGAAGAGUGAUCGUACAACUUGUAUGAAAAAUGGAUAAAAUCUGAGAGAAUGAAAGAGAGAAGGGUCAACGGGUUGUUUGGGUGUGUGUGAGUGGUCCUAGUUUGGGUUACCAACCAAAACAAAUAAAAGCUUAAGUUCUAGUUGGGUCCAAAAAUUUAGAAACUUAACAUAUUGGUCCACCUCUAAAAGCAUGUCACACACAACAGACCUCAACGUCCAAGAGCAAAAUAAACAUUUCACACUGACGAUAAAAUAAUUCGGGACGGGCUGUGACAGUGUGUCAUCUUGGGUGAUGUACACCUUAGUAUGUGUGCAAGUGGCUCGUUAUCUAUAUUAAGAAUUAUUUAUCUAUAGAUUUCUAAGAUGACACCUGUUGUUUGUCUUAGGCGCUAGUCGUGUGUGAGCUCUUCUAUCCUUGUGCUAGGCUACUAUUGCACAAACUCCAAGUGAGUAACUUUAAUAUAUGUGACAUGGUUAUUACCCAUGAAAUUGUCAUGCUGAUAUACUUUGUGGUUAUGGUAUGCAUUUUUAAAUGUGUUUCUAUUGAAAUGUUGCUCUUAAAUUCAAUCAUCAAUCUACUUUUAUGAAGAAAAAAAAUUGUUAUAGUUAUUUGAGAUGAUUGAAAUGUGACGGCGAUUAGAAGACUGCUACCUUAUUGUCAUGGGGUUAUGUGACAUGGGAGUCUGCACCAUGUAACACUGGUACAUAGAUUGUCCUGUUUAGUUUAUCUGCAUUUGGGGACCAUACUAUUUAAGGGUUGUGUUUGGUUAAUCUGCAUUGGGCAAUCCUAGGAUCAUUCUUGGUUUAUCUGUUAUGGGUGAUCCUUAUUACUUAGGUGUGGCCUUACAUACUUUAAGGGGUGAUCAUACUUGGUUAAUUCGCAUUGAGCGAUCACUGCCUACCAAUGUUCUUAUGAGUGGUUCUGCUUGGUUAAUCCGCAUUGGAGGGCUACUUCCUACUUGGUUAUAUAUUGUAGGUUUUGGUCAAACUAUGUCACUCUAGCCCUAAUUUUUAGUAUGUUUAUGGAAGCGAGAAUUGAGAACCUGUGUGGUUCAAUAUAAAAAAAUUAAAAAAAACGAUGGUUGUCUGUGUGACUCAUUUGAGAUUUUCCAACGAGAUUUGUCUAUGAGUUUAUAAAUGGUUUUAUGAACUGAUGUUUCUAAACUGGGACCUUGCUAUGAUCCCACGAUCCCGGAUCCUAUAAUCUCAUAGUAGCAAGAUUUAGAGUGACUAGGUUGACCACAUUGCUCACAGAUUCUAUCUGACGGAGGGCGACUGGAACCACCAGUCAAAUGGCAGUAUAAGGGCUGGAUUGGUCCAGUUGGUUGGUGCGGUCAUGGUUACGAGACUAGUUUGACGUGGGAUGGUUUCGAGCGGUUAGUAUAGCAGUGUCGACAGCUUCAGACUUACCAUUCAUCUUUUCUUAGUGAAGAGCAUCGCGACGAAUAUACGCAUAGGCUUCUUCCAAAGGGGAAUAUGAUCUUUGCGUAGGAUUUCACCUCGAACUUGUUCAAAUUCGGAGUUGAGACUUGCAAAAAAAUUGCACUCUCUGAUGUUCAAUAGAUUUUCUGUAUGUUUUCACAUCAUCUUUAUCCUUCAUGGCCACCUGUUCACAGUGGUGCAGUUCUUGAAAAAUCUCCGUUAACUCUCCAUAGUAUCGUACAAAGUCUUCGGGUGACUAAAUAAGUGACGCAUUCAAGAAAAUGGGUGGAAAGGCAAGUCCACCCCUAGAAUUAAUCUUUGGCAAAUAUAGUCUUACACCACAAGGGUCCAACCCUCUCUCUGGCAGUUGCUGUAGCCAAAUUUUGCUCCUACUCCCUUAAGGUGUCCCCACAUUAUCAAGAAUAUUGAUCAGGUUAUUAUUUUCUUAAUCCCAAUAUUCUCUUUCUUCUCUACUAUACCUGCUCUCCUCUGGACGUCUUUUCUUCACUUUCCGACAGUUUACUACCAACACCAUAUACCUAUAUUUCCUUGUUCUAUUUUCAUCAUCUUAUUAAUUCAAAAAGCACUACUGCACAGAUGGAAGAUCGCUCCAGAAACUCUAUGAUGGGAAGAGGUAAUUCUUCUGAUACAAGAACCACUACUCAAGAGUCCCCUGAGGAGAGUAGUUGGACUAUGUACUUGCAAGAUUUCAUGAUAACCAAUAGUCAAGACGAUGACGAUGACGAUGACGACCGCAGUUCUUUCUCCUCAUACGGUUAUGAGAAUUGUUCCAUAAUCUCCGACGCCGCUUCUUCAGUCACCCGAAAGUUUACUAUUAAUGGAGAAGUUUUAGGGUUUGGCGUGGUUGGAGGUUAUAAUAGAUCUGACGUCAUGAUUAAGAGAAAACCCAAGGAAGCUUUUCUUGAUGAUGCUUUGGAGGACACAGCUAGUUCUCCAGUAAAUAGUCCCAAGGUGACUAUCCUAUUCCUAAUUGUUUUUUUGUCGGUCCAAUAUUUUUUUAAUCAUGCUAACUUUUUACAAGUAAAAUGUUUAACAUAUGCUUCCCAGAUUGAAUUAAUUUCAUUUGUACUUUCAUUAGGUUUGUAAUCUAAGCCAGUCAACUGUGGAACCAACAAUCCAAAAAGAUUAUAAAGACAUACCUAAUGCGGUAAAAAAGAAAUUUACCACACUAUUUUUUCAUCGGUUUUCUUUUUAUUGUAGCAUUGUCUUUUAUUAUUCUGGUGCUUAUUUUUGCAAACAAUGAGUCCUUAAACCGAUGGUGUGCUUUGAAUUUUUGCUCUUACAGGAGAAAGGAAGUGCUUCUGGCCGGGUGGAUGAGAGAAAUGAAUCGGGAUUUAUUGGGAGAGAGAGUGACUGCACAGAAUUGAAGAAAAGGGGACUUUGCUUGGUUCCAUUUUCUAUGGUAGCAAACUAUUUUGGAUGAAUCAUUGCUAUCAUAGUCCAUAUAUACUAGUACCUCAGUGAAUACGUAUAUCUCCUCUCUCUCUCUCUCUCUCUCUCUCUCUCAUAAUAAUUGAUUCUGUACAUAAUGUGAUCGAUUGCUUUUAUCAUAUGCUAUUGAGGAAGUACACUUCAUGUAUCAUCAAUUUCAGCAAGAACAAAAUCAAAACCAGUUGUCCAGUAGCUGUAGACGAUAUAUAUAGUCUUUUCCCGUUAGGUUUAUAAUAUGAUCACAAUCAUAUAAAGUCAUAGUAUCAACAGUAUCAAUAUUAUAAACGACGUAUCGAUGGCAUAUGUACACUAGCAUCUCUUAAAAGUGCGUAGUUAACCACGCUAGAUAAAAUUUGCAUAUACAAUAGCAGGCAGAAUUAGUGUUAGAUGAGGUAAGUGACAUUAAUUUAUUGGGCCAAAACUGCACAAACUUGAUUAUUUCCGUCGAUACUGUCUUUCAGUGAGGAAAUCAAUUAAGUUCAUUGAUGAAGAUCUCCACUAAAGGACCAUUUUGUUGUAAUAUAUCCCCCUUUCCAAUUUAUCUUUAUCUUAAAAAAUAAACAUUAACUACUAGACGCAUCAAAGAAAAACACUUGCCACUUAGUACUACGAUCUAGUGGUAUUUUUCUUCACUUGCAAGUAAGAGGUCGGUUCGAUUCUCGCCAAAGGCAAAUUUGAAUCAUAUUAUUGCUGGCUCAUUGUGAGGUCAAGCUCAUAUUCCUCCCCCUUAUUGUAAAUAAUAUCGUUUGUUUAAAAAAAUUGGAUUAGAUUGCUUGUUUUAAAAUAUCAGAUAUACAUUCACACCAAAGAAACAGACAUACUCACACAUAUGUGUACUGAAGAAACAUCCUUUGUUAGUAGUCUUUCAUUUGGAUACCCAGCACAUGCAGUUCCCACACCGUAAAAUUUUUGGUUUAUAUAUGUGUUUGGACUUGAAAUUACAUCUUCGUCCUGUACAAUCAAGGCCGUUGAAUGGGCGUAGCUCAUAAUCGUUGGAUGAAAAUAAGUGAAGAUAAUUUUGUGGUUAUUGAAGGAUAAUAUUGUGAUUUUUAUCAUAAUUAUCUUUUAAUAAUGAUUUAUCUUGUCUUUUUCUUAUGAAAGAUGGAAAAUAUAUCUCAUGCUGGAAACAAGCGGCAUGAUUCAAAUUGGUUUGAAUGUGUGGUUUGGAUAAAUUUUGGUUGACGGAUCGGCAUGCAUACGAUGAGGUUGAGGGAAAAAAUGGUGAUAUGCUUGGGAAAUAAUUCUACACGUGGUGGCGAUAAGAUGGCAAAACAAUUGUUGGGACACAUGGUCUUCAUGCAUGCAUAGGAAACUUGCGGAUUGGGUGAAUCCCAAUAGGUAAUUAGAUAGACAUCUGGAACGUGUAGGUGUUUGGGCCCAAAAUAUCAGUUUGGGCCGAGUAUAGAAUUAUUCUCGGCCCAGAAGGCCUUACGACAGGGUUAUCAGGGAUCGUUUAGUUCUGGAUCGGUUAGGUCGUGGGCUUCCAAACCUGGGUCGGUUAAGUCAUGCUGCAAGACGAGUCGAAUCCUGGUGCAAUGAGGAGUCUCGGCAAGACUAAUAACCUGGAAGUGAAUCCGGCUCAAUAAAGGACUAGGUUCACAAUUAUAGUGAAAAUAGGAUUGGUCGAGUUGGUGUUUGAUCAGGAGAAGAAGUCCUAAUCCGGGUAGGUUUUUAACUCGACCUUGAAGGUAUCCGGUGCUAUAAAUAGAAGAGGUUGUAUAUCGUUCGAAGCCCCCUCCAAUUCAACACACAACUGCCCUGCGCAAACUCUCUCAAUAAUUUUGAGAUUUUUAUUUUCUCUUUUCGCCGACACAUCUUCCGUUGGCAUCAACAGCACUGUGAAAGCAACCGAUGAUAUCUUAAGUCGGAAUAGAUAGCUCUGUCGCCGUAGAAUCAGCCAAUCUCGCAGCAUCUUCCGUUGGUAUCAACAGCACUGCGGUGAGGACGGUUGGUUACUUAUCCAAGUCUCGGUCGAGAAAGAUUUCCGAAUCCUUAUUGAUUGAGGCCAUCUCAUUAGCCUUCUCGGCGAAGUGAGGUGUUACAGUUUACGGAGCUCAGCGCAUUGCACGCCGAGUUAUUUUAUGAUUGGAUACUCUCAAGUGGGAUUUAGAGUUCGGCAUUCAGAUGGUCGAACCACGUUCACUAUUAAGACGUAUAUUUGUUUUGAGUAUUUGUGCCCUUACACUUUGGUGUCGAUUCGGCGUGAAUUUACUCUGACGAAUAACAUCACUGUGACCGAAUCCGACGACGGCGAUUCGUGAACUUCGUAAGAAUAGUAGCCUUGUCUUCAGGUUCGAGAACCUAAGAGGCCGAGACGUGUUCCUUCCUCGGUCGCAAUCGCAAGACGCAGAAGUCAGCCGCGCACCCAACGCAACAUCAAUAAAUUUACUCCUCGGCCGAGCUCGGCCGACGAGUUGGCACGUCCUGCAUUCACUGAAGGACGUAGUUAGCUUAUAGAUUACUCGGCCUGCGUGCCACGUAGGCUUGGUAGUUUUUAGGGUCAACAAUAUGCUACAUGUAUAUUCGCAUUCUCUCACUACAAAGUGAUUGAGCAUUUGUCCAAUUUUCAUGAUCGAUCACUUACUCUUAUCAUCAUUAGUGUAUUUUCCUGGCGGAGAUGGUUUCACCCCUAACCAUUGCAAAAUUGAACUUAAAAGCGAGUUCGCUUUCUGUUUUGUCAUUGUUAUCUUAUGUGGUAUUGCCGGCUCGCCGGGUUUUUCCCAUUAGAUAUACUUUGUCUGAGCAAGGUUUAAGGCUUAAGGUUUAACAAAGGCCGUCUAUAGUCUUCCGUUUUGUAAUUCCUUUCUUUUUUAAUUCAGUUGCCAAUGUUUAAGAGAGAGGGGGAGAGAGAGAAUGAGAUGAAGUUGAAUGUUUUAAAUGUUUUUAAAAAAAAAAGAAUUGGUGUGCGCAUCCAGGGAAUCGAACCCUGGUCAGUACCGUGGGAGGGUACUAUGAUACCACUACACCAGAUGCGCUUGCUUGUUCUACUGAUUUACUAUAGUUACAACAUUUUUCCAAUUUGUUAUUUCUAACUUCUGAUUUAUGAAGUAACUUUAAAUUCACUAAGCCAAAUAGAAGCUCGUUCCAAUCCGAAAUUCUACUAUGCUUUUGUAUGAAUAAGGACAUCCUCAAACAACAAAGUUACAAUUAAAAAGCUAAAAAAUUUACUAAACAAGCAUUAAUAUAUUAAUCUAUUAAGUUUUUCAUACAAAACACUUAUAAUCAUUGUUGGCAAAGUCAAUCAUAUUGAUACUAAGAGAAAUGCUAAGGAGAUUCUCUUAAAGUAGGACUCUCUAUAGACUCUCCGUCACCUUAUGUUUUUUGCGCAAUGUUCAAUAAUGUUGGUACGGAAAUUGUGCUAAAAACAUGAGAUGACGGAAAGUCCAUGGAAAAAUCCACUUUUGGAAGAGUCUCUUAGCAUUUCCCUUGAUACCAAUUAACAUAUAGGUUUAAUUUUUAUUUUAAUUAGGGUUGGUCAUUGAGAUGCAAAAUUGAACCGUCCCCGUGUGGCAUGCACCCGACUGGAGAAAUGUAGAGCUGGAUGUGUUGUCAAGGAUUUAAUUAUAAAAAAUUAAACAGUCGAAGAUCUCAAUGUAUACUAUACAGUGGUGCAUACCAAAAAAACCCGAUAAACAAUUACUAAUAAAAAAACAAAAACUAACAGAAGGAAUCGCCUCUACCACUUCUAUUUUAAAAUAUCUACAUACUAAUGCAUAUGACUGAUUGAGAUGGGAAAUCCACAGACGCCUUUGGCCUUCUUUUUUGUUUCCAAUAAGUAACUCUUUUGUUCAGAAAAAAGAAGAAGAACAGAGAGGAUUCACCAAAAGAAUUAUCAAUUUGGUGUUAUUCAAAUUUCCACCAUCGGUUUUGAAUAUUGUUACAAUUAUUCAAACUGUUCAGCUAUUUUGCAGCACGUUUUGGAUCCUUGAAACGAGCAGGUUUCGGGUUUAUUUUUUCUCAGGAAGCUUCUCUAGCAACUCCGGAAUAACUUCAAAUAUAUCGCCUACGAGUCCAUAGUCAGCAACCUGGGAUGAUUAAAGUUUAUUUUACUAUUGGAAUGGCAAAAUCAGCAGCAUGUAAUUGCAUCCAUGUCAUAUCAUUCCAAAAGGUCUUGGAACUACGAAAACCACAUGCAAAGCAAGUUUUGCGGAAUGUAAAUUCCUUAAACCUAAAACACAAUCUGAUUCAUAUUUCAAGAACGCUUCUCCCUUUUUCUUUUCAGCAGCGGAGGAAGUAAAAAUGGCUUGGACUUUUGGAUCUUUGAGAAAAUACUAAAUUCUUUAAGAAAUGAAUGCAUCUUGUAUAGGAUGCACCUUCACAAAACUUCGAGAGAGUUCAAAUCAUCACCUGAAAUAUUGGGGCAUCUGCAUCUUUGUUCACAGCAACAAUGUACUUGGAAUCUCUCAUGCCUGCUAAAUGUUGAAUGGCUCCUGAAACACCAAAAGCCAGGUACAACUCCGGGGCAACUAUCUUUCCAGUUUGGCCAACCUAACGGACAAAGCAAUCACAUUCUAAGAGAAGUUAGAACAAAAAUACAGGACAAACAGAACAUAAGACUAACUAUAACAGGAUCAAGGAUGUGAGACAUCAUAUCCUCGAGAUAGUGCAAAUGGUUAAGAUUCAUGAUAUCUUUAUGGCGAACCAUUUUGAAAUCAGAACAUUCAAUUCCAGGAGAUAUUUUGCCUGUUGAAGAAGUAUAAACUAAAGAGGAAAAAGCAUACUAGCUUUGACUAGAACAGGUACUCCAAUAGUCCAAUGAAGCAUCCGCACUACAAACUACUUAAUUGGACUACAAACUACUCCAAUAAUCCAAUAGUCCAAUGGUCCAAUGAAGCAUCUGCACUACUAACUACUCCAAAAGUCCAAUGACUAGAACCGAAGAUGUUUUUGGAUCCCAGAAAGGAUUCUCAAUUGGGACUCAACAAGCCCUUCUAUAUGGGAUGAAUUAUUCACUUGUUGCAUAAUGUUGACUUAUAACAGAUGAGUUUUGAGAGUAUCAUGUCAUUACAUUAAACACAAAAUAUUCUUCAAGGUUGGGAAGAACAUUUAUAAAUGUUACCUGCAGCUCAUUAGGAACAUAUCCGGCAUCAACAGCAGCACGGGUAGCUCCAACUAAUGAAAAGAGAGGAAAGAAACGUCAAAUUAUUCUUAUCCACAUUGCAAAAACAGAACAUGCCUAUAAGUUCCAAGUAUGGAAGGCUAAAAUUCAUCUAAACUGUGAAUUUAAUGUAUGUUGUUGAUAUAACUCAACAACAUAUCACAUUGCUAGAACAGAAUAUGCGUAUAGACUCAAAUAUGGAAGGUUAAAAAUUUUCUAAAUUGUGAAUAAAUGUUUAUACAACUCAACUAAAUUCUGUAUAUCAUAUUAAGUCGUAAGAAAGCACGGCAAGUAAUCAACAAGAAACAUUACAGGUUAUCAGCAACAAGAAAAAUUACAGGUUAUCAGCAUACACAAGCACAGCCACAACGCACACGUGACAAAGUAACAAGAAUAAGAAGCUCAAAGAGCAACACUAAUAAGAUUACAGAUGCUAGAAAGAAAGAAAAAAAGAAUGGAGUUCUGAGCACAAAAAGGAUCAGUGGAAUUACCAGCUGCACCAAGUUUCUCUGCGAGUUUUUCUAUCAUUUUGAAGUUUUCAGCACUUUUCAACGCACGGCCCCCAGUAACCACAACACGAGCAUUCCCAAGAUCAGGCCGGUCUGUAUCCUGUGAUGUGUGCUUUACAUAUCGAGAUUUACAAACAGAAUCUGCAAAUGAGAUAAAAGCUAUGUAAAAAUAUGGCCUAUGUUUUAAUAGUCAAUGAGGUAAAAAAUUUAACAGCUCCAUUUAUGAUCAAAAGGAUGUUUUCUAGGGUUACACCAUGGACACUUGUAGCAUUACCGUUGACCAGCGAAAAUGAAUUCACAGGUGGGCAUAGAAGCAGUCACAUAACUUCUUGUUAAUUAAAUUAGAUUUAAACGUAUAUUUGACUAGUAGAUAUUAUGCAUUCAAAAAUGACAAUCUGACCUUCACCAAAGGUGGAGAGGUCAACCUGGGAGAUAGGAGCUUCAUUUGAUUUCGAAUCAGCCGAGAUGGGGGAUACUGGAAAAGAUGUUGAUCUAAUGCUCAGCAGACAAGGGCCAGCACCAGUGUAUCGAACAGUACAAAGGGCAUUUCCGGCAUAUAUUGGCCUGCAAUAUGAAAAGAUAAUCUUACAUUCUUACUGGUAGCCUGAUGAAACCGACAUGUACCACAGAUACAGAGUCCAAAGUCAACCAAGACAUGCUUACACAGGAACGUGAAACUAACCCCUCUAGACCUUUCCAUAAGUGAAACAAGAUACAAGAAUAAAGAUGUAUUUCAUGUUGGCAUGCAUCUGAGUUAUAGUAAGCGGAUAGUUCUAGUUUGAAGAGCAGGGUAUUUCCUGAUGCAUGAGGAUAUGAUUUUGUAAACACGGUUGUAGUGGCUUUGAUUGAUUAUACUUCAGUGAAUUGCUAUUUCACCGUGUUGUACUGUUGUUUAGUUAAUUUCAUUUUACUGAAGUCGUUAUGUACAAAAUCACCAAACAAUAAUUUACAUAAUACGAGAAGUGAUCACAACAACAACCUAACAACAGAGUUACCUGACAAAUAGAUGAGAAUCAGAAAUUUCAAUCACAUCCGUGAUUGGAGAAACAUCUAAAAGCGCAGCAGCCCGUGGCAGUAUGUUCUUCCCAAAUGAACCCGAAGCAGUGAUUACAUGUGAGUACCCACCUUUCUGCUGAACCAAAUGGAUCAGUCUAGCCCAAGGUUCUGCUAGAGGAUGACUAAAUUUCUCAGAAUCAGCCACAAGCACCUACACAACAGUUAGCAAUCAAACACCAUAACACUCUACAUAUUUCAAAAUCCCAUAUCAUCAUAUGGGUCAGUAGCCCAUUUGGAAAUAUAAAGGGCCGUUUGAUAACCAUUUCGUCUUCAAUUUUCAAUUUUUUUUAAAACCGAAAACUCGUUUGGUAACUAUAUCCUAUAUGCUAAAAGCUAAAAACUGAAAUGGUUAUCAAACGGGCCCUAAAACAACCUCAAAUGCAAGAUUUUUAAUUACAGCUUGAAGAACAUGCGGGGUGCCAUUUGAGAUACCUGAGAAACUGACGGGUCACACAAAGCAGCAUUCGCAGCCGCGUCGUGGAGGGCAGGGCCGGAGCCUGCUAAUAGCAACGAAAUCGAGUUUUCGUCGCUCAAAGAACUUGCAGCCUUCACUGCGCUGACUGAUUGGGGUUUGAUAGCACCACCUUCGUGUUCGGCUAAAACCAAUGUGCUAAUCUACUCCAUUAUUCGAAAUAAAUCAGAAAAUAAUGACAAACUGGUAAUGAAUUUUCAGUAAAUUAGUCGAAGCGAAAAUUUGAAAAUUUUGAAAAUUCUGAGGUGACUGGAGGAAAGUGAGACUUACGGAUCUUGAAUUGAAGGAUGAAGCGAAAAUUCGUGACUUGAAGGAAGGAACGAUUCGUUUCCUCAAGGCUCUGAAAGCUGCCAUUUCUGAAGCUCUCUCCCUCUGUGUGUGUGUGUAGCUUUUGGGGUCGAUGACGAUGGACGAAGAAUGACAUAGGCAAACGAUCGAACCGGCUGAGCUCCAAACUUCCUAACAAACGUGGCAUUCUUAUCAGUUAUCACAACGGUUUUUAAGAAAAAACGGUGCGUUUCACGUGGGUCUUCACUUUUACCUUCUCCCUUAAACUUAAAACAUGGUGAUAUGUGUGAAUAACGAAAUCACAAUCCUGAUUGGCAUAUGGUUUUGUAACUAAGAGUUACCAUGGUAACUCUAUCUCCACUUGAAAUUCAAAUAUUCAACAUGGUAACUCUAAGUUACAAUCGUAAGCAUGAACCUGAGUAAAUUAUGUGCAUAAGAAUUUAAGGUUCCGGACCAACUUAACGGAAUAGAAUAGAAAAAAGGAUUCUGGAUCAUUGAACACCAUCCAACAAAGAUAGGGUUCCCCAAUGCGGAUUAACCAGGCGGACUCUAGGUAUCAAUCUGAUAGCAUGGUUCCUUAAUGUAGAUUAACCAGGUAGGACCACCUAUGAUCUAGUGACCAAGUAGGCAGUAACCUCCCAAUGCGGAUUAAGUACGCAAACUACCCUUAGAAUGCAUAUGAUCCCCCAAUGCGGAUUAACCAUGCAGAGUCACCCCUAGAAUGCUCAUAGUCCUCAAUGUAGAUUAACCAGGCGAGACCAUCCAUGUACGACACUACUACAUGGUGAUGUCAUUUCAUCGCACAUGAUAUAACAUACAAUAUAGACUCCACAUAAAUGACGAUUGUAAGCACAUACACUAUAGACUCUGCACGAUCAACAAUUAUGUAAUCACAGAGACGUACAAGUUUUACGGAAUAAUUAUAAUAUGGUCCUCGACAUAUCUCUUCAUACUAGUAAUCGCACAUUAUCAUUAUUGUUAUCUAGAAGCUCAAUACACACGUAAAUCCCAAUAAAGUGCCACUUGCAUGCAAACCGAGACAUACAUCCCUAAGGUGGCUCACUAACUAAGGUAGACCCACUAGAUUCUAUCGGGUCUCUAGUAAUGCUAACUUCCGCUCCUAAGAAUGAUUCAAAAUAUGUUGACCAAAAGUCAACCUUCAGUCAACGUGGUUAUCAGUAAAGUCAACAACCCUAUGUAAUUCAAUACGAAAGAUCCACACAUUGAAUUUUUGAUCUGUAAAUUCCUAAGAUUCUUACAUAAAAUGAAUAACAACAUACUAUAUUUCGUGACGAUCCAAUGGUCAGAUCUUUGUUUACUAUAAGAGUUAAGUGGAGGUUCUUUGUGAAUUUAGGUUCAAACGAUGAAAUCUCAUCAAAUGGACAUCGAAAAUGAAAUCAGGGCAUUGAAAUUAGUCUAAGGAGACAAAAUAGGGUCAUUGGCAAUGCGCCACCUCCACAUGCCGCCACACAUAACAGGCGACGGUUCUGACUCGUUGGAGUUUUUAACGAUCACCUAAAUGAUUCAAAUUAUACUAGCAUUAAGAUAGUGAGGAGAAAAAUAUUUUUCAUAUCUUCACCACAAUGCAAAUUUGGCCAGAAGACAGUGAAAAUUGUCAUGGAAGUCACAUAUUUGCUGUAAUUUUGUGGCGUCACCGUGGAUGCUUCGAUGGGUGAUCAGAACCCAUGGAUCUCGUCCUAGGGUCCUAGGCUGUCGACUGGUGGUGAUGGUAGACCUCAGGGUUGGACGGAAGGGUAGUUUUGUUGUUGGUAAGGCUCGGAGCUGUCGAUCUCGGUACGCCAUGGCCAAAUAGGCACAAGGUUGGGUGGGUUGUGUUCGUGAGGAUGAGGAGUUUAAUGGUGGUGGUGGCAACAAGCCUUGCCGUUAGGGCUCGCUGAAAAAAGCCUUGAGAAGUCUGGAUUGAACACAGGUCACUAAGCCGUGUACUCGGGUCAAUGCUAGCCAACACCCAAAUGGGAAGGCUUCUUUAGUACUUCUUGAGCCUUCCACUUAUAAAGGUCUUAAUGAUGAAAAUCUGCCCGCCUUUGCUUGUUUAUUUCUCCUUCGUUAAAAUUCCAUUUCGCGAACGGUUUUCGCCUAUGCGUUCGUAGGGUUGAGCUUUAUCCAAAAACACUAAGAGUGACCUCGAAGGGCCUACAACCUUUUAAUGGCCAUUUACGAAAAUCAAACUUUAUAACUAAGUAAUCAAAACUCUAAAUUUGAUGGAAAAUAAUAAUAAUUUUCUGAAAAUAUGAUAUACGAAUAAUUGAAUAGUGGAAUCCAGUGAUGAGAUUUCACAUGGACAAGUGAGUCGAAGAAUGUUGGCCGAGAUUUGUAAGGUGACGAAGCCAUAAAGUGAUAGUGAAGUGGAAAGUUAAGAAUAAAUCAAAAGAUAAAUUAAAUGGAUAAGAGUGUGUAUGUGAGCGAGGUUAAAUCUUUAUUACAAAAAUAAAUGUCAGAGCAUAAGUAUCAUGGUGCAACAUAAAGUAUAAAUACACUUACAAUUUCCCUAAGCUCAUUAGUUAACUUAUUUAGUAAAUUAAAAAAUUUAAUUUUAAAUUUUAAAUAUGUAAUCUAAACUACAUAUUAAUAGUAUCACUUACAUGUGAUUUUAAGAACUAUAAUAUUUAAAAUUAAAAAAAAAUUAAAAGUAAACUUCUCCCCUCUCUCCACUCCCAUGUUAUCUCUUGCUCUCUUUCUCUCGCUCUCAUCCUCUCUUCACUCUCUACUCCCACGAUCUUUUGUAAUUAUAAUAAUUUUUUUAAAAGGAAAACUAAUGAAAAAUACUUGAAAACUUUGAGUUUUAACGAUAAGGACAAAAUAAAGAGUAAAAUGAAUAUUAGUAUGAUUGAUUUUUUAGUGUACAAAUAUGAUUUUUCGUUAAAUUUUUUUUUUUUGAAUUCCAUUAAAUUUUAAAAUAAACUCAUAAAAUUCAAGUGAUAUUACUAUAACAUCAAGUCAAGUUCCUCCACUCGAUCUGACUCUCUUGCUGCCCUAUUGGCCACAACAUCCUCAGGGGACCUUGGCUUAUCACCGUCGCACGUGACCGAUACGUAGGAGCGAAAAACAAAUAGAGAAAGCAAAAGGCGAGAGACUAACGCAGCAGCUCUCUCUCCCAUUUCAUUCUCUCUGUGAUUUUGCUCGGGAAAUCGGGAUUUGAGCUCUCCGUUGCUCUGGAAUCAAAUCCAGUCCGCUCAUCUCAGCCAUGAUUUCCACCGGCAAGAUCAAGUCCGUCGAUUUUUAUAGGUCAGAUCUCUCGCAUUUCCUUCACUCCCUCUCACCGUUCAUCAGCUCUGUGUGUGUGGUUUGGAUCUGAUCGUGGGAAAUUCAGUUGGUUUUGGUGUAUGUGAUCUGUGAAUUUUAUAUGGACAAGGGAAUGAAUGGCUUGGAAUUAUAAAUGGAAUUGAAGUGAUUAUAGUCAAGAUUAAUAAUUUAAUCAAUACUAAUGAAAGAGAUUGGUGAUUUGAUUAGUUUGGUUGCUUAGAAUUACUAUAGUAAUUUUUUUCUUUUCAGAUUUAGGUUGAUUGUUUUUUUGGAGGAGUUGGAAUAGUGUUUGAUUGCUUGAAUGAACAUUGGAAAGUAAUGAAAUUGGUAUUAUCCAUAAUUUUUCGAAAUCGAACUUUCUAUGGAAUACCUAUUUAGCUGUUACACAAAAGAUGAAUUAGGCAUUCCAUCCAUACGUUGGUGCCAUUGAAAGGUCCAUUUCAACCACACCACCGAAGAGCGAGGAAGCAUUACUAGAUUAUUUGGAUGUGCUUAGUGGAAGCAUUAAUAGCAAAAGAUUAAAAGGUUUUAGCUGCUGGGUAUCUGGCCUUUAUUGUUAUUGUUUUGGGGGACAAAAGUUAUAGAAACAAAAAGUUAAACGGAAAGAAAACCCGAGGCAAAAGAUAAUAAAUAAUGAUACAAAACAAGUAUUGGAAAGCAAAUGUGCUUUCAGAGUCGUAGUGCAUAGCAUUGACAUAAAAUUUUUUAACUACAUGUGCUAGGAAUUGGGUAAACUUUCUUCAUGCAUGUAUGAAACUAAAGUUAUAUUGUGCCGCAUUGCAUCUCUUCUAACCCUGUGAAAUAGAAGGAAAAGGAAAUUUUCACAAACACCACCUGGACUAUUAGGGGUGUGUGCAAAAUACCACCCAAACAAAAAAUCUUGCCAAUUUACCACCCGUACUCCACUUUUAGUGUGGAUAUGCCUACUCUGUCAAUUUCCGUUAGAAAUUCCAUCAAAUCUCAUUAUGAGAUGAGCACGUGAGCACUUUUCCUGCAUAUUUUGGGGUAAGAAUUUCGUUGACUAUAGCUUGUCUUCGAGGAAGCAGAAGAUAUGUCAUGUGAGCUUUUAGUCAACUGAAUUCUUACCCUAAGUCAUCUAGGGGCCUUUAAGUGUAAAAAAUAUACUUGUAAAGGGCUCACAUGUUUUGCAGUCUUUGCAGAUGAUACAACAACAACAAAGCCUUUUCCCACUAAGUGGGUCGGCUAUAUGAAUCCUAGAACGCCGUUGUGCUCGGUUUUGUGUCACGUCUUCCGUUAGAUCCAAGUACUCUAAGUCUUUUCUUAGAGUCUCUUCCGAAGUCUUCCUAGGUCUUCCUCUACCCCUUCGUUUCACAUGUCCAAAAGUCUUUGCAGAUGAUACAUUUUGACUAAAUGUUCAAAAAUUAAUGGAGGUGGUACAUUCACGCUGAAACAUGAAUCUAGGUGGUACUUUUGUUUGGGUGGUAUUUGCACACACCCCUAAUGGUGCUGGUGGAUUUUAUCAGUUUUUUCUAUAUAAAAUAUAUAAUCUGUGCUGUAAUUUCGGUGCAAUAGUUUCACCUAUAGGGGUUGUCCUGAUAUUUUUAUAAAUAUGUAUUUAAGCUACAAAUGCUUUACCUAUGUACAGGAAAAUUCCUAGAGAUUUGACAGAAGCAUCAUUAUCCGGUGCAGGAUUAUCUAUAAUAGCAGCUCUUGCCAUGAUGUUUUUAUUUGGAAUGGUAAGCAGCUCAUAUCUCUAUUGGUUACUAAUGCGCUCGAAUAUUCAAAUUUGACCCAAUUGACAUGGAUGGAGUGAUGAUUCUUUUUUAAGUUUUAUCUCCAAUGAUGUUUUUUUUGGGAUGCUUAACCUUUUUUCUAUUUUAUAAUAUCUAUGAGAAUUUCCAGUACUUCUGUUUCGUUUUCCAAGUUCGUUUCAUAAUUCUAUUUUGUUGAGAUAUUCUUGUGGUUAAUGUACAUCAUCAUAUCUACAUUUACCUUUCUAUUUUUCUUUUUCAGUAAUCUGUUUCAGCACUUUGUUACUUUAAUUUAAUGAUCAUGACAUUCCUUUACAUCCUGGUGGAACUUAUUGUGCUCAUUUUACAGGAACUGAAUAAUUAUUUGACUGUCAGCACCUCUACAUCUGUUAUUGUUGACAAGAGUUCUGAUGGGGACUUCUUACGCAUUGAAUUUAAUGUCAGGUAAACUUUCAUAGCGGCAUUGACGUUCAUGAAGUUAUUAAGUCAGUUUGUUCAAAGAUAACUAUUUUAACCAUCAUUUUGUAAGUCUACAUUAUCUUCUUAGUGGUGGUACACAUGUAGAUCCUAUAUAUGAAGUUAUGAACGAAUAGUUAUUACUAUUAUAAAUUAUUAAGAGGGGCAUAAGUGUCAUGGUUGAGAGUGGUGGGACUUAUGAAGUGUUGACAAAGUGAUGCCUAGUUAGGUUCAUGGCUUCACGUGCAUUUAAAUUGAUUAGGUUAAAAUGAUUCUUAGGUGCACUGCAUGCGAAUUAGUAGGCAAUGCUUUAAUCGGCCCGAAAGGGGCAAUUAUAUUGUGCGAGCAUUAGGCUAUCAGGGUGCCCCCUUUCUUACUCCUGGAAAAUUUGGUGAUAUCACAUCUCUGAUGCAAACUUUACUAAAAAAAAAACUCUUGGCUUUUCACUUUCGAUAAUUAUUUAUGCAGUAUUUCUUCCCCUGCCUUUGUCUCAGUUCCUUGGCUCCCUGACUAAUUUUAUCUCCUUUUUCAUGUAGUUUUCCCGCACUCUCAUGUGAAUUUGCAUCCGUUGACGUGAGUGAUGUGUUGGGAACAGUAAGCUUCUCUAUCUACUCUGUUGCUGAUUUUUUCUGCCUAAUCCUAUUUAUCCUUUGUUAGUUAUUUUUAUAUUCUUUAUGUGGUAUCCAUCUGUCCUGAAUCAGUUCCCUUUUAUUCUCAGAACAGAUUGAAUAUAACAAAAACAAUUCGCAAGUUCUCUAUAGGGACGGAUUUAAGACCAACUGGCUCCGAGUUCCGCUCCGGACCCGUUUUACAUAACAUUAAGCAUGGGGAUGGAGAUGAGUAUUCUGGUGAUGGUUCUAUUUCGCUAACUGCCCAGAAUUUUGAAAAGUUUACUCACCAGUAAGUGGAGCAAAGUUUAGGUCCAUACUUAUGAUAUUUAAUGCCCCUGAUGUGGGACACUUAUGUUGUUAUGUUGCAAAGUGAUACCUUUCCUAAUUUUGUUUAAACAAUUCUUUUGCAGGCACCCAAUUUUGAUUGUUAAUUUUUAUGCUCCUUGGUGCUACUGGAGCAAUCGCCUGGUAAAUAAAAUAGCUUCACAUAUUUUUCAAAUGUCUUUUGAUGAAAGUUUUAGCUUUCUUAAUCAAUCAAUUUCUACAAAUCUUGUUUUAUAAUUGCGUAUGCAUAUGCGUACUAUAUAUUUUUGGCAUGAUUGCAGAGAAAUUAAUCUCAUAUUUUGGCCAGAAAUUAAACGUUAGAUCAUGUAUGCCAAGAAUGAGAUCGUUCAAUCAUGGGAAAACUUGUCAAUUUCAGUUUUCAUUGGGAAUAGCACUAGCUGAGGAUUUGAAAUCUUUAAGUUUUGCCAAAAGAAAGAAAUUUAAGAGGUUGUAAUUUAUGUAUUUUGUUUCAUCUGACUUCUUUCUUACAUACAAUUUUUUUGGGUUUUGGAGACGUGUUUUACUAUCAUUUACUGCCUUGAUUGUUUCCCUUCAUUUCACUCUUGAUCAUGUAUGUGCUUGUGUGUGUGCAUUAUCUUUUGAUGAGUCACAAGAUCCUUGGGUUAAUUCAUGUUGCCCUCUCUUCAUUUUAGAUGGAACUGUUCUAUAUUUAGAAGAUACUUUGUGUGCAUUAAUUGUUUGGUUGAUGUAAUUGAACUAUUUAGUUGAAUCCAUUCAAAAGCACAUCUUUCUUGCUGCAUUUGGUUCUUCCUCUUUUAUUACUUACUUCACGUUAUCACUUUCUUUUCAGAAACCUUCAUGGGAAAAGGCUGCCAAAAUAAUAAGAGAAAGGUGCUUCACUCUGAAAAUUGUGCUGAUUUCUUCCACAUAAUAUGAUUUUCUAAGGGAGCUGUUAUUGGCACUCCUAAAUGGUCAUCCUGGACUCAUUCCUUACAAUUUGAAGUUCACAGUUCUUCUCUCUCUUUCGCUCUCUCUCACUCUCUCUCUGUGUUUCGCUCUCAUGCUCCCAUGGUUAACAGGUAUGAUCCAGAAAUAGAUGGCCGUAUUCUUAUGGCGAAGGUGGAUUGUACUGAAGAGGUUGACUUGUGUAGGAGGUAUAUUUUUAAAUGGCUUAGUCCUACUUUUCACUUGAUUUUCUAGGGAAUACAAAUUGUUUUUUUUAUACAUUCCAUUGUGAGCAUAUACAUUUUCAGUUCUUAUUAGCUGUAAAACCACUCUACAGUUGUAUUCGCAUUUUUCUUAAGGAAAACUAAUGAAAAGGGCUUGAAAACUUUGAGUUUUAAUGAUAAGGACAAAAUAAAGGGUAAAGUGAAUAGUACCAGGAUUGACUUUUUAGUGUAAAAAUGUGGUUUUUCGUUAAAGUGAACGGUACCGGGUGCUUUUCGUUAAAGUUCCCUUUUUCUUAUUGUAAAAGAGAGCUACACAUGCUAUAUAUAAUAGCUGACUUACGGCGGACAAGAAAACUGAAGGCAAAACUCCACUUAAUGUGCUGCAAUUGUAAUUUUGUAAAUAGCAGGUUUUUUUUUUUUUUUUUUUCAUUAAUGAAUAUUUUAAAUAAUAAAUUGAACUCGAAAUGAUCAGGGUGGUUUUUAAUUUUGCUUGAAAAUGUGGUCAAGACUUAAAAAGUGGAAGAGAAACCUAUUUACCUUUUAAGAAGAUUUUGGAACGAGUACUCUGAGCUGCCUACCAGUACCUAACUGGGGUGGUUUACGAAUCAGUACUAGAAUUUAGUUUUCUGAAGGGUGGUGCUAUCCACACACCUAUUUUUACUUCUCACACACCCUCUUAAUUUCUGACCGUCGGAUCAAAUGAAUUGAAGAAGAUCAGUGGACAAAAAUUAAAGGGUGUGUGGGGGGGGGGGGUAAAAAGGGGUGUGUGAAUAGCACUACCCUUUCUGAAAUGCCCUGUUAGAGCUCUAGAUUUUAUCUUAAGUGCAGUAUUCUUACCAACAUAGCAUUUUGCUAGCACAUUAGUAUGUUUGACUGUCUUUCUGCAUGAACAGAGAACUGUUAACCUCAGGUUGGGAACAUGGAUGAGCUCAUUUUAGACUGUCUGUAUCUUCUACAUUUUCACAUCAUAUUCUUGAAUGUUGCCCAGUUAAGCCAUCACUCUUUAGUAUCCCAGAAUUGAACCACCGUUUUGAAUUUUUUUUCAUAUCCACCAAGUUAAGCUUUUAUGUGCUAUCUUGUUACUUCAAUCCUUUACAUCACUCUAGAUACAACGUUGUUGUUCUCUUCUUUACUUAUCUCUCAAGUUUGCUGCAUGUACCACUGUCUCCCUGUUUUUUUGCUAUUAUUAACUAUGCUUCCCCAUAAUGUUCAGGAAUCACAUUCAAGGAUAUCCAUCAAUUCGUAUUUUUCGUAAAGGAAGUGAUGUGAGGUAAAUGCUACAAAAUUCUACGAACUUUUUCUUUUCGAACAGAUUUCUAAUCAUUCAUUUAUUAUCGAAAUGAUUUCAGCCCUUGGAGUCUUAACAUUACAUUUUAGAUCGCAUUAUUUAUGCUUUGUACUUUUUUUUUGUGUUCCAUCUUCAUCUAAUUUGUAUGUGCAUCUUAUCUGCAUCUAUUGCAUAGCGCCUGUGGUUUGUAAUAUUCUCUUAGGCUCCAUUUCAACAUGUGGAUUUUAAUGCAAGAUUUGAAUUUGAGUUUUUUUUAAUAUUGUGUGUGAAGUGUCAAAAAAAGGGAUAAAGUGGGAAAAUUAUGUAGACUAAAUUAGGAAGUUAACUUGAAAUAACAUUUUGUUCUCAAAUAUUUAAUCUAAUAUUCAAUUACAUGUUAAUUCGAUUAGCAUAGAAUUUUAAUGUCUAAUAUCUCAUACAAUUUAUAAUAAAAAUGCAAAUUCAAAUCCUUAAUAUCAAGUCAUCUAUCUAAAUACAACCUUAGGGCCAAUUAGGUCUUAUCUAGGUUUUUAUGAUAACAGUCCAGGCUCUUUCCUCCAGGGGUGUGUGUCCAUUUUGAAGUGAAUGUCCUGGGUUAUAAAAAGGUUAACUGUUUCAGUGUCCGUUCUUUAUAUAGAACCGGAUUAUUUUGAUUUAUACCUCCGAUUCUCAAUUUCAUCCCCAUGGCAUGCCUGUCUUGUACACAUGAGGCUUAACUUAAGCAACCUCUUUAUCUGGCAUUUUUUCACAGGGAUGAGCAUGGACACCAUGAGCAUGAAUCUUAUUAUGGAGAUCGAGAUACAGAUAGCCUGGUUAAGGUACAAGCAUUCAUAAGUUUCAGUUAGCCUCACUGCAUCACAUGUUUAACUUUGUCUGUGAACUUUCUAGUACUUGAUAUUGAAUGCCCCAAAUGAAAUUGUAAAUCUGAUCUGAAGCUUCCAUCCUUGCAGACAAUGGAAGCUUUGGUUGCACCUAUCCCUGUGGAGUCUGACAAACACUCUUUGGAGGAUAAAUCUGACAACAGGGGUGAGAAUGCAAAAAGACCAGCACCAUUGACAGGAGGGUGUAGAAUUGAAGGAUAUGUGCGUGUAAAGAAGGUGAUCUUUCAGUUGAAAUUGAAAUUACUAGAAUCAUUGGACACAUUAGACCUAAUCGUAUGGCAAUUGUUAUUCCCAUAGAAUUCUUUGCUUUAUUCUUCUUGAUCCCAAAGCAUGGAUUGAGGUGCUUCACAUGCUUGGAAAUGCGAUGAAAGUAGAGAAGUGAUAAGGAUUGAACAACUCAUAUCUAUCUUUUCCUGAAGCAUGCCUUCAGGUGUUUCACAUGCUUAAAAUUGGUAUGAAUAAAGAGAAAUGCUAAGGUCAGUCAUGACUACUCAAUUUGGUUACCAGACCCGUGCACACAAGUCACCCUCACACCCUGAGAACCACAUGUGCAGUCAUGGUAGCCAUGGCUGGCCUUGGCUUCUUCAUGAAUAAAUUUUUUGCCUCAUUAGCAACUAAACUAUGGCUUUGUGUAGUUGGUACCUCCUUAAGUUUUUAAGUUCUUGUACUUGAUGGUUAACAUGAAUAAACAAAAGAGAGAAUAUUGUACCAGUAAUAUGCAUUUACUCAUUUUCACAAUUCUGACCUUCUUUGACCUGUCAAUUGACCCUACAAUGAAACUCCUAGUUGUUAUUGAGUUGGAAUAUAGUAUGAUUUGUCCUGUACCGUGCAGGUUCCAGGAAACCUUGUCAUUUCUGCACAUUCAGGAGCCCAUUCGUUCGAUGCUUCUCAAAUGAACAUGUCUCACGUCAUAUCACAUUUUUCAUUCGGUAGGAUGAUUGCUCCUAAGGUGAUGAGUGAUGUCAAGCGAUUGGUACCUUAUCUUGGUGGAAGCCAUGAUAGGUUGAAUGGUCGGUCUUUCAUAAAUCACCGGGAGUUAGGUGCUAAUGUUACAGUAAGUUUGUCACUAUCCAUGAUUCUUCCUAUCUUAUUGUGUUUGCUGCUCCAUUUUUUUACUAAAUAGUGUUUAUUCCUCUUCUAGAUUAGCGAUAUUCCUUCAUCUUUAUUCAUUAUUCCUCUGUCCUUAACAUAUGAUCUAUUCAGUAGUGAAGAGAUCAUGAAUGAAGUUUAUUUUGCUUCGAAGGAAUAGCUAAUGCUUAAGCUGGUUAUAAAUACGUUUUCUGGUAAUUGUAUGUGCAGAUAGAGCAUUACCUUCAAAUAGUAAAAUCGGAAGUUAUAACAGGGAGAUCUCACAAAUUAAUUGAGGAAUACGAGUAUACGGCCCACAGCAGCUUGGUGCAAAGUCUCCAAGUACCAGUUGCGAAGUUCCAUUUCGAGCUCUCCCCCAUGCAGGUUUAAUUUUUGUUUAAAAAGGAAAACCAACACCGUAAAUGCCUUUUAGCUUUUAAUAUUUUCGCUUCUCAUUUCUCUUUCGUUGUCUUCCAUAACCAGGUUUAAUAACAGAAAACCGGAAAUCCUUUUCACAUUUUAUCACCAAUGUUUGCGCUAUUAUCGGAGGCGUUUUCACGGUUGGUAUCUUCGUGCCGUCGUUCUUUACUUCUCUCAAGAAAGCAAACUGAUUUUUUUCUUUCCUUUGGGUUGCAGGUAGCGGGGAUAAUGGAUUCAAUUCUGCACAACACAAUUAGAAUGAUGAGGAAGAUUGAACUAGGCAAAAACUUUUGAUAGAUAGGCGAAGCUUUCGUUAGUGUACAAGAAGAAUUCUUUUAGAAAGAUAAAAGUGGAAUGAAGCAUCUCAAGUGCCAAUUUUUCGGUUCGAGUUUUCAGUGCAAGAAACGAUUUUAUAAACGUUAUACAUGCCUGUAUGGUUCGUAACUCCUGUAAUAUUUGUUUAGCUUCUAUUUUAUUUUUUUCGAAAAUAAUUUGAUGAUGGGAGCGGAUUCAUGACACUACUUUUUGUACAUUAUUUUUUAUAUGUUUUUAUGGGGUUUAUUUUGUAAUGUAUUUUAACAAUCCAAACUGUAUCUUUUAGAAUAUUAUUCAUAGAUAAAAAAAAAUUCAAAACCACUAGGACAUUCGCUUGUAGGAAGCAAAAAGAUGGUUACGAUUUUACAAAAAAACUCUAAACUUUUAAUUCAACGAUCAUAUUGUUUCAGAUUUAGGUGAUUUUUGGUCAAUAUAUCUUUAUCAAAAGUUGUGUAAAAAAAUAGGGAAUUGGAUCCCCUCCUGAGCAAAAUGGUGGGGAUCAUCAUGACCACACAACACGGGCCGUUGAAUUUUGAUCAAACAACUACAAUUAUUAUAAUUUUGGAGGGACUUCUUUGUUUGUAGCCGUUUGAUUAAAAUUCAACAGUCCGUGUUAUGUGGUCAUGAGGAUCCCCACCAUUUGCUCAGGAGGGGAUCCAAUUCCAAAAAAAUAGUGCAACCUAUCUGUCCCCAUGAUAUUGUAAUUAUUAGUGAGGUAACUUUAUACUAAAAAGGAAAACACAAACUAGAUACUCUCGCCUUUUGUUCUGGAACAUGUCCACGAGGGAUAAGUCGAAGGAGCAAUUAUACUUCUGCUUUGUUUUUCUGCCUUCCAGAAUAUAUCUUUCGCUUUCUGUUCUUUGAUGUUUUUUGCUGCAAAGGAGAGCAGAAAGUAGGGAUAAAUGUGAGGCGUUGAUAUAAAAAUCAAAUUCGCUGUCCAAUUUUAAUUCUCAUUAUUUAACGGUCAAAUAUGCAACUAAAAAGAAAAAAAAAAUAUUAUAUCUGAUUGUUAGUUAAUGAUAUUAAGUAAAUGCGCAUGUACUGUAGCUAGUCCCUUCAAUUUCAUUGGUUUCAAUUACUUAGCCAGUUGGAUUGUAUUCCUAUAUUCAUUGAUGGACAUCAAUAGAUUAAAUUUAUGUGAUUAGUUUCUUUGCAAAAAUCCACUUAUACAAUUCAAUCUAGCACGCUAUUUUUCUGGCAUAGGUAAGGAUUUUCAAUUUUUUUUUGAAAUUAUGUUUACUAUACUAUUAAGCCAAAUAUAUAUAUAUAUAUAUAUAUAUUUUAGUAAUGCUAUGGAAACCAAAUUGCAAACCAAAUGAUCUGUCACCAAUAAGAAACAAACACGUUAAUUGAUACUUAAUUAAUAAUCCAAUCAUUUACAACCACAUCAUUUAGUUUGCAAAUUUUUUUUAAAAAAAUUUGGUCUAUCUAGUGUUACUUUUUUUCUUUAGCAUUCAGUUUUUGUUCUACACAGGACAACAAAAUCCAGGAUGAAAACUUCAGAACUACAAAAUCUACAAACAAAGACCACAAUGAAAAUUUCACAGAACUAUAACAAAGCAUAAGAUUUAGAGAUUUUUGGCUUGUGGGUAUAACUAGGUUUUAGCUUUGAAGGUUUUUGGGUCUAUAUGUUCAAGUGAGAUUUUUGUUAUAUUUGAAAGUUUUAUAAAAAAUUAAAAUUGUGGAAUUAGGGGCUAAAUUUUGGUUAUAAACGAUAAAAACUUAAAUUCACAAUAAAUUUUAUAUUGGAUCAAAUAUGGAUUAGCUAGCUAAGUUUAACGUCUUUGGAUAGACGAACACCUCAAAUAUCUUAUUGCUUCCAUAAUCGCGAGUCAUGGAAGAAGGAUAAUACUUGCAUCUCCAUGGGGAAUGCACAUAUACAUUUGCAUGCACCGUGUAAAAUCAACCAAUUUAUUUAUUUGUACAUAUAUCUACAAUAUUGGCCUUUAUUUUGGAGUCUCACGAGCACACUACAAAUGAGUAUGAAACAAAUAUCAAGCACCGGUACAAACAUAUACACUGAGCUUUUAAGGAAAAAAAGCAAGUAAUAAAAAGAAAGGAAACUCUCAAAAGGAAAAGAAGCUUUAUACUUAAGGGAUCCAAUCCAGUUAGAGUAGUAAAAGUGUUGAGGAUGCAGCAAAUGCCCCGACGGACCCAAUAAAACUCAUGAAAAUUGAAGAAGCCGCAUUCGGAGGUGGAGGAGGUGUUUCAGGAGCUGGAGUUGGAGGUGGAGACGCUUCACCAGAGGGAGCUGGAGAUGGGGUCAUAUCUGUUGAGUUUGAAGGUGAAGGUGAAGGAGGAGUUGCAUUUCUGUUGCUUCUGUCUGCCAAGACAAUCACUAGCACCUUCUCAUUUUUGAGACAGUUGUCUUUGUUCCCACUGAUGAAAUAGAACGGUCCAGAUUGGUUAAACUGGAAGGCAGUGUGGCCAUCAGAGUAUUUCGGCCGAAGGCGAAUCAGUGUUGCAGUUGUUGUAGUCAUCCUGGGUUACUCGAAGCACUGAGUCUUGUCCAGGAGGGUAGUUGAACACUGCAGUUGAAGUAUAUCUCAAGUAAAUUAACAAGGGCAAGCAUGGCUAUGUGGCAGUCACAAACCUUUUAUUUUUAUUUUUACUUUUUACAAUUUUAUUGUGCUUUUUUAUACGGAGAGGGGAAGGAGGGGAAUUUGAACUCUAUUUUUUUAGUAUGGACGUAAUUCAUUAUGAUUAUUUAACGUGUUAUGUUGUCGUGACUCGUGAGAGACUAUAAAUUAAAAUCACCCAUAUACACAUAAUUCCACGAAAUCAGCAAUCCUAAUUACAGUUAGUCAAUAAAUUUCAAAUUGUCUAGCGACCUAUAUAUACAACAUACCAGACUGUGUAGUAAGGUCGAAGAAAUUUACUUUUAUAUUUAUUCUAAUCACAUAACUUCGAUUUUUAUCAUCGUUGAUCAAUUUAUGAACAUGAAUAAUGACAAGUAUAUCCAUUGAAAAGUAAUAUAAUUCUGUCCUCAAAGUUUGACAUACUGAAAGCUGAGAUGAAUAUGUAGAGCCUCAAAAUAUAGAGCAUAAAAAAACUUACCAAUGGAGUCUCCGAUUUGAAACCUGUUUCCUUCUGCCCAUUGACUAUAGUGAGUAGAAGAAUCUGGAACACUCCAACCCUUUGAACCUCCAAUUGCAAAGUCAGUUGCACCACUCUUCUGUAUCAACAGCAUCACACAUACGAUCCCCAGAACAAAAACUGCAUUAAUAUUAUUUUUGUGAAUGGGGUUGGCCAUUGUUGAAAAAUUAAUUCAAGAUUUGGUAUAAUAUAUAUUUUGAACCAAAUAUUGCUUGUAUUUCCCAGUUAAAUUUGGAAGACGAAGAAAAAUGGGGUGGAAUGAAUGGUGUUCGAGAGGGGUUUUUAUAGAGGGCAAGUUGCAUGAAAUACUUUUAACAAGCUAUGGAGUCAGUGAAGCUUUUGCUACUUUUCUAUUUCUUUUUCUUUACCUUUUAGGUUUCUUGGCUCUCAGAGCAAAGCAUACGUGCACUUUCAAAUUGCUAAAGGGUUGUUCUUUGGGACUUUAUGUUUGGGAACUUUUAAAUAACUUGUUGUGUGGGUUUAUUCUUUGCUUAUACAUUAUCAAGAAUAUUCAUGGCUUGUGUUCUGGGUUAGACUAAUUAAUUAUUCAACGUGAUCAGUCAUUCACACAAAACCUAUGUGCCAUUCAUUUCCCACUUUCGAAUGCAAAUAUAAUUGAAGAUCUCUGUCUGUCUUGUUAAGCAAUAUGCAGAAGGAGAAACAGAGAGAUCACAGAGGAAAAAGAAGAAGGAAUCAGAGAGAAUUUAGAGAGGAAGAAAGAAAGAAUUGCACUGAUAUUUUCUUGAUUAAUUCAAUGGUUACAAUGAUAUGCGUACUAUAUAGAUGAGUGCUAGGCUAACCACCUUAACCGACUCACUCCCUUACCAACAAUCCUAACUAAUUAUUCUAACAGUCACAUUCCUAACUGCCUUAUAUACUCUAACAUGUCUGUCUAUCUCUCUCUCUCUCUCUCUCUCUCUCUCUCUCCUGGCAUUUGCCUAUGUCAAUUUGCAGUGGAGUUCAGGAACUUAGUAAUAAGAGUCUUGCAGAAUGAUAAUUUGCAUUGAAGAACUGACUUAUACUGACUAGUGACCGAGCACAUGUUCCAACUCCAAAUUGCAGAACUCAAGUUUAAGUUUAACUUUGUUUUUCCGUCAGACGUACGGAUGCAAUCUCUUUUAAAAAAUAUACAAAUUAAUCAAAUCAUUGUGAGAAGGUAAUGAAGUACCCUUUUGGAUUAGAGUUGGUCUUGUGGCUGUUGCAAAUUCGUUGAAUGAUUCUGUUCAAGGGGAUCAUUAUAUAUAUGCAUCACAAUUAAUGAGGAUGUUAUUCCACUAAUGCUACAGUUUAAUGGUAAUUUUAUCAAAUUUUUAAGGGUGGGUUUGACACUAAAAUAUUAUGGCUAACUCAAUGUAUGACUUAACCCAUCAUCCCUUAGUGUAAAUGUUGAGUGUAUAUAAGAGACCUACCAUAUGCUUACAAGGAGUUUUGCUACUCUCCAUGUUGCCAUUUGAUUUUUUGGUGAAACCUCAAUUUCCUUCAUAUAUUAGAGCAUGUUAGACCGUGUUAAGCAUAAGAAUUUGUGACACGUGAAAUUUUAUGAAGAAACCUAACUUCCUUAUGUAAAACCGAUUCUCCAAGCAUAAUAUUGUGCUGAGCUAGCUUUGCCAAAAUCCACUUUGAAGAAGAUGCUAUAUCGUAUUUGUUUGCAUCGAGUUUGUAGUUUAUAUAUGUAAUAAUAUGAAGGACACAAUUUUUUCUCUAGAUGGCUAGAUUUUAUCCCCUUCCUCUUACUUUUGUUUUUGGUGUAAAAUUGUCACCUUGAAACAUUGAAGUCGCCGAGAUAUUCACCAUCAUUUUGCCUAUCCACACAACUACCUCAAGGUUUUGAAUCCAGUUGUCACCUUCAAUAUGAGUUUGGAGCUGCAAAGCGUGAAAGCUAUCAAAUUGCAUUGUAUAAGCUAUGAUUGACUUAUUUCCUUAAAGAUAAAAACCUCCGACUUUGUGUUGUGGUCAAAGUAGAGUUUAGGGUUAUUGUCACUUGAUGAGCUUGGAUUGAAGAAUGCCCUGAAGAAUUGAAAGCUUCGUACUGAAGAAUAUCUUAGACGCUCUACUAAGGUAGAGACAUUUCAUGCAUUGCAUAUUGCUAGUGUCACGCCCCAGACCUGGGGUUGGUGAAGAAAUUUUUUUAAGCAGUAUCGGAUAAAAAAUUAAUAUUGCCGCUUAUAGCAGACAUAACCUAUAUAUAUCGUAUAUAACCAACAUAAACUCAUUAUUAUCCGAGAGGAAUAAUGAAGUGGCAAAAUUUUCGCCCUUAGCUUGUACUCUUGGUGGAUAGUUUUUAUUUUUUUAAAUAUUUUUAACCUAUCUUAGCGGAUAUAAGUUAAUAAUGGCGUAAGUUGUUUCAUUUCUUCUUCACUGUAAGUUGUUCAGUUCUUGUUCUUAUUUUUCUUCUUUUUCCUUCUAUUCUUUUCAUCUUUUCUUCUCAUCUUCUAUUUCUUCUUUCGUUCAACGCCUCUUGUAUCUAAUUCUUGUUUCCGAUUUUGUUUUGUAGGGGUAUUAUUUGAGUUGGCUGAGUCCAAGAUGUAUAAAUCGACGACGAAAUUCUUCAAUUAAUUAGAUAAAUUAGUAAUAUUGAUGUUAAAUUAAUAAAUAUUUAAUAAAAUUUAUUUAUUUUUUCACUUAAAUUGUUAUGAGAAAAUUUAAAUGAACAAUAUUUAGAAAUAUUUAUGUUAAAUUAUUUAAUAUAGCAUAAAUUAGUAUAUUAAUGUUUAUGUUAAAUUAAUUUAUUUUUUCACUUGUAAGUGAGAGGUCUUUGGCCAUAGAUGGUGAAGUCAAUACCAAAUUAGGUUGCCCAUUGUGUGACUUAGUGAAACUGCCCCUCCUCUUAUUGUAAAAUAUAUCGUGGUACUAAAAAAAAAUUAUUUUUUCACUCUAAUUGUUACGAGGAUGUACAAUACUUGAAUUUAAUGAAUAAUCAAGAUUAGAUAAGCAUAAUUUUGAUUACCUUUUGUUGUUUUAAAUCUUUUUCUAUUAUAGGCAUUGGAAAUUAAAAGAUUGCAAGUGUGAUAGAGUUCGAGGGUUAAAAGAUAGGGAUUGAAAAUUGUAAAGUUAUGCCUACAUGAUAAGGAUUGAAAGAUUGUACGGAUCUUAAUAUCAACGUAAUAUUUUGCCCUCGUAAAGUGGUAAAACAUGGACAUGAGUUGGUUGAUCAACCACGAAAUUUGGAAGCGUAUACAGAUGGAAUUAAGUUGUGUUAAUGUCAUAAGACAUUUACUUGAACUUUGAUUUUUCACUUUGGUUUGUACUAACGCAAAUACAUGAACUUUGAUGUUAGAUUGAAUUUGUUGAUGCUUAAUGUUGUUAGAUUGGAUUUGUUGAUGUUUGAUGUUGUUGGAUUGAAAGAAAAAAAAAAAGAUUUUGGCACUAGUAUGUGUCGUGAAAUUAGAUGCUUGAACUUUGAUGUUUGUUGAAUUGAAAAAAAAGGACCUAUUUACAUUAAAAUAAAACUAGCAACAAAUUAAAGCCUAAAAUUGAUUUGGGCCUAUUUCUUAAAAAAAAAAAAAAGGCUUCGUAAAUAAAAGGCCUAAAACCGAAUUGGACUUGUUUUGGACCGAACUGAACUGAACUCAUUAGGUUCGGUACUAAUUCAGUACACCCAGGCAUACAUAACCGAGUUGUAUCGAAGUUUUGCUACGAGUUUGGUUUCGGUACCAUCUUUAUACUGAACCAUGCCCAUGCCUAGUUCUUAUUGACAUGAGUAUGUAUUUAGUAUACAUACAUAGAUCUCUAGGCAAUCACAUUCAGUGAACUUAGUCUUUAUUAAACACUUAUACACUUGUCUUAGCGACUUUUGCUACUGACGUGAGACUAGCCAUGCAUCUCAUCCUACAAUUGCGCAAACGUUAUGUGUUCCACUCUUACCAUAUUAUAAGAUAUCAAAUCAAAUAAUCCAACAAUUAGAAAGGGAGAGGGGCCGGUGGCACAGGAGAGAGGGAAGAGAGAUGUGUGUUUGUAGAAUUGUAGGGGAAUGUGUGUUGUUAUCCCUCCUACAUUGUGCCUUUAUUUAUAGUAGUAAAGGGAGAUAAGAUAUUCCUUCUUCUCCAAGUAAUACAAGUUGUAAUAGGAAAGGAUAACUAGAAUCAAAUCUAAUAAAGGAUUUACACAAUCAUAUUUAAACUAGGAAUGUUCACAACGCUCCCCUUUGAGUGUGUAAAUACUAAAGGUAGAUUCAGCAUCAUGUAGAAGUUGAGGAAGUCGACUCGUCGGCACUGAUUCCAAGGAAUAACGCUUAUUCUCAAUAAGGUAGGAACUUGCAUAAGUAGUAACUCUCACUAAAAAACCCAAAGGCUAUGGCAAAAACUCGAGUAGGGACAAAAUCCAUAGUCUAAGGAAAAAUGUAUGAGAAAUGCAAAGUUAAAAGAAACGUUUACAGGACGUCAUCAGGGAUAUGACCAGCCCAAGGUGGGUCCUCAUUAAAACCUAGUUAGGUAGCAAAAACCCAUUGGAAAAAAUGCUCCUAAUCGUAGGGAAAAAGAGUACAUUAAGAUCAAGCAAGUAUCUACAUGAUACUCCCCCUGAGUUUGACAUAAUUCCAAAGAGAAAUAGCAAAGUUACAACUUAGAAAGUUUACGCAUACCAAUUCCAUGAACAAGCUUCUGAAACGUCGCAUUCGGCAGUGAUUUGGUGAAGAGGUCGGCCAGAUUAUCUUGCGAACGGAUUUGCGUGACUUCAAUCUUCUGAUGCUCUUGUUGUUAAUGUGUAAAGAAAAACUUCUGCACAAUGUGCUUGGUGUUGUCUCCUUUGAUGUAACCCUUAUUGAGCUGUUCGAUGCAACCUGCGUUGUCCUAAAAAAUUGUCGUCGGGGCAUUAACGGCGGGAUGAAGAUCGCAAGAGCUUCAAAUAUGGCCCACUACUGCUCUUAACCAAAAGCAUUCUUGAGUUGCUUCAUGUAAGGCGAGAAUUUCAGCAUGGUUAGACGAAGUGGCAACUAAGGACUGUUUAGUUGACUACCAAGAGAUUGCAGUGCCUUCAACGGUAAAGACAUAACCCGUUUGAGAACGCGCCUUGUGCUGAUCGGAUAAGUAUCUAGCGUCGGCAUAACCAAUAAGGUGAGAAUCAACCCGAUGAGCAUAGGGUGCGGCAUCACUUGAGGAUUCGUAGGGAUAGAACAAGCCCAAAUCCGUAGUACCCUUAAGGUAAUAGAAGAUGUCUUUCACGCCAGUCUAAUGUCUGUGUGUUGGUGCAUUGCUGUAUCUUGCCAAAAGAUUAACAGCGAAGGUGUCGGGUCUAGUGCAUUGAGCUAAGUACAAUAAAGUGCCUAUCACACUUAGAUAAGGAACUUCAGGCUCCAAAAUCUCUUCAUCAUCCUCUUUUGGACGGAAGGGAUCUCGUUUUACAUCUAGUGUACGAACGACCAUAGGAGUACUGGAAGACUUCGCUUUAUCUUCAUUCAAACGGCACAACUUUUUGGGUGUAGUUCGAUUGAUGUACUAGGAUUCCAUCCGAACAAUGCUCUAUAUCGAGACUGAGACAGUAUUGAGUCUUACCUAGAACUUUCAUCUCAAAUUCUGACUUCAGGUGCGAAGCAGUUCUCGUGAGCUCUUCACGAGUUCCGAUGAGAUUCAUGUCAUUGACAUAUACUGCAACAAUCGUAAAUCCGGAAUGUGACUUUUUAAUGAACACACAAGGGCAUAGUUCGUUGUUCACAUAUCCCUGACUAGUCAAAUACUCACUUAGACAGUUAUACCACAUUAUUCCAGAUAGUUUCAAAUCGUAGAGUGAACGCCUCAACCAAAUUGAGAGCGUGUUCUGAGGUUUGGAAAUAUUUGAACCAGUCAAUGUAAGUCAUUCGGGAACUUUCAUAUAAAUUUCCGUAUCAAGAUCCCCAUAGAGAUACGUGGUUACUACGUCCAUCAGCUGCAUAUCCAGUUUUUCAGAAACUACCAGACUGAUAAGGUAGCGAAAAGUAAUCACAUCCAUAACGAGUGAGUAAGUUUCAUCAUAGUCAAUCCCGGGACGUUGCGAGAAACCUUGUGCUACAAGACAAGUUUUGUAACGCACAAUCUCGUUUUUCUCAUUAUGCUUCCGAACGAAAACCCACUUGUAGCCAAUGGGCUUCAUAUGUGGAGGAGUAGGAACUACAGGUCCAAACACCUUACGUUUCGCAAGUGAAUCGAGUUCGACUUGGAUUGCUUGUUUCCAAUUUGACCAAUCAACUAUACGUUGACAUUUAUCAACGGAACACGGUUCAAUGUCCUUACUUAAUAUGAUCUCAGUAGUUACUGUAAAUGCUAAUGCAUCAUCGAUAAUCAUCUCAUUUCUACGCUACAUCAUCUAAGCUAGUAUAAGAGACCAAAAUCUCAUGAUUCUCAGGAGGAGGAUUCGUCUCUUCAAGAACGCUUCCGUAAUCUAGAAUUUCCUCAUGAGUUGGGUAGAAUGAGUAAGCGAUAUUCAGAUUCACGGUAGGCUCUUCAGGACCUUAUGCCGUGGUUUUCCUCUUCCAGGGGUGUGAAUCCUUUGAACCAAGGGGUCUGCCACGUUUUUGUGUAGGGGCAGAUGAUUGGCUAGCCGCUAAUGUACGUGGAUCACCAGAAUUGACAUCCCGGGCUUCCAGAAGGGCAGUCCGUCGUACAUUUGGUACAUCCAUCUUUGCAGGCGUAUUCGCAGCUGGAAUAUGUGAUCUUGUCACGCGCGCUAGAUUGGUGAAAGCAUCUGGCAUGCUCUAAGCUAUGCUCUGGAGAUCUAAUAUGUGCUGCACUUCAGCUUCGAACUGAGGAGUGCGGGGAUCUAAAUGAGACAAAGUGGAAGUCAUCCACAAUAAUUUGUGUCGUUCAUUAGGAACAUUGAUGUUCUUAUCUCUCCAUAACGGCGGGAAGACUGUCUCAUAGAAGUGACAAUCAGCAAAACGAGCGGUAAACAGAUCGUCUGUCAAAGGUUCUAAGUAACGAAUAAUUGAAAGAGAAUCAUAUCCGACAUAGAUUCCCAUCCUUCGCUGAAGCCUUAUUUUUGUACGUAAGGGCGGCGAGAUCAGCACAUAUACCGCACAACAAAAAACGCACAGAUGCGAUAUAUCGGGUUCGCAUCCAGUGACCAACUGAAGGGCACUAAAUGGUUGUGUCGCAAUAAGCCUUAGGCGGACUAACUUUGCUGCGUGCAAUAUUGCAUGGUCCCAAGCAGCGAUCGGGAACUUGGUACGUAUGACCAAUGAUCGAGCAAUCAUUUGUAAGCAUUUAACGAAAGCCUCUGCCAGGCCGUUCUUGGUGUGAACAUGGGGUACAUGAUGUUCAUCUUCAAUCCCAACUGACAUGCAAUAGUCAACAAAAGUUUUAGAUGUGAAUUCUCCAACAUUAUCCAAUCGAAUAGAUUUGAUCGGAUAAUCAGAGUGGUGAGCCCUGAGCUUGAUAACCUGAGCCAACAGUUUGGAGAAUGCAACGUUCCUUAUGGAAAACAAGCACACAUGUGCCCAACGUGUGGAAGCGUCAACCAAAAACAUAAAAUAUCUAAAUGGUCCGCAGGGAAGUUGAAUCGGUCCACAAAUGUCCCUCUGAAUCCGUUGUAGAAAAAAUGGGAGGAUUUGAACGAAUCUUGUCAUAAGAAGGCUUAGUAAUAAGCUUUCCCAUAGAACAUGUUUGACAUGCGAUUUCAUGGAUCAAACCUAAGCUUCGGGUUAGUGGAUGCCCGUGUAAAGAUUUGAGGAUACGGCACAUCGCUAUUCGUCCUGGAUGUCCCAAACGAUCAUGCCAAAGCGUAAUUUCGUGCACGGUCCCUGUGGUAGGGCCGGCCACAUAGUGGCAUUCUAUGGGGCGUAUGGUCGUAGUAUAUAGACCACUCGGGAUACGCUCUAUCUUCUUGAGAAUACGCUUCUGGCCAUAUUUGUAGGAAGUUAUGCACAUAAAUUCAACUCCGUUUUCUACGUGGUAAUUGUUAUCUUUAAUGUCCUUGAAACUGAGUAACGUUCUUCUGGAACGUGGAGAAUAGAGUGCCUCAGCAAUGGUCAAGAUUGUACCAUUAAACAACAUUAUACGUGCCUUACCGUAUCCUUCUAUCAGGUUGGAUGGGCUUGAGAGGGUUGUCAGAGAUGCAUUCUUAGGUAUGAAGUUAGUGAAAUAGAUGCGUUCACGCAAAACAGUGUGCGUGGUUGCAUUAUCUGCCAGACAACUAACUUUCCCACUAGUCAUACCUAGAAUGAAAAAUUAAUUUGAAUCGGUCACAUGCAUAAAAGUUUAUAAAAACAAAUAUCAAUUCAAAAAUAAUUUCAUUUAUUCAAGGAUUAAAACUUAAUAUCCAAAACAAAUCGCCAACGAAUAAUCCAAAAACAUAAAGGAAAAUUGUUCAAAAUCAACAAAAAACAAGGGGGGGUUCGGCCACUAGGUAGAAUUCGGCCCCAAUGGUCUUAUUUUAACUAAAAAUAAGUCUAUGUCUAAGAUUCUAAUCUUCCAUAGGGGUGGUAUCCUCCUGAAAGUCAGAAACCUCCAUUUUUGUAGUCUCCAGUUCGUCCACUUGCAUGAAGUUUGAUUCAAAGCUUAAAUUUUUAUUGAAAAAUUAAACCUUAAAAUUUUUUGACAAAUAUUUCGUCAGGCAAGAUUUAUAAUUUAAAAAAAAAAUCUGAAAUUUAAAAGAUAAAUUUUAUUUAAAUCCAUAUAACUUCUUUUUACACCCAACUUAAAUUUUAAAUGUUAAUUGUCAUUUUUAUCCUAUUGCAUAAUUACUAUUAAGUACAAAAUAAAAUUAAUAAUAAAACUCAAAUUUAUCAAUAAACUCACACACUAUAAUUAAACUCUACCAUCACUCUGUGUUUAUCCUACAUUUAUUCCGGCUAAAACCUAAUAGCUCUUAUAGAGAAAAACAAGUUUUUUUAUUGGUGGAUGGUGAUUUUGAACUUUUGAAUCCUCCAUGACUCGAUUUAUGAAUUAUUCAAGACAAAUAAUUAUUUCUUUCAAUUAAUUUACAUCCAAACAUGACAUAACAUGCUAAUGAACCCUAAAAGGGGCUCAUAUUUUAGCACAUUAGAAGGUGAAAUAUCAACCAAGGCAUCUUAGGUAAAGCAUGAUAAGCUGAAAGUGAUUUUUGCAGGUGUGAACGUCACAUCCCGGUCACAACUCCGUCGUAGCACGAUAUUGUCCACUUUGGGCCCCGUUCACUCCCUCACGGUUUUGUUUCUGAGAACUCACACGAGAACUUCCCGAUGUCACCCAUCUUGGGAAUGCUCUCUCUCGAACUCGCUUAACUUCGGAGUUCCAAUGGAAUCCAAAGUCAGUGAGUUCCCAAAAGGCCUCGUGCUAUAAGAGGUGGGCAUGUAUGUAUAAAGCACAUCACCCACUCUUCGUUGGUCGAUGUGAGAUGUUACAAUCCACCCCACUUAAAGGGAACUCGGCGUCCUUGCCGACACAUCCGCACCGAACGGUAGAGUGGCUCUGAUACCAUUCUGUCACAUCCCAGUCUCGGCUCCACCGUAGCACAAUAUUGUCCUCUUUGGGGCCCGGCAACGCCCUCACGGUUUUGUUUCUGGGAACUCACACGAGAACUUCCCAGUGGGUCACCCAUCCUAGGAAUGCUCUCGCCCGAACUCACUUAACUUCGGAGUUCUAAUGGAAUUCGAAACCAGUGAGUUCCCAAAAGGCCUCGUGCUAUAAGAGGUGGGCAUGUACAUAUAAGGCACAUCACCCCCUCUCCGUUGGUCUAUGUGGAAUGUUACACUGAAUAACUAUAAGAAUAUGGGAAAUCAGAAAAAGAUGAACACGCAAAAAUUUAUAAAGUUGGUAGAGAUAUUUAUGAACAAGACAAAUGGGUGUAAAGAUAAAUUUACAUAUUGAAUUGAGUUUGUGAGGUAUUUAAGGUAGUAAAUUUGGGUUUAAAGAGAUAUUGAUAGUUUAGUUAAAAACCAAAUGGGUGUAAAGAGUAAGUUGGGUGUCGAAAGAGGUUACAUGAGUUUAAAUAAAAUUUCCCAAAUCUUAACCCAACGAAUGAUUUCGUGGUAAAAUUUAAUUAAAAAUAACGAUUUAUUUAAUAUUAAAAAAAAUCAAAGGUAUAUUUAAACUUAAUAAACUAAAUCCUAUAAUAUUAAAAUCAUAAUAUUAAACAAAUUUAUUUCAUUAACAAAAACAUAAUGUUUGCACAAUUAUAUUGUAAAUUAAAAAAUAAAUUUAUUCUGAAUGGAAAAUUUGUUCAGUCGUCCAUUAACCCGAAAGACAUCAAUUUUCAAAAUUUAUAAAUCCUGAAAAUUACCACUGAGCCAUUGCCAUUCGUCCAUCCUAUGCUCAAAUUCAAGAGACGAAUGGGUAAGAGCUUCCUCAUGACCUUCAAAAGUUUUGUAGUGGUUGCGUGGCUCAUACUUCCACUCCAUGAACCAAUCAUUCCACAAACGGUUUGUGUAGGCCGUCGUACCUGGUCUUCCACGCCAAUCUCAAAAUUGAUCUAAACUAGAAAAAAAUGAAGUAUUACGCAUAAAAAUACAUUAAGUAAUUAUCUAGAGUAAUUAAAAAUAUUAAAUUAAAAAAAAAAAAAAUUUACCAAGAGAUAUGCCAUCAGCCCUACUUCGUUUCAGGGGAGAUGUUCUUCCAUCUAUCAAUAGUCAUAGGGCACCUUGCUCGGAUGAUGACUCCUAUCUCGUGAGCCAAUAUUGAAUGAACACAGAGGUCCGCCGCAUGCAUAUAUCUUGGGUCAUGUUCUACCCUCACUCUUAGGCCUGGUUUGGUACUGAGGUGAUUCUGAAAAAAGUCCCAGCUUUUUUAUGUUUGGUAAACAUUCAGCUUCAAUUUUUUUUCACAGUUUUGGGUGAAAAAAAACCAAAAACACAAAGCUGCAAAACCCAGCUUUGAAAAACCAGCUUUUUUUCAUAUCUGUUUUAAAUAAAAGUUUAUCAAACACUAUAAUACUGCUUUUUUUUUUCAAAAACAUUUUUACAGAAAAGUUUACUAAACACUCUGCUGCUUUAUUUCACAGCUGCUUAUUUUCACAACACAGCAGAAGCAAUUUUUUUUCAAAACACAGUAAUACCAAAUCAGCCAUUAAGCCAAGAUUCUUCUAGACGCCCCGCUCACGGGGCGUCUUCCAAAACAAACUGUACCCAUUCUCAUAUCACCCAUCCCUAAACCGGACCGCCCUCUUUCUUGAUCCCCACAACAUCAAAUCAUUCCCCCACCUCCCAAACCCUUCCCUCACCAACUCUCCAAUUUUUUCCAACCCAAAUUCUCAUAAUUACAAAUUCAAAAUAAUUGAGGAUAGAUAUCAGACCUUUAAAUUUGUGAGAGUUUGAGAGUUGAAUAGAUGGCAAGUGUGAGAGUUUGAGAGAGGGGAAACGAUUUUGAGUGGGGUAGGGGGCAUUUUGGAGAGAAAAGAGAGAAUAAUCUACGACCUAAUAUAAAACGUCAGGAUUUUGCUCGACGAACCAUUUUAUCGGACAAAUGUCUUAAAUUAAAUAAAAACACACGGUAGAAUGUUAAUUUUUCCGACGAACACAUCCAUCGGCAAGUGUUCUAUAAAAAAAAAAUAGGGCCAAAAUUUUGGCCAAAUAAAUUGUUGAAAAAGCACUUCGGCCGAUGAGUUUUUGGUCAGUCAAUUGGGCAAACCCAAAAUUUGGAGGGAAAUUCGAUUUUUAAGAAAAAAAAUCGGGGGAUAUUUUUCACAUUGCUCGACGAAUUUUAGGUUUGGCGUAACGAAAUUUUAUACUUUGCCCUAUGAAAUUACCUUUUUCCAUCGGGUAAGUAAUAAAAUUAAAAAAUAUCUCCAAAGUUUGAAAUUUUUUUUGGGAACAAUUCAAUGAUAACCGAAUUUGAUGAUCAGGUGUAUUCAAUAUGGGUUUGAACUCUCAAGUAGCAUCUUUAGAAAAAAUAACAUAAAUCAAAAGUGAUAUAGCCGUUAUAUCGUUAUGCUAAGUUUGUAAAUUUCCAACCUUUUGAACCAAUCCCUACUCCCUCCACCUUAGUUUUGAUAGUGUUUUAUGUAUGCAUUCUCGUACUAUACCGAAACAAUUUUGACAAUUGGAUCAUGGAAAAUAAUUUUGUAGAAUUCGUAUCCCCACAAUGCAAUCAUUUUGUGAUAACCACUAUUGUAAGCUUUUUAAUUCAUGAUCCAUUCGAUUCACAUGACAACCAGCAUUUGAAGUUUCGCACAAUGAGUCUUUUAACCCUUAAUCUAUAAAUCGAGAUUUACAAAAUAAACGGUUCGAAUCGUUGAAAUUCGAUUUAAAGUGGAUUCCACAACUUUUAUACAAUUCUAAAUUUUGUAUAAAAUGAUAUAGUAUUUGAGUCAAUUCAUGUAAAUUAUAUUUAACCGUUCCAAUGCCAACAAAGUUGACCCACUUCACUUAUUGCAUUGACUUGACUCAAUACUGGUUUGUUACUAACGUGCUUUUAUAAAAAGUGAGUAUAAAAAAAAACUGAGCUCAAAAAUGUGUUUGGUAAACACUUAAAAACAUCUUAUUUUCACAGUUUUGGGUGAAAAAAAAGCUGAAAACGUGAAGCAACAUAAAUGUCGAAUUAUGAUUUCUUGUUAAACGUUGAAUUAUGAUUUUUUGUUAAACGUUGAAUUAUGUGUUUAAGAUAAAGUUUAUAAAUAUUUUUCUUUUAAAAAAAUUAUUUUUAGUAAUUCACCUUUAUUUGUUAAGAAAAUUAAAUUAAUGGCACAUCUAGUAUUAUACAAUUUUUUGUCAUUUCACAUAGUUACAACUGUUUUACAUAAAAAUUUACCAAACAAUAUAAUACUACUUUUUUUUUCCAAAAGCACUUUUACAAAAAGGUUUACCAAACACAGCUACUUUAUUUCACAACUGCUUAUUCUCACAUGACUUUCUCUGUUCCCGCGAAAGUGUGGAAAUCUAUCAACUUCUCAACCAUCCACAAAAAAAAAAACCCAAUAAAAAAUAGGGAACUUUAAAGAAAAGCUCCCGAUACUGUUCACUUUAACGAAAAACCACAUUUUUACACUAAAAAGUCAAUCUUGGUACUAUUUACUUUACCCUUUAUUUUUUCCUUAUCGUUAAAACUCAAAGUUUUCAAACCCUUUUCAUUAGUUUUGCUUAAAAAAUAUCCCACAAAACAGUAAAUUUAUUAACCGUAGAGAAAAAGGAGACCCACGUACAGGUAAUUUAUUUCAGGAUAAAAAUGUAAGGUAUUUACGUGCGUAAUAAAUAGAUGUCAUAAAAUUGAGACAGUGAAAGUGAGUGCAAAACAAAGGAAAACAGAGGAGGUUAAAAACAAAACUAAAAAAGUUAAUAAAUAUUUGUGUGGGGUUUUCUCAGGUGUGGUGUGCAGUGGCAGCCGUCCCGUCACGACUUUGACAGAAUAUUUACCGCGACAAUCAUCAUCGUCGUCAACAACCACACCCCCACACCAGCUAAUUUUACACAGAAAAAAAGAUAAAAUAGUACCCAAUAAGGCAAUAAAGAAAAACAGAGCGUUUUUUGGUCGGGUUUUGAACUUUUUAUUGUAGCUGGAGCUUCAUUUGCCACUUCAACCGCCUCAUCUGGGUCCCCUUAAACCUUGAUCCAAAAGGGUGUGCAGAAGUUUAAUUUAUCUGGGGUUUGAUAGAUUUUUUCUGGGUUUUGGUUUAUUUUUUUUAGAAGGGGUGGGUGUUCUGAGUGCUGGUUGAGGGCCAUUUUUGUUGGUUUGGGGCAAUUGCUUUUGUGUUUUUGUGAAAGUGCUUUUGGGGAUUGGAAUGUGGAGGGACGCCGGAAUUCCUGCUGAUUCUUUCUAUGAAGUCCGCCCUGAGUGUACAGAUGUGCCCAAAACCCGCUUCAAGAUCAAGGUUUCUCCUUCUGUUCUUUGUUUGAUUGUUGGAAUUAGAUAUAAAGAUUGAUUUUUUGGGUAUCCAUUAUCUUAAUUUUGAUCUGUUUCCCAUUUGAAAACUAAGAUAUUGCCUAAUGCAUCAGAUUUGAUAAUUGGUGGUGAUUAAUUUUGGUUAAGAUCAUGAAUUGUGUUCAUAUGGAUCACAAAAUGUUGUGCAUUUUCCAAUUUUAUAGAAUUUUUGGAAGGAAGAAUGUUGGGGACUGCGUUAAUGUUAACAUUAAUUGGUCAGCUUGUUGAAUUUUGUAAGGAGAAUGUAGGAUAGAUAUAGGGAUUAUUCGGGCGAUAAAAAUCUGAGUUAUCAGGAUCUUGUUGGUUCUCAAUAUGGAUCCGAGAGUCAAUAUGCUCCUACUCGGUAACGCCCACCCAAUAUGUUGGGAAUGGUCUGGUGUUGGUUAUGCACAACUUUAAAUAAAUUCUGAAUGCAUAAACGCUUACGUACACGAACAUGAAAAAGAUAAAUUGUGAGCAUUUAAGGGAAAUAUACCUAUAUCUGCACAAAAAUUUUCCUCAAACUCCAUCAUGUCAGGAUCUUUUAUUUGAAAGUUUUCUGAAGUUUGGACAUUUUUAUCUCUUUCUCCUUCUCCAUUUAUCAAGAUAUGUUUGUAAUGCCAAUUUUUGCUGGAUACCAAAGUACUAUGGAUCUGAACAUUGAUCUAGAUUAUGGUUCAUAGGGGUUAGCUCUUAUAAGAAUCUGAUUUGAUUAUAUUAAGGCUUGUAAACAUUGAGAAACUGAUAAAGACUCAUUGUGUAUUCUAUAAAAUGUGUUUGCAAUUAUCUUAUUACUUCAUAAUGAUUUCAAUGUCUCAUUACCGUGAUGUGCUUCUUCCAAUUUCAACGCCUUAUUUCUAUUUGCUCAUGCAGGCAGGUAAAACUCUUAGUGUAAGGAAAUGGCAGGCUGCAUUUAGUCCUGAAGGCCAACUGGAUAUAGGCAAGACUUUAAGUCGAAUUUAUCGUGGGGUGAGUGAAUCUUCAUAAUUCAUAGCUGCGCCCCUUAGUAUGUUAGAAUUUUCGUUAUAUUUAUAAAAAUCAGUUUUUCAUCCUGUGUAGCUAUCAGAGUGUCUCGACAAUCCUAUCAAUACUCGUCUUUAUGGAAUCACUUUUUUCUGUUUUUGUUGUUGUUGUUUUUUUAUUGUAAAAUCAAAUGAAAAGCCUACCCUUAGCCUGCUUACAUGAUGGGAAAUAUCUACGAAAUCAGAGCCAUCGGUUUAGUGAAAAAAUCAGAUUAACUAUUACUUAAUUUUAUUUAAGUAGUAUUUGCGCAUGAAAUAACAUAGAUGCUUCAUUGUUUGACCUUCCAGCUGUUGUUAGCCUGGUACUAGUUCUUCAUUUUGUGGAUAUCUUUAACUUAUUCUUUUAAAUAGUUUUCCUCAUGAAAUAAUCAAUUUACAAGGCUAGUAGUCAGCUUCAAUCCAUAAUUAUAUUAUAUUUGGCAAUCAGGGAAUUCAUCCAUCAAUUAGAGGAGAAGUUUGGGAAUUUCUACUAGGUUGUUAUGAUCCUAAGAGCACAUUUGACGAAAGAGAGCAGAUUCGGCAAAGUCGAAGGUAUAUCUUGUUUCCUGCCUUACUUGGGUUACUUGAAAUUUAUUUAUUCACUUGCCUUUUUUCUUUCUCUUUAUCUAAUGAAGUUUCCUAGUGGUAGUACACUUGCAAAUGAUGAUAACAGUCUAAGGAGAAAUUUAUUUCUGGUUCAUGUAUCUUUUAGUACUGCAGUCCAAUAUGUUUUGUAAUUCAAAGAUGAUCUUUUGGGAAAUGAAUGGUCAAUACCAUGAGUUGAGUUUUAUAACUUGCAAUGUACCCGAGUAAAUAAAUUUAGUUGACAGCAAUGUUGAAACUUGCUAGCAAAAGACUAAGGGUUUCCUCUUCAUACGAUAGUGAUCCAGACUCCAGCAUCUCUAUUUUGUGUGGGCUGUGUAAAUUCCCAAACUUACAGGCUCUACAUAAUGUUAUCUUGUCAGAUUCCAACAUGUUAUGCUUCACCUGUCCCGUUAUUCGGUUUUAUUUAUGAAGUAUCAUGUUUUGCCAUUUUCAGAGUGCAAUAUGCUAGGUGGAAGGAAGAUUGCUGCCAAAUGUUUCCUGUUGUUGGGAGUGGUAGGUUUAUCACUGCCCCCGUAAUCACUGAAAAUGGUCAACCCAUUCAGGAUCCCAUAGUACUUUCACAAAUAAAUCCAGACAAGGGUUCUCAGGAUAAUGGUUCAAGCACAAACCGUAAUAAUGCUAUGGAACCAGUAAUGGACAAAAAAGUAAUCCAGUGGAUGCUUACUCUACACCAAAUAGGUUUGUGAUAUAUUUAUGUGUUCAUAUUUUAAUAUGCAUCCUAUGGUUAUUUUGGAGGAAUAUGUUUUUCUUAUGGUCCGGCAUUUUUUCUUUUUGUUGUUGGAUGUACAACUCAGACUUUUUUAUUGUUCAAUUCUCUGUUUUCGUCACGUCUUUACAUAACCUACCUGCAAGAUGUGAAAAGUACUGAACAUGAUGGAUUGCAGAAUUUUUCAUGUUUUAUCUUGAUAGGGUAGAUAACUUUUCUGUUUGUCUUUAUUUGUAUGCCAGGUCUUGACGUGAUUCGUACUGACAGGACACUAGUAUUUUAUGAGAAGCAAGAGAACUUAUCAAAACUUUGGGAUAUUCUAGCUGUUUAUGCCUGGAUAGAUACAGAUGUUGGCUAUUGUCAAGGUUGGUAACAUAAGAGUGAUCAUUUUAGUACUGAUUGCAUCCCUUCCCUACACUUUGGGAAGGGACAAUAUUUUCAUAUUUGAUUUUUUCAAACGAAAAGAAAAUUAUGUUUCUAAACUCCACAAUUCAUGACGUGAUGAUCAGGAAUGAGUGAUCUUUGCUCCCCCAUGAUUAUCCUUCUAGAUGAUGAAGCAGAUGCAUUUUGGUGCUUUGAACGAUUGAUGCGCAGACUGGUAAAACUUUGAGCUAAAUCUUCGACUUUGUUUUUCAUUCUGGUGUUGCAUCAAAUCAAUGCCUAUCAUGUGUGUCUAAAAACUAGGGUUGCUAAGCUCUUCUUUCCAGAAAUUAACAGAGGAGAUGUGCAAUCUUAAAUCCAUGUAUUAAUGAGAUUCUUUAGAAGUUUUUGUUGAUAUCCUUCUGUUUUUGAAAAAUUGCUACAAUAUUUUUUUUUUCAUUUGAAGUUACAUGCUGUUUCUUUAAAGCUACAAAGUUAUUUGGUGACGGUUAAUUUGGAUUCCAGUUUCUUAUGACUUGUUCUUAUUUGAAAUUUAAAGCGAGGAAAUUUCAGAUGUACCGAUAGCUCUGUUGGGGUGGAGGUGCAACUAAGUAAUCUGGCUUCAAUUACUCAAGUCAUUGAUCCAAAACUUCAUGAGCACUUAGGUAUUGUCUUUUUAAUUUGUUGUUUACAAUUUAUGUCCAUUUACUUGUCAAACAUAGAGAAAAUAUAUGUUUCUUUAUCAAAAAAUUUGGAGACAUCAUAUGCGAUUUUCAUCAUAUUUAAUUAUUCAUAAUCUUCUUCUCAGAAAUGAUCAUGAAAAUACAUGUUCGCCAACCGUUUGGAAGAUAUUCGAUACAUUUAUUUAAGGAAAAAAAAUGUACCGUUUAUUAGGAUUUAAAUAUCAAAUUGGCUAUGUUUGUGUCAUGUUUCUCUUACAUCGCUCAACAUAUUGCUCAAAAAUGAGGGAGAUAGUAACAGAUAUGCUUAAUUCGGAGUGCAGAGACACUAGGUGGAGGUGACUAUUUAUUUGCUUUCCGGAUGCUUAUGGUUUUGUUCCGUCGAGAAUUCUCUUUUUGUGAUUCUUUAUACCUUUGGGAGGUGAGAAUAAGUUACUGUUAGUAACUUUCUGAUAUUUUUCUGUUCUCCCUUUUGGAUUUUUUUUAUUAUAUCUAAUUAUUGCAUGUAUAAAUACUUUUACAGAAUCCUUGAAAUUAUUUCUGGGAACCCACUUCAUUCUUUCCUAAGUAAUCAAAAUUUUCUCCAUAAUUCCACUUAUAUAUAGUUCCUUGAAUUUUAAUACAUGCAGAAAUUUUUGUAUUAGACCUUAUUUCUUCCGACUAAAAGUUGGCAAGCUAAUACUUACUUGACAAGUACUUUUUGAACAUAGGUUUUAAGAACUAUUGCACGCAUUUGAUAUUAAAGACCAAUACCCCAGAGCAUUUGUUUGUGUGAUUGGGAUAUAUGUGUUCCUGAUUGAAUAGUAUCUAUGCACUUCUGCUCUAUAAUGAAGAAAGGGCGUCGUGCGCAGUAAAUUUCUGUAGCUAUAUAGAUAUUGCUUUUUCUUUUUUCGUUUUUUGCCCAAAUAUAUCCUUGUUAUUUGUGUGUAAGUAUAUAUGGUUAUGUAUAUUUUUAUAAUAACUAUUGCACAUUUCUUAUGGUGCAUCCCGAACUUAAAAGAACUUAUUUAUAUUGGUAAGAAUUGAUCUCAUUUAAACUUUGACAGAUGAUGUGGGCCCUUGAAUACGACCCUGACUUGUUCAAUGUGUACAAAGAAUCUGAUCCUGAUACUGAGAAGGCUGAGGGGCCUAAAGGGAAACCAAAGUCAACACGUCAGUGUGGGAAGUAUGAGAGGGAAAACAUGAAAAGUGGAGCAAAGAAUUCAGAAGCACCGCUCCCAAUUUCAGUUUUCCUUGUUGCCAGUGUCCUGAAAGAUAAGAGCUCAAAGCUACUUACAGAAGCUCGGGGUCUCGAUGAUGUUGUUAAGGUUAGCAUUAUCAGUUGACAAUUUGCAAUUCUUAGAACCGAUUGACUUUCGGAUUAUAUUGAGAAUGAUAUUACAUGACUUAAGCAGAAAACAUGUCCAUGUGGGGACAGCCUAGUGAUAAAUUCAUCUAAAACAAUAAACAAGAAUUACUCAUAGUAAGAAUCCGCUGGCCUUGGCCAAACUAGGGUCCAGGAUGUUGCGUGGAUUUGGGAUAUAUAGUAAUUUACUCUGAAAUGUGAAAUGAAGUAUGAAAAAAAUAGGAAUAGGAGACUGGAGCGGCGACAUUUAUCAGCCAACCCUAUUAAAUCUUUCCUUGAAAAAGUGGAUUCAGCUAUGGUAGUCAAACAUGGUUCGGAGAAGAAUAUGUUGCUAUCGUUUUGUUCUUUCACAAAUGAUUACAUAUAAAUUCUAAAAGCCAAAUGAAACUGUUCCAAUGUUAUUAUCUUGGGUUUCCAAUUUUUUCUGUGUAGUUUUACAGCUUACAUUAGGUUGCAAUCAAGAUCAAAACCCUAAAAAAUGAUCACAUCUUCAUGUUGUUUUGUAAGGGAUUGGACCAUGAAUUUGACAUGGUUUUACCUCAACGGUUCUUAAAAAUUUCAAAUGCGUUGUCUAAUCCCUAAAAGAAAACAUUAAAAGUGAUCAUUUUAAGGAUUUUUGGCUUGAUUGCAACCUAAUGUUAACUACGAGGAUGUAGUUAGGAGUUUUUCAGGACGAAAUUGGAAGCCCUAGCAAACUGCAUGGACUAAAAUUGUCUUUAGGCCAUUUCUAACGCCCUAAGGGAGAAGUUCAAAAUAAUUCUCUAGAGUCGUUAGGGACUGGUGAAGAAUCUUUGAUCCGUUUGAUAAACAAAUACUCGAGCUAUCAAUUUUUCAUUUAAAUGAGUUGGAUCUUAAUUUUUGUACAACUUUUACCCGUUUACCUCACUCAUUCUCUCUGCCAGAUAUUGAAUGACAUAACUGGAAAUUUAGAUGCCAAAAAAGCUUGCACUGGGGCAUUGAAACUCCACAAGAAAUAUCUGAAAAAGGUACUUCAAUUUAUUUUUUAGCAGUGUAGAAUGUUGCUAUUCAAUUUUCAUGUCUAUAUUUGUGCAUUUCUUGUGCGUGUGCGUGCGCUCAUUUCAAAUGUUCUUAUAUUAAUCACUCAAAGUUGCAACAUCAUUCGUUGAUUUGUUACUGCAGGCGCCCAAGAAGACAUAGCAUCACUUUACACACGAUUUUUUAGCCACCCGAAAAAAGUAAGACGAUGUUGCUUACAUUGUUUUUUACCUGAUUUGGCAAGAGAUUAUAAUUUACUUGCACAUGAUCUUGGCUUAGAGUUGAGAGAGCUGCACAGUUGGUCCACUGUGCAAAAUAUUCCCAAUAGAAAUUGUUGUUUGUGAGAUUAGUCCAAAUUAAUUGUACAUUACAAACAUUCUUUAUAGGCCUAUAUUUUGUACAACCAUAACCGAACCGAGGCCUAUAUUUUGUAUAACGAUACGUUGUUCGUAAUGAUAUUAUGAGGGCUGGAAAAUGCUGAAGCUUAUGCAGUGCUCCAACCCUAAGACAUGAAAUUAACUUGCAGUUUUCUUUCUGAAAAUGUCUUCUUGUAUUUCCUUCCUCUCAUAACCAUAUGCAGUUAGUGCAGGCACUUAAUUUUUUUCAUUCAGUAAUUAUAUGGGAACUUUAACGAAAAGCACCCGGUAUUGUUCACUUUAACGAAAAACCAUAUUUUUACACUAAAAAGUCAAUCCUGGUACUAUUCACUUUACCCUUUAUUUUGUCCUUAUCAUUAAAACUCAAAGUUUUCAAGCUUUUUUUAUUAGUUUUCCUUAAUUAUAUUGGGAAAAGAUGUGGGUAGUUCUCCUAGUGUGUCUGUGUUUAGAAAGAAGUGAAAAUGCAAUAGGUAUAACCUACACAAAAGUUCAUUGCAACAUAAACACAACAAAAGAAUUAGAAAUGAAAAGAUUGGCCACAAGUUGGCAAAUUUAGGGCUCGUUUAUAGGAAAUAAUUACGUUUGUAAGCGCUUUUGUUCGAAAUACUUUUAUUAUAAAUAUGUAGAAGUUUUCUUUAUGUCGAAAAUCCAAGUGCUUUCUGGAAGCAUGUCUACAAUCUAGAAAAGCACGUUUAAAUUUUUCGGCCAAAGAUAGUUGAAAUCAUUUUUUAUUGUCAUAACGUAUUCUAGUCUUUUCAGAAGCAAUCCCAAUACAUGCCUUUUCAAGAGUGCAAGAUAUGACUUUUAUUUUUUAAUUUUUUAUAAUAAGUGAGCAUUUAACAAGUUAAAUAAUAGGCCAGGCACUUAUUCAAACUGAGUCUUGUCACGUAUCUUCUAUCGUUGUAUAAAGAGUCAUUCAUUACAUAACCAUGUAAUAUUAUUUUAUUAUUCCCAAAUUAUAUAAAGAUCAUUUCUAAAAACCUUUUUAACUUGGAAAUUGUUUAGCCAUGAUGAAUGAAUUGAUGAUUCGUUGUAUAAAGAGUCAUUCAUUACAUAAUCACGUUAUAUAUAAAUGACCAAACGGUCUCCAAGCUUAAUGAAUUUUGUAGAUAUAAGAUUUAAAUGAUAAAGAAAAUGAAAAUUUUAAAUUAUAAUGUUUGUACUCUAAAAUGUUGUCAUGUCGUCAUAUAAGAGAAAUGGUUUCUUACAUGGGAAAUAGAUCUUUUUCACCAAGACCACCGGAUCAAGUGAUCUGGAUCCUUAAAAUUUAAUCCAACGGCUAAAGUUAUUAUAACUUUUCAAGGAAACCUUUGUUUUUAGCCGUUGGAUUAAAUUUCAAAGAUAACGAUCACUUAAUCCAAUGAUCUUGGUGAAAGAGAUCAGGAGAGAAUCUCUUUCCUCUUGCAUGAAUGAUCCACACUGACUGAACCUACUCUAGUGUAGGCAAUAUGAACCAUGCUGACUGACUAAACCUACUUUCAAAAGUCAGGAUAGUUUGCGUCGGUAAAGGUUGUGCUCUUUCUUUUUCAUUUCUUAUCCUCACUCAUCAUCCUUCUUCAUCCCUCAUUUCCCGAAUAUACGUUUUUCAUUUUACAAGCAUAAAAAAUAAAAAUAAAGGAACGUAAUAGUUAUCAAACAGACUCUUAGAUUGUUGUAUAUUGAGAGGAGGCAUGGAUAUAAAUGUCAGUUCUGGUAUAGUCCCGUAUUAACUUAUCAUAAACAAGGAAAGAAUGACCACUGGAGAAUUUGACGUUAGCUUAAAUGUGUAGUAUAGUCUUCACUAGUACUGCGGUUUAGUGUAAAGUUUUAUGUACAACUCCAAGGAAUGACAAGUUCGAUAUUUAUUUAUGGUUGACCCGUUAUUUGACUAGCCCACAUCUCUUCCUCCAAUAUAGUUGUAUUAAAAAAGAAAGUAAAAAAAUGGUAUAUAGUUAUUUCUAGUUAUACACAACAUUCAAUAAGGAAUUCUAGGAGGAGCUCCUCACCCCAGGUAACAACAUCAUAAUAGUUUAGAGAAUGUUUUGCUUAUGUAUGGGCCACAUUAUUACAACUUCUAGGAAAUUAUAAAUUGAAAUCUUACGAAACAGAUCCAUGCACCCCUUAAUUAACUUCCUCAAAGAGGUUACCAUCAGAGGCAGGAUCUUUCUGCUCUCACAGAUAGAGCAUCUGGUUAGGAAAAACCAGCAUCUAAGGACAGUUUCAAUUCGAAGUAAAAUGCUCGAAAUCUGCAUGUUUCGGGGAAGUGGUAUUGCAGAGGGAAACUUGCCGCCACCAAUAUCGAGUUUGAAAAUGCCACGAUGAGGGGGAGACCAACCCGAAAGAACCCCUCAAACAAGCUGCCAUCUUAAUUUCUCUACCAGGACAUUAACAAGUAUUUUCAUGAACUAAUUAGAUUAGUGCCAAAUCCUUAAAAGUGGAUUUGUACUAUACUAAUUAAUGACCAUAGUCCUAUGAUACAAAUUUAGGUUCAUCAUCCUUUCCACAGACCAGCUAAUAGAGAUGAUCAUUUAGCGAUUGAAUUAUUAUUAUGAUUAUUUCAGUGUUCAUUGGAAAUUAACACACAUGUUCAUCUAUAUGUGUGCGUAUGUAUCAAUCUGGCUUGUCUUAAAAAUCGAUGUUUGUAUUGUAAUAUGUUAUCUUGAAUUUUCUAGUUACCCUGUUCCAACAUUUGGAACUGCUACAAACAUUAGAGACUGCAUCGAUCCUAGAUACACACAAAAAAAUGCUAGGAAAACAAAAAGACCACGCGAAUCCAUCCUCAUGAUUUGUAUAUAAUAGCUACGCACAUAAAAUCUUAUUCAAAUUAUCAUAACGUUUGUUUUGUGACUCGUUACAAUCUCUUCAUCAUCUGCUUUAUGUGUCUCGAGUUCGAGUAUGCAUGGACGGGCCUCGAAAUCAUGGUAGCAUCGUCACUCAUACAUAGUUCUUUAUCAGCCUUGAGUGCAUAAACACCGGUCUUCUUGCAGCUGACGUCAGACAACACCCAUCACAUGAGGAUGACAAAACAAAUAAAUCCGUCAUUAAUCAUGAAUUCUCAGAAAUAUUAAAACUAAUUAAUUAAUUUUCUAGCUAGUGAAAGCUAGAUAUAUCAAUAAUCUUUAACUAGCUACUGAAACUAACUCAAAAAUACUAUCUUUUGUAACUGGUGGUCAUCACUGUUUGGUGUAGCGUCACUCAGUCUUUACUUUAUUUGAAAAGCGACAUAGGGUUCAAAUCUACGUAGGGCCUAAAUAGAAAAACAAAAGCUAGCCCUAAUUGACGUUAUAAUUAACAUUUCAUUUUGUUUAUAUUUCCACUUUGAACCUCAUUUAUUCAUAUAAUCCAAUGACAAUUGCGAUUGAUGAACAUAAUUAAUUAGAUAUUUAUAUACAAUUAACUACUAAUUACCUGCAGAUAGAACUAGCCUUGCUGAUGGUUAGUGGAAGCGAUUUGUCAUGAAAAGGAAAGACAUGAUGGCUAAACAUAGGACCAAAAGAGCAUUAGACUUGAGAUGCCCUGCAUUGUUCUUGGGGAACACUUUAGGAAGAGCACACUCUUCUCCAUUGAACAACACUCUCGUUGGGAACCCUUGACCCGCUUUGAUAUCGAUAUUAUGAUAGUGCUUCUUCUUGAACGAAAUCACCGAUUGCUGCUUCCCGGGGAUCAUCGGAUUCUUUUUCGGAUCCGUCCCGUUUUUUAUCGCCACCAAGUAGUUCAAACCCUUGAGCCCUGUGAACAAGAUUGUGUUGUUGACUUCCUUUUCCAUCCUCGUACCGUUGAAGGAGUAGACGUUUUCGUAGUCCUGGUAGGCCUUGUUCAUCUUCACCGCGGUGUACCAAUCUUGAAACUGGUCGGUUCCCCAGUUGAAGAGAGUGAGCCUGGCGGUCCACCCGUUGCUGUAAUCAGAGUCGAUGUGCCAGUUCAAGCUGACACCGCAGUUGUCAGGGCACGGAAGCUUUUUAGGCACGUCGUAGUGCUUGAUUUUGGCCCAUGCUUUUGCCUUCUCGGUUCUGUUUGCGAAUGGCACGAGGAGAGCUUCGGCAGGCAAAAGCAUGGCGGAAGCCUUAGGGUUACAUUUGUUCGUCUCAGAUGUUUUGCACCCGCACGCGCACGUGCUGCAUGGAAUCACAGAGGUGCUGUAAUAAGCCGAAAACGAGACGCAGCAUCUGGGGACCGGGGUUUUGGUGAUGUUGCACACCACUUGCCAGCUGGCAAUGGCGUCUGACGUGGCCUGGAGCCCACUUGGGUCGGGGAACUGAGUAGGGUCAACCCUAAUAGGGGGCCCGCAUCUGUAAGUAGGGUUCAGAACGCCACUGAUUUUCCACUGCUGAGGUGGAGUUAUGGCAGUUCUGUUGUCGUCGGGUGGGAUCUUAAACACUUGCAGCUGGAAAAUGGACUGGGACUGUGCAUUGUCCAUGAGGCUCGGCAAGAUGGUCCCGUUGCGGCAGCAGCUGGGCAGUUUGCCGACCUUGGGAUCAUCCUUUCGCUCGGCUGGGAGGUCGGUGAUGACGGGCUUCUUUUCACAGUUCAUGACCUGAGAGAAGUCCAAGUCCUUGUAGAAUUUUCCGGCUUGGCCGUAGAGGCAUGCACUUGUGUCCUUCUUGUGAGUGUAGGCUCCUCUCAUGGUGUUGAUGAACUCUCCCCUCAUCCAUUCCCAGGUUAAGUUCCAGUGGUCGAGGCGGCCGAGCGGGUGGACGUUGUCGAUGGUGACCUGAGCCAGGUAGUUCAUUGUGUAGGUUUGCAUUACAUCGUAUGUGAUUGAGAGAUCCCCGUUCUGACGUGGCAUGAAUUUGGUUUUCUCGACUUUCUUCGCCUUGAAUUUUGGGUCCUUUUUACAGCACACAGACAUUGCAGUCUUCCCUGCAUGAGGAAAACAAAAAGGAUAUGCGUCAAUGCAUGCAUUUGAACCCUUUCAAGGUUCGUAUAUUAGUAUGUUCUUUUUGCCAAAAUAUUUGAUUUGUUAUCUUGUCAGAUAGUGAAUUGGAAUAGUGUUAAUUCGACAUAUGAUAUUGACAUUAUUAUUCACAGGUAAAGCUCACAUGUAUUAGAGAGAGUGUUGAUGUCAGUUUUAUAUAUAUAGUUAGAAAGUUGACCGUAUACAAUAUGACAAAGAAAAUAGUAACUAACACAUAUUUACAUAAUACAAGUAUGAAGAGAUUUAUGGAAUUGAGAUCACGGUUUGACAACAGAGUCAUUGGAAGAAUUAGGAACUGAAUUGAUACUCUUUUCAAGUUUUAUAUGUCUACUUAAUAGCAUUAAUAUAUCUUGGACUAAAAACCAUAUACAUUUCUUGAUGUUCAAUCUAAUCGAUCGUCCUAAAAGAUGUAAAGCCCAGAAAUAAGAACACCAAUUUGAUCGAAAUCAAAAUAUUCAAUCUGAAUCUCAUAAAAUCUUAUGUUCUGCAAACAUAUUUCUCAAAACAUCACAUGUAAUGUAAUGCAUGUUAAACAUUAUCAUUAAUAACACAAACAACCUUAUAAUUAAUUAACUAAUUACCUUUAAAUUUAGCAGCAGGGCACUUGAAGCCAUCAUUGACAAUGGAGAUGGUCUUGGGCAUCGGAGUAGACUUCUCUCCCAUCCCAAACUGCGUCCCUUUGAACGCAAUCUUAGCCUGAAUCUGGGUAUAAUCUCCGGCGGUAUCAAUCAUAGUUUUCAAAUCUGUCAUUGGAUACCCGGCAAAGUAUGCCCCUUUGGUUCCAACAUCGACGGGCAAAUCACCACCGUCAACCAUCUGAGCUCCUUCCGCGGCCACCAAGAUCUCCCGAUGCUGAAACCCUAUGUACAUCUUCCACGCCUUGAGCUCGGUCGACCCGGCGUUCAAGAUCGUCGCCUCCGACUUGAACGCCCAAGCCUGUGCCGACACAUUUUUCGUGUGCGGCAACUCCUUCUCCCUGGAGGUAAACGUGUACGACAAGAAAAUGCCAUCACAGUCUUCUUGCUCGGGAGGAGGAGCUGCCACAACAGCAUCUUCGUCUUGUCCGUAACAAAUCUCAACCCUAAAACAUGAAAACACCAAAAACACCACGAGCAUUGCUUGAAGAAAGGACGCGCGGGACGUCCAGGGUAUUUUCAUGCCCAUAUUACUUGUUUCCAUCAUUGCUUUUUACAAUAAUGUGGAGCGAGCUUUGAGGUUUCAAAUCUUUUCUUUUUGUUUUUGUCUAUUUUUCGAGGUUGAGGGUUGUUUCGUGUGUCGCUUGGGAGAGAGACAGAGAGAAAGAGAGAGAGAGAGAUCUAUUGAACGGUAGGCGGCCGCGCGAGGACGCGGCGAGUGAGAGAUGCUAUGAGGCCCUGGGAGGUCUGUGUAAACCCCAGGGUAGAGAGAGAUGGCUAGGUAAAAGAAGAGGAGCGACAUUAAAAGACUGGGUCAAGCUCUAUUUUCUUCCGCUAGUUUUAGCGGCAGGUUCGGAACGUUGUCCAUGCAACCGAUACUGUUUGAUUUCUGGUAGACAUUGUACGGAAAUAUAUCUGAUACACACGCUGUAAAUAGAUUUCGGUAUCGAAAACUAUGCCGUUUCUGAGUUUUUCUUUUCUCUUCUUGUUUUCGGACCGAAACCACCGAAACGGUUGCUGUGAUAACCUUCUAAUUAACUGUUUUGAGCUGGCAAAAACUGCAUGUCACAUAACUUGCAUUGGACUAGUUUGCUCACCUCAGAUUGCCGACAUGGCACUUCGAACCAAUCAUUUUUUUUAUUUUUAGUAAUCACAAAGUUCAAGUACUAAAAUAAAUAUAAAUUGGCAUGAAAAUGUGAAAGAGUCGAAUCUGUGUUGGAUAUCACUAUGCGAUGUGCUGCACAAAAGGGAUUGGCAUGAAAAAUCAGUAGCUAUGGGGAUCCUAGCUAGGUUUAUUUUGUUCUAGAUUUUUAGCCAAAAUGUUUUCUGAGAUUAAGUGGUUCUUAAUUUUGUCUACUCUACAUCAUUUUGGUCAUUCAAUGAAAAAUACGUUCAAUAUUCUUGUUAAGUUGAGAUGUUGGUUUGACAAAAAUACUCUUUGGAAAGGUAAACACGUAGUUGUUUACGUGACAAUUUAACAAAGAUAUUGACAACUUUUAUCACAAAAUGACCAAAUUGAUUUACGAUGGACAAACUCAAAUACUGCUUUUAUCAAUUAUCAUUGUCAAAGACCAAAGUAAGGAGAUCCAAUCUCAGAGACAAUUUUUGCUAAAAAGUCGGUUCUAUCUUCUUUCUUACUUUUUCAGUAUUUUAAUUACCCUUUAUUAAUUCUAUAAUGGAUAUAAUUGCGUGAAUGACUUGUAGCUCAAGUAGUUUAAAGUGCUCACUUUCAAUAAAGAGUACCCCUAUAUUUUCAUAUAAUUUUAAUUGAAUUGCUUUCUUCCACGCCUAUCCGCAGCACAGUCAUUAUUUGUUCAAGAAGUUAGCUCCCCGCUAAUACUUGGGAACUAGGGUAUCCAGUUAGUACAAUAAACAAGGCAACACAGCUAUAACCGAAGAUAAUAUCAAAACGCUAAUUAAGAAACCUACCCCUACGAUCUCUUAUGGUUACAUAUCCUGUUAAUUCAGUGUGCACGAUUUUCAUUACUUUAACCAAAUCAAGCGACAGUUAUCUCCGUCCCGCCGCUGAUUUCUUCAACGAACUGCGCUUUUGGCUCCAAGUCUAUGAACUGGUUGGACUUGCUAGCAAGAUGCGAAAUGCUUACCCUUCCCUGACGCUUAAUGUAGUCUGCUACAGCUUGCAUCUCCUCUUGGGAGAUGUAUAUGUAUUUCCCUCUGUCAUCCAUGACGCCAGAAAGUCGCCCUAACACAGACAAAUACAACAUUUUCAUUCUCAACGAAAAGGUAUUUUACCUUCUGAAGCAAAGGAAUGAAUUAUUCAUUAGGUACCACAAGUCACUGAGGAAAUAGCUCUGCACAUACCCAUACUCUCGAGAUUGGUAAUUCGAUAGAUGCAUUCCUGCAUGAACCAUCAGUUGCAUUGAAAAAUUAGUAAGCCAAAUCUGGCAAAUUAAGUUGACUAAUCACUUUCAGAAAAUAUACUUCCAUAUGCCUUACUAAAUUUCAAAUUAAAACUUCAUCUAUUAAUGCACUUUGAGGCACGAAGAAGACAUGAAAAUUGCUGAUUUAUGUGUUACUUCAGGAUAAAUAUAAGUUACCUGAGUCCUUAACUUAGAUUCAGCAGCAAGAUCUUCCAGAGGAAUGCAUUUAUGUUUCUGCAAUGUCAAAAUUAACAGUAGUAUUAAUAACAAAAUCACAACUCAACUUGAAAGCCUCAUGUCUCGAAUAGAAACAAAACGACACAAACAGUUAAAAGAUUAAUAAACUCUAAACUGGAUUGGAUAAGUUAGAAACUACAACCCAACCUUAAACCCCCAAAACUUAGAAGCUCCAUUUCAUCCCUAGUUUUGUGCAACCCGAUGGCGAUGGAGAUAUUAGGGGGCUAGAGUAUGGAACAAUAUCUUUGAAUGAAUUAACUGAACUCUACCUUUAUGUAUUCCACAAAAUCAGAAAGCAAAUCCUGACAUCCAUCCUGCACUUCAUUCUCGGUCAUACCUUCAGCAUCUAUUGAAAACUCGCCUUUCCACUUCUCAAACUCUAAAGCAGCAGCUUCCUCCUCCCUAGCCUUUUGAGCUUUGGCUUCUUCCUCCUACAAAACCGUGGCCAAAUCUUUGGGCAGUAACUUAACAACACAAUAAUACACAUCCUCAUUUUCCAAAACAGAAACAAAAGAGAGACGUCAACGCACCAGCUGACGCUCCUGUGCUUCACGCUCCUCAUCUUUCCUCCUCCGCAUUUCAGCAUAGCGGUCUUGUUUUGUUACCCUUGAUUCACGUGCAGCUUGUUCAGCCUUCAAAUAAAGAACGGACUCAAGUAAAUAAUUACUUGUGCUUCGAUUGAAGGGAAAAGGGAAGAAAAUAAUAUAAAAGCAGUACAAGUAAACCAUAAUCAAGGAUCCUCCGAGAGCAUAAGCAUAAACGCAAUUGAAGGUUUCAGUUACUUCCACCAUUUCGGUAAUUUAAAUCGAUUGAAUGAUGUAGUAAUCAAACUUCUAACAUGUCCUACACCUCAGUGACUACAUAGAAGUGGUUUCUGUCUUUAUUACUCAAUGUAGAUAGUUGGAUAAUUAGAAACUCGCUAAAAUUUAAGGCCUGUUGGGUAUUCAGGACAGGACAGGACACAUUAACUAGAAAUUUUAAUCAGGACCGGAGAGGGGGAGAGAGAGUAUGUGCAAUCCUUCAAAUCAGGAAGUAAAAGAAAGAAAGAAUACUUGUCGUUGUGCUUCCCGCUCUUGGCGCUUCUUUUCCCUCUUCUUGGAUGCUUUAGCAUCAUACUCGCCCUCAACAUCUUCCCCAUCACUUCCCUCAACGGAUUCUGUAUUUAAAAAUACAUACUAUGAGUUCAUUUGACAGAAUAACACAUUUUUCAACUUAUUUAAUAUCAUUAGCACUUAAAGCUAGCUAGCUAGUGCAAAAGCUCAUAUACAAAAUGUGCAGCUAUACAAGUCCAAAUUUGCACUUCAUACGCCGCGUACAUUUUCCAUACAGAAUACCUAAUACAUCCUUUACUUCCUCAAUUUUUGUACCCUCCUCAUGAAUCCAUAAACCUUAUGACUCCUCUCUGGAAAUAAUCAUCGGUCUACCCCAACAGAUCAAACCAUGUAAACCAUCAUCACCCCAAAUCCUAAUUUGAUCAAACCUUUAUCUCUCACAGAUACGGUUGCUUAUAUUUUCGUUCCAGAUUAUCUCGCCACUGCUUACCAAUUUAUUCAAUCCCGCCGCUGAGAUGCUCAGUUGAUGAUAUCUAUUUCAAUCACAAUUCAAUCAAUUACAAUCGCUUCUCGAAUCAAAGAGAAACGAACAUCACAAAACAGCAGAGUCACAAUUACUCAUGAACUUAAUCCAAUCUCUUACUAAUAUAAAAUCAAAUUUAGUCACUUCAAAGUAAAACACAAACCUUCUACACCUGGUGCAGCAGCAGCUGAUGUGCUUGCUCCAGAAGCCGGCCUCCUACGGAUCCAGCGACCGCCAGGCGCACGCACCACCGCCUCCCUCUGAGCAACCUAGAUCAAUAUGAACAAUCCAGAAAAAAUCUAUAUAACUAAAAACAAUUACGCUGCCGCCGAAUUAGGGCUCAAAGAAUCAAACCUGAGGUUCUUCUUCGUGUUCAUGCGAAGAUCGAGAAUCUUGACGGCGUUUCCAUAGAAAUAGUGGAAUUAAUCCCAAAACAAGAAGCAUAGAAAGAAAAAUUGCCAACAUUUCCUCCAUAUUUUCUCAAUCUCAGGCCCCGUUGAUGUUCCUUUUCUUUCUCUCAAUUCUAUUUUCUUAGGAAUUCUCGGAAACCAAACAAAGAGUUAGGGUAAAGCGAAUACCUUGAGAGCGGUUAAGCUUCGUACAAUCAAUGGAGCCUGGAACGGUUUGAAUAGUGAUUAUAGGACCUAAAUGUAAUUAGCAUGAAUUGGGAAUCAUUAAACUUACAUGGAUAAAAAAAAUUAAGAUUAUUACCUUAUAUUUGGAUGAAGAAAUUUAAGAUAUUAAUAAAUUUUAAAAUAAGGUAAAUUGAAAUAACGGAGUUUUAUUUUCUAAAAUUUGUGAAUUUUCUUAUUUGGUUAAUCUAAAAGAAUAAUGGAAUUGAAUACAAAAUUUAAUAUUUUUAAACUCUCAAUAGUAGAAAUUUAGAAAUACACCUAUUUAAUUUACAUGGAAUUUAAACUUGGGAAAAUUAUAAAUUUCUAUUUAUGAAUUUAAACAAGGGAAUUGGUGCAUGUCAAUUUAUAAAUUCUGACUUUUAUCUAAAUCCCAAAUUUAUUUUCCUCGUCUUAACAUAGUGUUAGAGAUUAGAUUUCUUCUGUUGUAUAAAUCAUUUUAUUUCUAUAGAGAUUUUUCUGUGUUCGAAAUAAAGACGUGUCAUUAUAAUACAAGUAAUGAGAUGCUUGUAUUAAAAAUUAACAACUUAAACAAUAAAACAUCCCUCCACUUAUAUAAUGACAUAGAAUAUAUUGUUCGUGUUACGCGCACAACCGCACAAUGAAAGAUUCCCGUAUUUCUCUAUACAUAAAUAUUCACACAAUUAUCACUUUUUCAAAAUUUAAAUAUUUUAAAGUCAAAAUAUUUAUAAAAAUGAAUAUGAUUUUUAGUUUAAUUUUAUAUAAAUAUCCUUUAAUAAUAUGUGACUUGAAUUUCAAGGCAAAAGAAGGAAAAAAAUUGUUUCUGACAUAUGAAAAUUGUCUAGGUUAAAUUUUUAAAUUUUAACCCACACUAUUAGAUAUGAUCUAUCAUAAAAUAGCUGAAUGAAAACAAAGUUUCACGUUCAAUUUUGAAUUAAAGACGUUAAAAAUAAUGAAUCAACGACGUUAAAAAUAAUGAAUCAACGACGUUAAAAAUAAUGAAUCAACGUCGACUAUAACCCCUUACCUUCCAAGCUACCGAUGCGAAUUCGAAUCUCAAAACUAACGAGCUUGCAACCAUUAUAUCAAAUAUCCAUCUAUGUCCCCUAAUAUUCUAUUUAUACUCUUCGUUCAUCCACGAAAACUCGAUAAUUGCUUGGCACGCUGUCUGUCAUUAUCGUGCUUAGCAAAUAACACAUCUCGUGCGAAUUGAGAGCCUUUAGGAUCGCAACUACGUGCCUCUCUGCAACCGCGCAGCAGCACCCAUCAAUUCCCUCUCCCCUAUUUCCCACAAAUUGCCCACACCCCUCGAACCCACAACCUCGACUUACUCCCCUACCCCAAGACUUCUUCAGCGAAUACCCAAAAAAACCCAUAAAUUUUUUUUAAAACGGUAAUAACAGAGAGACUAAAUUUUUAAAUUAAAUUUGCAAAUACAUACCUAAGAAUCAAAUGAUGUGAUGCUACCAUUUCAUUUCCAACGAGUCCGAGCCAAACAUCCAACGCACACAGAGAAUCCAUCCAUCCACAUUAUUAUCAAAACUCACGUAUGUCCCAAAACACAUCAAAUAUCUACAACAGCCAUCACUUAGCCACCAUAAAAAAUCGCUCGCUCACUCAACCGCGCUAUUAUUUUCGGCUUGAAACUGGUUUUUCCCUUGUUUAUUAACAUAAAACGUCUGGAACUGGUUUUUCCCUUGUUUAUUAACAUAUAAGGUGACAAUUAAGCCUCGGCGAUCUCAGCGGAUUCUGCAGCAGCUAGGAUCAGCUCCGGCUGGAUGCCUCCGACGUAUGAUCCAUCCAAUGCGUUGGGGAGUCCCAGUGCCUUCAAUGCCAAGUGAGCUGCCUUUUGCCCUGAGAUCAUCAUGGCUCCGAAUGUAGGUCCCUGCAUCCCCAAUAAUGUUACAAAUUAUAUUAUUAGGACUACGUUGAUAUCGACGGAUACCAAACCCACAAUGUUUAUAUCAAGUGGGAAUCUUAUUAGGACCACAUAAAGAUCUAGUAAUGGUACUAUUCCAAACAUAAAAGAACAGGAAAAGAAUGGAAGAGCUUUUGGACCCACGUUCUUUCGAAAUCACUAUGCAUGGAUUGAGGCUUAAGUAAUUCUACGGUCCUAAGGUGUUUUUGUUUCGUAAUUAAACGCCGAGGGGAGAGGCCACUGUCUAUCUACGCUGUGCAUUUACAUGUCAAAAUUCGAAGCUUAAAACUAGGACGUUAUGCUUGAUAAAUCAAAUAUUCUAAUCCUUAAUGUUUUAUCUAAAUCGUCUAAGCCCACCACCGCGAUCACCAUUUUGACUAAAUGUGAUCGCGAUGGCUUGAAGCGGUUGGAUAAAAUCAGCCAAGCACAGUAAUGGCUAUACCAAAAAGUAAAACAGUAAAUAAAUCAAGAACAAAUGGAAUGAGUCAGAAAUGUACCAUUCUUGGGGAUCCAUCAAUCUCGGCAACUUCCAUGCCGGUGACGAUCAUUCCUGGCACAAUUUCCCUUGUGAGCUUCACGAUAGCAUCCUCAGCUGCGUUCAUGUCCAAGGCCUUCAUCCCGGGCACGCUCUCAAUCAUCCCAACGCUCCUCAGCCUCUUUACGCCGGUGGCUCCCAUGGGUCCGUCAUGACCACAUGAGCUCACCACAACCUUGGCCUCCAUGACGUUGGGGUCCAUGCACGACUGUGUGUCGUGGUUCAUUGAGACCAAGGCCCAGUUGGUGACCACCCCACCAACUCUGCCACCCUUAAUGAUCAAGUCCUCGGCGGCCACAGCGUUGAAGAGCUUCACGUUGGGCCGGGCAAGGAGCUUGCUCAUGAUGGUGGAGGUGAAUAGGGCGGCGUGCUUGAUGACAACGUAGUUGUCUUGCUCAUCGUAGUCAAUGCCGAGCUCGUUAAGGAAGAGAUGGGCGGGUUUGCGCAC
rnacentral:lncRNA from 1 species